rnacentral:lncRNA from 1 species
UUGUUUCUGUGUUGCUAUUGGUUUGUAAUUGAUGAUUGCUUGCUUCCUACUGCUGACUCCUUCUCCUUUUAUUUUGCCUAAAAUUCCAGGUGCACACCUUGAAUUUGACUCCAUGUAACUCUCAAGUUUUGGGGAAUGAAAUGGAAUGAUGUGUAUUAUCUCUAUAGAAUUUCAUUAUCUCAUUUCAAAUGGUAUCAGGACUUCAUUAUAUUUUCGUUUGUAAUUAACUGUGGACUGGACUUGUUUUUUACUUGUGUGACUCUGGACAAGUGAUUUAGCUAGGAUUUAUAGACUGAUGUUAGCUAAAUACAUAAGUGGUGUUGAUUUUAUUUCAAAUGAUCAUAAUCAGGUUCUCAAAUUUCAACCUAUAAAUUCCAUGUAAUCUAGGGGUUAAAUCAUAAGAAAUUGUUGACCCAUGCUAGCUGUUGUUUAUUUCAUCGAUUCAUUAAAUUGGAAAAUUCCUUGUUUAGGUUGUAAAAUCAACUCACCUAGUCUUUAGAGCCUUUAAAGAUCUGUAAAAUAUUUUUUUUAAAAGUCCUGUUGUCUAUGGUUGGUCAUGAAGCCCAAUAGAUUGGAGGCUUGAGCUCCUAUUUGAAAUCUUUAACUUAAUUUUGCAAUAUAAUUUUGGGCCUUUUAAGUCAAGUAGCGGACUUGAGCUAAAGGAUUCUUCAGUGAUGGAGAUCGCCUAUUUCGAGUUUGGGCUUGAGAUUAGGGCCGGAAUUUACUUGAAUACCAUAUUUUUAAUUCACAGUGUUAACAAAAUAAGUUUUAGAGACAAUACUUAAUAGAAAAUCAUAGUUCCUUUAGGUUAGCCUUAAAACAACCGAGCUAAAGGAUUCCUCAGUAAUGGAGAUCGCCUUGUUUGAGUUCGGGCUUGAGCUUGGGGCCCGAAUUUCCUUGAAUACCAUAAUGUUAGUUAAUGCAUAAUGUUAACAAAAUAAGUUUUUUUUAGAGACAAUACUUAAUAGAAAACCAUAGUUCCUUUAUGUUAGCCUUAAAAUAAGCGAGGUGCGACCCACCAAACAAAAUGCAUAAAUUGCGGGGCCCUCUCUGAUUGUUAUACUAAAACACAUAGAAUUCGGGAUGUGCCAUUUAGCGAACUUUCAUGGCCUCCCGCACAUUUAAUAACACGUUAGUUGCUUUAGGUGUGCUUUUAAUAAUUAUACCUUCCUAGAUACGAGUGUGCAUUCCAUACGACCCAAAUCCAAAUCCCAAAAUGUUGAAUAACAUGUGUCGAGGAUCCGGGUGCAUUUCAUGUGACGUGAUCAAAAAGCAUAUUUUUAAACGACGUUCCAUUUCUUAAAAAAAUUAAUGAAAAGCGGUAAAUAAUUAAAAAUUAUGCUAUAGGAUGAACAAAAACAUAUUUUUAAACGACGUUCCAUUUCUUAAAAUUUUUAAUCAAAGUGGUAAAUAAUUAAAAAUUAUGCCAUAGGAUGAAUAUAUUUUGAAAUCAUAUAAUUAAGCCGAAUUUGAUAGUUGAGCGACGGUGCUAGAACCACGAAAUUCGGGAGUUCCUAACACCUUCUCUCGGAUUAACAGAAUUCCUUUCCCGGAUUUCUGGUUUGCAGACUGUUAAAUAGAGUCAAACUUUCCUCGAUUCAGGAUCAAAACCGGUGAUUUGGGACACCAUUAAUUAUCCCCAGUGGCGACUCUAAAAUCUUUAAAUAAUUGAAUCCUAUUUCAAUUGUCCUUAACUUGGAAAAACUCCCUUAACUGUGUCCUUCGCGGGGUUGUAGUGCAAAACAGAGGUGUGACAAGGGAAUCUUUGAAAGCUGAUUGAGGAAGCUUCUAAGAAGCUUGGGUGGGGACUAAAUUGAAGUUCUGAAUUUUAUACUAGUGGUACCUAAGCUAAAAUGAAUAUAUCAAAAGGUGCAGAGUGCAAAUUUGAUUACCUUUUAGCUGACCUAAUAGCUUGCCUACAAAGGCACAUUUACUUGAUAUUCAAGUCAGACUUUGGAAGAGAAAAAAAGCUAAAAAACUGAGACGGCUGAAAUACUUUGAUAACAUAAAUUCUCCUACAUUUUCUUGGUGAAAAUUGCUCAAAAACUCUGUUUAAAGUUGAAUAUCCUCUCCACUAGAUAGAACCCCCUGGAAGUCUAGAUUCUGCAUUUGUUUGAAAAUGGCUUAUUUUUGGGUUUUGAAAAGAUAGUAUGAAGCUGUUUGGUUUCUGGGUCACUUUUUCGUUGAUUGAAAUUCUGAAUUAUUUCUGUUGUUUGCUUCCUCUUUUCUGACACUACUCUGCUGCUGCUAAUCUCUCAAUUUCAUAUUUCUUCUGAUUUCAAGGUAUUGCUUUAGCCCAUGAACAACUAGUGACUGUUGAACAUGUAACUCAAUUGAAAUUUUGAUUGAAUGAAAGCUGCAUUUGAAUUUAGUUUCCUUGUUUAUCUUGUUGCUUCAAUAUUCUGUAGUUAGAUCUUAAAUUACAAACGUCAGUUAGGCCUUCUCUUUUAUUAAUUGCAUAUUAUGAAUCCAUGUACGAGAAUAAAAUGUUCUGAAUAUGUGUUUGAAAGUAAGAGUAAAUCUAGUUUUGUAAUGAUAAAUAACCUAUGGACUCAGCUAUUUAGUUUUCUUUUUUAAUGAGUUCGAGCGUAUGUUGGGUAAAGGAGCCGUCAAGGUUUUGCAGUAGGUGUUAUUUUUUAUGAUUCUGGUUGUAGGCCUUUGUUCAAUUUCUAUAAAGAUUAGUGUAGUUGUAGCAUUGAUGUCCAUUUGAAUUCAUUGAAAUGCUAAGUAUAGGCUUGUACGUCUUUAUUGACUUACACAAAUUCUAUUUUGUAAGCAUGUUCAUUCUGAGCUUAAGGUUUAGAUUCAUGUCUAUUUACUGGGUCACCCCAUAGAUUUUCAUUUAUGAUUCAUGCAUUGAGCAAAAGUUUAAGUAAACUUGGGGGUUUCAUAAUUUUCUCUUGAAGCUAGUUGAAAGUUGAUUUCCAGCAUGAUGAUCAAAUGAUUGCUUGAUUUAAGAAUUUUUGUUCAGAAUGUUUAUCUGAUCGUUCCAUGUUGGAACAAUUAAAAUCUGGAGGCCAACUGUUUUUUAUUCGCAUGUCUCUUGGAUCCAAAUUCGUAUUGGCCUUGCUUUGCGUUAGUUUGCUUCAAAUGAAUGUCAACCCCAACGCUUUCUUACUUUUCUUUUACAUUAAAUUAAUUUAGGAUCUCUAUAAUGAUAGAGUCUGCUUUGAAUGAUCCACAUUCUCAUUUUUGGGCCUAGAUUCGAGGUGGCCCAGCUAACUCCUCGAGGAGUCCUCUUUACACUCCCGAACUUAGGUUGUCCCAUAGUCCAUCUCCUUUUAAAGGAGGUUCUGGCUUUCAAACCUGUGGCAAGUCUCAAUUUGUUUCCCCAAGCCUACCUAUAGAUAAUGCAUCCCAUAUAUGUCGACUGGAGCAAUGUAAAUGGAAUAUCACGUGGUUGAAGUUCAUUUAGCUUUUAAAUUUAUCAUGAUCUUAGUGUGGUUUGAGGCGAGCUAUAUUAGAUAAGUUAUAAUUUAUGGCCUCCAUAGCUAGUUUAGAAACUCUUUUACUAUGAUAAUUCGAGGUGCUAUGCCAAGCAAAGUCUAAAAUUGCAUGGUCCUAGUUUAAUUGAUAUUUUUAUCCUUAGAAAUCGAGGCGCGCCAUAUAAGAAAAUUUUUCACGACCCUCGCAAAGUUGCAAAUGUGUAGUUGCUUUAGGCGCAUUAUUUUAAUAAUUUACCUUCAUAAACUUGGGAACGCAUUUAUGUAACCCAAAAUCCAAAUCUCAACAAUAUUAGAUAAAAUAUGUCGAGAGCCGCAGGUGUAUUUAUGUGAUAUGGUUCAAGACGUAUUUUAAAUGACGUUGCAAUUUUCCUUAAAAUAAUUAAAAGAGGAUAUUAAGUUAAAGUUGAAUCAUAGGUUAAGACAUGUUUUAAAAUCAGAUAAAUAGGCCAAUAAUAACAGUUGAAAGAUCGUGCUAGAACCACAGAACUCGAGAAUGCCUAACACCUUCUUCGGGUUAACGAAUUCCUUACCCGAAUUUUUGUGUUCGCAGACUGUAAAUCAGAGUCAAUCUUUCCUCAAUUCAGGAUUUAAACUGGUGACUUUGGACACCAUAAAUUAUCCCAAGUGGCGACUCUGAUCUUAAUUAAAAUAAUCCUGUUUUGAUUGUCACUUAAAUUGGAAAAAACUCCCCUAUACUUCCUUUCGGGGUAUAGGAGAAAGGAGGUGUGACAGGUCUGGAGACUUUGUUGGGGAAUAAGAACCCAUAAUCUCUGGUGCAGGGUUCAAAAUUUAAGCUUAGAAUAACUGCUAUAUGAUUUUAUUACAUGUUUGGGCCUAAUGUGGUAAAUGUUGCUUUUACUUCUUUGAUAUUAUCUGAACUGUAUAUAAACUGCUACGAAACCUUUCUCUUCUCAUCUUAGGGGAUAUGCACGCUGCCAUGACUCCCUGUUCUGUUAGGUUCAUACCUUGAAAUAAGAAAGAGGCUCGGACAAGUUACCAAGCCAGAUGGCCUUUUGGUUCCCUAUAUGUAGUCCCUUCCUCGGCUCUAGUUGUCCGCUCCAAGUCUAGAACAAUACACCCUGGUUUUGUACUUAGAAUAACUUAGCCUCAUGCCGGAUCCCUAGUAGGAAUGUAUGUUUGCAUCAUGUGCAUUUAACUUUGGAGACUCAACACAGGGGUUGGGUUUGUCUAAGACAGGUGUACCCGAAAUGAAAAAGACCAUUCUGAUGCAUGCUACUUGCUACUUAUGCAUUCAUUUGCUUCAGAUUUACAUGUUGACCGAAUUAUAGGGAAAAGUUGAGAGAAGGAAAAGUAAAUGUGAGGACUGAGAGAGAUAAUUGCCUGUUUCAAAAAUCAAUGUCCAAAAUAUACUGAAAAUACAUCGAAAUUUUGAAAAAAAUUUUAUUUUUAAAGAAAAAAUUAGAGUUAGUUUUUGUUUUGUCAAAUUUGCCUAAACUACGCCAGUUUGAUUCUCACCGGAUGUGGGAUACAUAGGCAACCCCCAUUGGAUCCAACUUCCCCUUUUUUCAAAAAAUAGCCCAAGUAGAACCAAAAUUUUUUAUUGCUUUGCAGUGAAUAAGUAAGGUGAAGCCAGUCUUUUCAAAAAUAGCCGAAUGUCCCCAAAAGGACGCCGGAAAGCUAUUUUUGCAAGAACAGCCACCUUUGGUCUCUUUUUCCAUUUUUGACCGGUUAGCAAGCACAGCCUUAAAAUCUUCUCCCAGAAGUGUUGAAAGGUUGUAGUUGCAAAGUCAGGUUUUUAUUUUGAAAUUAAAAUUUAAAAAAAAUAGUGUUAACUUUGGUUUUGAGUUAAAUGAGUCAUGAUUUUUCUUAAUCACCUUAAUAAAUAUGUAGAAUGAGCACGAGUCAAAAUUUGCCAGUAAUAGUCAUGAACAAGAUCCCUUUGGAGGUGCAUAUGUGGUUAGAAGAUCUGGGUAAAUCAGGGCAAGAUAGGGUUAAGUUAUACUUGGGAGGUUUCACCGGGUUAUUGAAGAUCAAGCCUAGAGGAGACAUCAUAAAGGUGUUGGUAAUGUUCUGGGACCCGGCUCAUAACGUGUUUCAUUUCUCAUAAUUUGAACUCACACCAACUUUGGAAUAAAUAGCCAGAUAUAUUGGGAGCACUGAGGUUCCUCUCAGAGACAAGUAUUUGAUUGCUCCAAGAGUCGCCAUUAUGCAUAUGUUCCUAGAUUUCUUAAAGUUAAGCAGGGGGUCCACAACAAAAAUUUGGUAGAUGGCUUCUCCACUCUGCAGUUUAUAUACUAGUGAUAUGGACACAUAGGGGGGUUUAACAAUCCAGAAAGCAAAAUCUGUAGCGAAGGAAGUCGCCUCAAAUGGGAAGAACUCAUGUGUUUUGUUUUUAUGAUGGUAUUCUUGGGUCUUCUGGUUAUUCCCAGGUAAGAUGGUAAUAUCGAUAUACAGAUAGUUGGGUUCGUCGGAACUUUGCUUACUCAGGCUAAAAGAACUUUCACACCCAUGAUAGUGUCCGAAAUCUUCCGCGCUCUCACAACCUGCAAAGCUAGAGGAGACUUUCUCGAAGGGUGCAAUCUCUUGCUAAAAAUGAGGAUGAUUAAAUAUCUAUGUCAUCGUCCUCAAUACAUGAGCUAUGGGUCAACAGAGAAAAACUGAAUAGAGGAGUUUUAUACAAGGGUUUAUGGGUUUAGCAUGCCAGAAGGGGUCAAAGAAUUGAUAUCACAUCUCCGUUCCGUCACUGCAGAUCAAAUAGAAUAAACGUUCGGGUGGCUUCCUAUAGAUGAAAUCAUAUACAUGCCAGCUAUCGGGCCUCAUUUCCUCCUAAUGGGUCUCAAAAGUAUCCAGCCUUAUGCCCCAUACCAGGUUUUGAGACAGCUGGGAAGAUGUCAAAUAGUUCCAAAAGAUUAAGACCUUAGUGCUCACGUAGUCAAAAUUGGUGCUGGUGGUCAGUUUCAUAAAGCAACAGUUCGCCAGAUUUGCAACGAGUGCCAAUACUUGACAGCAAGCACCCAAGUGGGUGAUUUAUCCAAAAGUGAUGUUUCCCCGGGGUACCUUGCCUGGAAUAAAAGGGAAGUUGAGUUUGGAAGGCCGGCCAAAAGACCCCAUCUUUAUGAAUUUGUCAAGGCGUAACAAGCGCCAAUGAGAUUGGAUGGCCAAAGAAAACGAGUUUAGGGCCACCAUAAGCAAGAUGGAAAAGCAAGUCAAGGAUCUUCAAUUUGAGAAUGGUCUGCAAGCUGCCGUGAAUGAGGGUGAGAAGAAAAAGCUAGCAAAGGAAAAUGACGCCCUUCGAGCCCAAAUUCGGGAAAUGAAAAUAGCGACCGAAAAUCCCGCCAGAAGUGCAAAAGAUGGAAAGCUUAUAGAUAAUCUUAGGUGGAAGGUAAGUGAGUAUGGUUUUGAUUUGAACAAGGUAGAAGGUGAACUAGCAAGGGCUCGAACAAAGCUGGCUAAGAAUGCGGAAGAACGCGCAUGCUUGGUUAAACAGUUAAAAGGUAAAUUUGACUAUGAGGUUGUAAGGUUGAAGAGAAGGGUCACCAUCUUUGAGAACAAAAUAAUCAAGCAGUAAAAAUACUUUAAGGAAGAAAGAGAACAUUGUUAUACAGCGAUGGCACAGUUAGAAAGAGAUCUAUAACAACUUCAAGAACAGAAUCAUAUAGCUGAACAAACUUUAGAAUCUAAGGCCUAACAGAAAAGGGCAUCAUAAGAGAAAGGUUCAGAAGGAUCGUUGACUACAUCACAACGAAAAGCAAUGAGUGUGACGACAUGACCAGAUCCAUGUUCUUUGCCACUGUGAUGACCUUUGUCCGCCAGAUAAUGGAAGACCUUUAUCAUCUCCAAGGGGAUUUGGCGCGUAGGCCCAUGCCGAGACCGAAUGAUGUCCCUUAGGCCCCAGAAAUAGUUGAGGCAUUGAUGUAUUCAUGAUUUUUGUGGGAGUCUGUUAGUUUGUUUUCAAGUCUGUAUUGGCGUCCUUCUAUUGGGGUCUGUUAGUCUAUUUUUGAGUCUGUGUUUUAUCUUUUUGUUGGAGUCUGUUAAUUUCCCUUUUUGAGUCUAUUAGUUUUUAUGAUUAAAUAUGAUAUGACAAGUUACUGUAAUCAGAAUGGUUUCGUUUUAUAGAAAUAAGAGAGCAAAAAACAACGAGAAUUCAAGCAGAGAAAGCCAUGAGUGAAAAAGAAAGAAGAAGAAGUUGCAAAUGAAAAUAAGGGAAAGGCGGGAUGACGCAAGCAACCGAUCAAAUGCAUAUGGUUAACUAUUUAGGUGCAUUACAUUACCAAAUGUGUGGUUGCCUAUCAGUUAAGCUCUAACUUCUAACAAGUUUGUUGUUGAUAAUGAGUACAGGAAGGUGGUUAGUUUAAUUGGCAUUCUGGCAACUCACUCAUACAACUCCGGUCCAAAAACAAGUUGAUCAUUGCCAACCAAGAACUUGAUGCAAGCGUUAUCGAUCUGUUGAGGGAGGGGGAGGAGUCGGACGUUAACCUUAAAGAAAAGUUGUGUGAGCUGAAACAACAAAUGGUUGAAAUGUACCAUGCAUGGGUAAAAGGGCACCCACCACCAGCUUACCCCGCCAACCCCCCUUUCAUCCCACCAUUGACUCAGUCCUAGGAACCUCCCACCACUAAUUCGUCCCCAUCUUUCCCAUUUAUCACCACUAUCACGGUACCACCUCCCAAAUACCACAAGCUCCACCACCCAAACAAGUUUUAUACCUUCCUCCACUAGUCACUCAUGUUUUCUUGGCACUUCCACCAGCUACACUCCACCGAUCUUCCAGUGAGCCUUUAUUCUAGGUCCAAGAUAGCCAAUAUUACCCCCUCCCGGAGCCUACUUUUAAGGCUCCAUAACCUUACUCCUAUACUCAUCACUUCGAUCCCCCUGUAGAAACUGAGAAACCAUCUAAGAAUCCCGAACAAGAGGAGAUGUUGAGAAAGGUCAAAAGCCUGGAGCAGUCAUUCAGGAAUAUGCAAGGAUCUCUGUUUAUUUCCAGAUGUUCAGUUGCCGGUGGGAUUUUAGAUUCCCAAGUUUGAUUUGUAUGAUGAGUACGGAGAUCCGGUGGCACACUUGAGAGGUUUUUGUAGAAAAAUAAGGGAAGCUGGCAGGAAAGACGAGUUACUAAUGGCAUACUUUAGUCAAAGUCUAAGUGGUUCGACACUGGAGUGGUACACUUGGUAGGACCACGAUCGAUGGUAUACAUGGGAUGAUCUAGCCCAAACAUUUGCUUGUCAUUUCCCGUAUAACCUUGAGAUUAUUCUGGAUCGUUUGUCUCUGAAAAAGAUUGAGAAAACGCAUACCGAAAGCUUUAGGGAGUAUGGUUUUUGGUGGAGAGAGCAAGAAGAGAGAGUUGACCCUCCAAUGAAAGAAAAUGAAAUGGUGGAUUAUUUUCUGCAAGCCCUAGAACCUACUUAUUACGGCCAUGUGGUAUCAGCUAUAGGCAAGUCCUUCAGUAAAGUAGUGAAGAUGGGUGGUAUGGUAGAAGAAGGGCUUAAGUCAAACAAAGUCAUGCGCUAUUUGGCAAAUAAGACAACUACCCAGGCCAUUCAAGGUGGUACUGGGGGGUGUAACUGGAAAGAAGAAGAAAUAGGAUGUAGCAACAAUUGAUUCAAGAGCUUGGUUCGGACCUAGGAACUCGUCUCACCGCUAUAAUCAGCCUUGACCCCAUUACCAAACCUAUACCCAUACCCCGUAUAAUCCACCCCAACAUUACUACCUACCAACACACCCCUAUUUUUCUAUCCACCAUGCCCAAAUAUACAUCCAACCUCCCGCCCACACAAUGGCGUGCGCCAGCCCCACAAAUACCUAGUGGCCCCCACGAGCCUACCAAAACCCUUCUAGACCAGAUUUCAGGACCAAUCAAGCAUUUAAGAGCGAGAGGUUGCAGAAGAAGAAAACCUUCACUUUGUUGGGAGAAUCCUAUACUAGUUUGUUCCACAUGCUAAGACAACUGGAUAUGCUAAGGCCAAUCGAGUCAAAAUUGCCAAAUUCCCCCCCGAUAAAUCUCGAUUAUUCUGUAAGCAGUGAAUAUUGUUCUGGUGCUUCGGGACAUGACAUAGAGAAAUGCUGGCAUCUGAAAAAUUCUAUCCAAGAGCUCAUUGAUACAAAUCGGAUUGAAGUUCAAGCUCUAGAGGCACCCAACAUCAACCAGAACUAGCUACCAACCCGUCAAUAGACAAACAUGAUUGAGAUAGUGCAUAACGAAGGGCAACCCAAAAAGCCUUCGCAGACCAUCAUGACGAUCUGAUCCAGUGAGGUAAAGCUGGUUGAAAACUCAACAAGUGAAAAAUCAAUUAUCAAGUUGAACGGGACUAACAGUGAACCAUCUGUGGUAGUCGAGAAGGGGUCCCCAAGUGAUGUUGCAGCGAAACAAGAAAGGGCAAAAGUGAUGGUGCCAGGAGUGGUGAACAAGCCUGUUGUAAUUGUGGAGGGUGCCCACAUAGGUCCUAUCAUUAUCAAGCCUGUAAUCUAGUUACUUAUAGUCAACAGCAAGGCUAUCCCUUGGAAUUAUGAACGGGUGACAGUGACUUACAAAGGAAAAGAAGUUAAAGAAGAAGUCUAUGAGACCUAUGGAUUGACUCAUUCAAUGUGAUGCUUUGCCCCCGAGGAGUUAAGAAAGGCUAAAACCUCCAAAGAUAACCCAGUUUUGGUGAAGAAAGUUGUGACAGAAGAAGAGGCUGAAGAGUUUUUGAGAAAGAUGAAGGUGCAAGACUAUUCCAUUGUAAAGUAGUUGAGGAAGACGCUUGCUCAGAUUUCACAGUUGUCAUUGUUAAUCCCUUUAUACAAGCACCGUAGGAACUUGAUGUAAAUCAUGAACGAGGCUCACGUUCCCGAAAAAUCUCAGUAAACCAUUUGGAAAGAUAGCCAACAAGUGUUUGAGGUAAACAUAGUCACUUUUUCUGAUUUUGAGUUGCCCAUGGAGGGUACUGAGCACAAUAGAGCCCUCUAUCUUACGGUGAAAUGUGAACAUUUCGUGGUUACUCGGGUAUUGGUCGACAAUGGUUCUAGUGCGAAAAUUUACCCUCUCUCUACUUUAAACAUGUUGAAAGUGGAUGAUGAAAGAAUUUAUAAGAAUAGUAUCUACUUUCGGGGAUUUGAUGGUAGGGGGAAAGAUUCAGUCGGUGAUAUAGUGCUUGAGCUGAUAAUAGCACCAGUUGAAUUCACCAUGGAGUUCCAGGUGAUUGAUGUAGGUGUUUCCUACAAUCUGCUAUUAGGUCGACCUUGAAUUCAUGCCGCCAUAGCUGUCCCGUCUACUCUACACCAGAUGGUCAAGUUUGAAUGGGAUAGACAAGAAAUUGUUGUUCACGGCGAGGAUAAUUUGUGUGCUCCCAAUGAUGUCGUUGUUCCGUUCAUUGAGUUUGAAGAAGACAAUGGGCCUUGGGUCUACAUGUUAUUAACACAGUAACGAUCAAGAAAAUUUCGGAAGGGAAGUGCGUUCUAAUUUCGAAGGUGGCCACGUCAAUCAUGGUAGCCUUUGAAAUGUUUAAAAAUGGUUUUGUACAUGGUAAGGGUUUGGGUGCAUCUCUUCAGGGUAUCAUACAGCCGACGUCUCUUCCUCAAAAUUUGGGUACAGUUUGUCUUGGGUUCAAGCCCACAGCCGCAGACAUGAAAAGAGAUAAAAAGUUGAAACAGAGGUUGUGGUCCUUCCGAAGCCUAUCCCACGUCUCUCCAAGCUUGUUUGUCAAUCCUGGCACCAGGAAACGCCCAGUAACAAUAGUUCACAGUGCUAUGGUUGGUCUUGAUAAAGGGUUGGUUGAAAAUUUUGAGAAGUUGUUUGACAAUAUGAACAUGGUGGAAGUAGGAUAAAGAUCUAGCAAAGUGGAUGUGCAAUUUGUCGGGCCAACUGCAAAUCUUAACAAUUAGGAAGCUACUCCUCUUCCCACCCGGAAGGAGUUUUGGUAGUUUGCUUUGAUUUUCUUUAAGUUUAUCUGGAUUAUUCCAGGGUUGUAAUUCAGAUUCUAUGUUCCGUCCAAUUGGAUGUGUAAAUAUUGUUAUCCUUUAUGUUUAAUGAAAUGCAAUUUUCCUUUUUCAUCAUUCCUGAUAGUUUUAUUUUUGUUUUUCUUUUCUUUCUUGUACAGUUCUUUUUAUGUUGGUUUCAAUGACAUGACAUGCAUGAGGAAUCUUCAGCCAAGUCAUAAAAGACAAUCUAAUUCUGAAAUAAUAAUUCAAGAAAUAGAGUGUGAUGAUGAAUCAGAAUAUGAUGAGGAUAAGGCCUUUAAAGAGAUUAGUAGAGAAUUAAGCCAUUUUGAAGAAAAACCCAAGCCUAACCUGAGUGAUACAGAAGCAAUCAAUUUCAUGGACCUAGAUAAUAUCAAAGAAACUAAGAUAAGUGUCCAUCUUGAACUGCAAACCAGGGAAGAGAUAAUUAAAGUAUUGUCUAAAUACAAAGAUAUUUUUGCAUUGUCAUAUGAAGACAUGCCGGAUCUAAGCACUGACUUGGUGGUUCACAAAUUGCCCACUGAUCCGACAUUCCCUCCUGUCAAGCAGAAGUUGAGGAAGUUCAAAACUAACAUGAGUGUGAAGAUUAAAGAAGAGGUCACAAAGCAGUUGAUGCAAGGGUCAUUCGAGUCAUGUGGUAUCCCACUUGGUUAGCCAAUGUUGUGUGUAUGCCAAAGAAGGAAGGUAAGACCAGGGUGUGUGUUGAUUACCGUGAUCUCAACAAGGCAAGUCCAAAGGACAACUUCCCACUGCCAAAUAUCCACAUUUUGAUUGAUAGUUGCGCCAAGUAUGAGAUUGGAUCUUUUGUGGAUUGCUAUGCGGACUACCAUCAGAUUUUAAUGGACGAGGAAGAUGCGUAAAAGAAGACAUUCAUCAUGCCAUGGGGAAUAUAUUGCUAUUAGGUCAUGCCUUUCAGUUUGAAAAAUGCUGGGGCAACUUACAUGAGGGCAAUGACGACCAUAUUCCAUGAGAUGAUACACAAGGAGAUCGAGGUUUUUGUGGAUGAUGUAAUCAUAAAGUCCUGAAAGCAAUUUGACCUUGUCAGAGAUUUGAGAAAGUUCUUUCAAAGGCUUGGCAGGUACAAUCUGAAGCUCAAUCCUGCAAACUGUGCAUUCGGUGUUCAAUAUGGAAAACUGAUGGGAUUCAUAGUCAACCAUCGAGGUAUUGGAUUGGACCCGUCAAAGAUCAAAGCUAUCCAAGAAUUGCCGCCCCCAAGGAAUAAGAGUGAGGUGAUGAGUCUAUUAGGGAGGUUGAACUACAUCAACAGGUUUAUUGCCCAACAUAUGACAAACUGUGAGCCCAUCUUCAAACUGUUAAAGAAGGAUGAUACGGUCAACUAGAUUGAUGAGUGUCAAGAAGCAUUUGAUAAUAUGAGUGUCGAACCCACCUGUGUUGGUCCCGCCAGAACCGGGGAGACCUUUGAUUCUGUAUUUGACGGUCUUAGACAAUUGUUUUGGAUGUGUGGGGGGUCAGCAAAACAUUAUCAGCAGGAAGGAGCAGGCCAUCUAUUAUCUCAGCAAGAAGUUCACAUCAUAUGAGGUUAAGUACACUCACCUUGAAAAGACAUGUUGUGCCCUAACUUGGGUAGCACAGAAGUUGAAGCACUAUUUGUCAUCUUACACUACUUACCUCAUUUCUCGUUUGGAUCUGUUAAAGUAUAUCUUCCAAAAGCCUAUGCCCACAAGCCGGCUCGCAAAGUGAGAGAUCUUGCUCACAAAAUUUUACAUCGUCUAUGUGGCUCGGACUGCUAUGAAAUCCCAGGCAUUGGCCGACCAUUUGGCUGAGAACCCGGUGGAUGAAGCAUAUGAACCUUAAAGACUUACUUCCUUGACGAAGAGGUGAUGCACAUCAAUGAGCUGGAACAAGUUGAAGAGCCAGGUUGGAAACUUUUCUUUGAUUGAGCUGGUAAUACGAAAGGCAUUGGUAUAGGAGUUGUACUUAGUUCUGAAAUAGGUCAUCAUUACCAUAUUACGGCUCAACUUCGUUUCUAGUGUACCAACAACAUGGCUGAGUACGAGGUGUGCAUUUUGGGUUUGAGGUUAGCUGCAGAGAUGGGUGUCCAGGAAGUCUUGGUCUUGGGAGACUCAGACCUUCUAGUGCACCAAAUUCAAGGAGAAUGGGAAACAUGAGAUUUAUAACUCAUACCAUAACUAUAGUGUUUGCAUAAUCUUUGUCAAUAGUUUCGAUCAGUAAAGUUCAAGCACAUUCCGAGGAUCCAUAAUGAGGUUGCCAAUGCUUUGGCUACUCUGGCAUCAAUGUUACAUUAUCCUUAUGCUGACCCUUUGCACAUUCAGGUCCGCAAUUAGCACGUUUACUGUAACAUGGUGGAAGAAGAACUUGAUGGUGAUCCAUGGUUCCACGAUAUCAAGGAGUAUAUAAGGAUGAGAGUGUACCCAAUGCAAACCAUAGGUGAUCAAAAGAGAGAAAUUCAUCGUUUGGCAUGUGGAUUUUUCUUCAGUGAAGGAGUUUUCUACAAAAGGACUCCAGAUCUUCGAUUGGUAAGAUGCAUAGAUUCUAGACAAGCCACAGCUAUCAUGACCGAAGUACAUAUUGGAGUCUAUGGACCGCAUAUGAAUGGGUACAUUCUGGCAAAGAAGAUUCUCCGAGCAGGUUAUUAUUGGCUCACCAUGGAGCGAGAUUGUAUCAGUUUUGUGCGCAAGUGUCAUCAAUGUCAAGUGCACGGAUUUGAUUCAUUCUCCGCCAUCUGAAUUGCAUACAAUAUCUGCACCAUGGCACUUUGUUGCUUGGGGUAUAGAUGUCAUUGGACCAAUUGAACCGGCAACAUCCAAUGGACAUAGGUUCAUUCUGGUAGCCAUUAACUAUUCACCAAGUGGGUUGAAGCUAAAACUUUCAAGUAUGUGACCAAGAAGGUAGUGGUCGAUUUUGUUCACUCAAAUAUCAUUUGUCGGUUCGGGAUUCAGAAAGUUCUCAUCAUAAAUAAUGGUGCUAAUCUCAACAGUCAUUUGAUGAAAACGGUAUGUCAACAGUUUAAGAUUACGCAUUGCAAUUCCAUCCCAUAUUGCCCUAAAGCGAAUGGAGCAGUCGAGGCAGCCAACAAGAACAUAAAGAAGAUACUUUAGAAAAUAGUCGAAUGUUCUAGGCAGUGGCAUGAAAAGCUGCCACUUUUGUUAUUGGGUUAUCGCACUACUGUUUGCACUUCAAUAGGGGCAACUCCUUAUUUGUUGUUAUAUGGCAUAGAAGCAGCGAUACCCGCGGAAGUUGAAAUUUCAUCCCUUCAGAUCGUCAUUGUAACCAAAAUUGAUGAUGAUGAGUGGGUCAAAGCCCACUUGGAGCAAUUGAGUUUGAUCGAUGAGAAAAGAUUGGCAGCAGUGUGUCAUGGCAAGUUGUAUCAAUAGAGAAUAGCAAGAACAUAUAACAAGAAGGUUCGUCCAUGGAAGUUUGAAGUGGGUCAACAAGUAUUGAAAUGUAUCCUUCCGCAUCAGGCGGAAGCAAAAGGCAAGUUUGCCCCAAAUUGGCAGGGGUCAUUCAUCGUAACGAGAGUGUUGUCCAAUGGUGCUUUGUAUUUAACAAAUAUAGAAGGCAAAUGUGUAGAAAUGGCUAUGAACUCUGGUGCAGUCAAAAGAUAUUAUGUAUGAUUUCUUUGGUUAAGUUGUGUUUGUUUGUACUUGCCAUGUUUUGAAGAUUGGAAUUACAAAGGCACUUUGUUCAGCUAUCUAAACACUUUAUCAUUUGUUACCCCUUUUGAGCCAUAUUUAUUUCCUUUCAUACCCCUCUUUUAGAAUUAGUAUUAAAGUUCUGAUGAAAGCGCAAAAUAUAAGUAAAGGAAAAGAGAAAAAAGAAAAAAAAGACACAAAAAAAAAAGAAGAAAAGGAGAAAGAAAAAACAACAACAAAACAGCAAAAAGAGAAAAAGGAAAAAGAUAAGAGAGAAAUAAAAGAAUGAGAAAAGAUAAAAUCACAACAACAAAGCAAUUUCUAUGACAUGAACUACGUUCCACCUGAUUCCUUUUAAGGAGUAGGCAGCCUCACGGUUCGUUACCAUCAAAAUAAAAAUCUAAAAAUCUCCAAGCAAAGAACCCGGGGCAGAAGUUGUGGUUAUGUAAAAGAUCUGAUUCCAAAAGUUGUAAGCUUGAAUCCAUUCAAGUUGUUUUGAGCCUUCGUGAUACCCUUUCUUUCCAACCCUAUCCAAAAACACACAUUACGGUCCAAAGAAAGACAUUUCGACCAGUCUUUGAAAGAUGUCGAGUUGAGCAAGCAGAGGUUAUUCAUAGCAGGGGAAAAACUCUGGUCUAAGCAAGAAAAAAUGAAAAAAAUGAGAGAGUCUUAUUGGUGAAAACCCUCUUGGGCACCGCAAAGCGAUGAAAGCUGAGAGAAAUAAAAAAUGAGAGAGUCUUAUUAGUGAAAACCGUCCCGGGCACCGUAAAUCAACAGUGAGUUGAGAGAUGAACAAAUGAGAGAGGUUUGUUGGUGAAAACCCUUCAGGGCAGGCCGAACACGGACAAAGUUUUGGCAAAAAAAUUAGGUUUUGAAGAUCUCAGGGCAUAAAGUACGACGACUAGAAGUUGAAUUGUUUGACGAACGGGGCUGAUUAAUCCAAAAUGAAUGUCAUGAUCAUUGGUACCAGCUACACCACUCAGAUAAGUCUCUCUUCUUUUCCCUUCAAACAGUCAUCCAGUUUUGUAUUUUCUUCUUUAUUCCUAAUUCUCAAGGUCAUUGCAUUUCAUUUCUUUUGGGAUUAUUUUAAUAAAAUGUGUUCAAUGUCAGUUGUGUUUAAGCAAAUAAGAAAGGAUUUCAAAGCUCACUACCAAUAUCCAAAGUUGCACAAAGCAUAGUGCGGCCAAAGCAUGCCAGAGUUAGUACGGUGUAAAAUGGGAUGUAAAGCGUCAGAGAAAGUUCCAUUGGUGGAAUGGUUUUGUAAUUUCAUGGGAGAUGUAGAGGUUCAGAUAGAUGGGUCAGAGAUGUAACACAACAGUUAGGUAUACAACACUCAGGUCAUCCAAGGUCAUGUGGGUAAAAGUCAGUCAGGAAGUCAAGCGAUUCUUGGCCAGUUCGGGGAAGCCAGUCAAAGCAGAACACGGCAGCGGAAAGGCCGCCCUCAACGAGAAUGCCACAAACUAACCACCACAUUUUAAAAUGACACGAUUUUUCUUUGAUUGAAACAGGGGCAUAAAAUCUCAUUUGUUUUGGUGAAACCCUUUGCAAUGAAAAGUUUGUUUUCAAAUUUUAACUAAGUCACAUUGUCUAGUUAAAAUUCAAAAUGUUCAUAAGUAACAAUAUCUAACAUAAGCUCUACUUUAAGGAAAUAUAAGUUGGUUUUCAAAUUUUCAUUCCAAGGACGAGACUCAAUUGGAAAUUUAUAGGACCCUCCUGGAUAAUGGGACUUAAUUUAAAUUUUUCAGUAUCCUCCUAGAAAAUGGGACCUUAUUUAAAAUUCAAAACAAUCAUGAGUAGAAAAAUCCAGCAUAAAUGUACCAAAGGAAAAUAAAUUGGCUUCGAAUUUUUUAUGCUUGAGAUAGGACUUAACUUAAAAUCUUUAAGACCCUCCUAAAUAAUGAGACUUAGCUUUAAUAUUUCCAUUAGAUAACAAUAUCUAGCGUACGUUCUGCUGUAGCGCAGUAUAAUUUAGCCGGGAAAGUUGUCACUCUUGAGAUAAGAUUUCAGGAUCCUCCUAGAUAAUGAGAUAUAGGUUUAAGACUCUCUCAGAUAACAAGAUUUAGCAGAAGUCAUACCUUUAGAAGAUAUAAUUUAGAUUAAAAACUGUCGUUUGACUAGGAGUUUUCAUGACCCUCCUAGAUAAUGGGAUUUAGAUUUCAAAUUUUUAGAGAUAUUUGGUAACAUGAUUCAAUUAACACUAACAGAUAUGCCCAGCUGCCAAACUUGGGCAGAAAAUUUGUGUUGUUUUGUCUAUUUUGUUGAAAUCAGGCGUCCACUUGGAAAGCAAGGAAAUACAGCUAAAGUUUUGGUAAUCUGGCGACCACCCGGAGAACAAAGGAAAUACACCUAAAGUUUUCGUAAUCAGGCACCCAUCUAGAAAGCAAGGGAAUACAAUUAAAGUUUUGGUAAUCAGGCGAGCACCUGAAGAGCAAGGGAAUACAAUUCAAGUUUUAGAAAUCAGGCACCAACCUAGAGAACAAAGGGAAUACAGCUAAAGUUUUGGUAAUCAGCCACCCACCUCAAAAGCAAGAGAAUACAAUUAAAGUUUUGGUAAUCAGGCACCCACCUGAAAAGCAAGAGAAUACAAUUAAAUUUUGGGAACUAGGAGCCCAUCUGGAGAGCAAGGGAAUACAGUUAAUGUUUUGGCAAUCAGGCACCCACCUGUAAAGAAAGGGAAUACAGGUAAAGUUUUGGCAAUCAGGCGCCCACCUGGAGAGCAAGGGAAUACAAUUUAAAUUUUGGUAAUAAGGAGCCCACCUGAAGAACGAAAGGAAACAGUUCAAGUUUCGAGGAAAAGCAGCGCAAGUGUUGGUAAUUAGGAGCCCACCUGAAUAACAAAGGGAAAGCAACAAUGUUCGAAGGAAUGCGGCUCAGGUUUAGCAAUCAGGUGCCCCCUAAAGAAAAGGGAAGGCAUCUCAGAUUAUAAUUCAAGUCGGCAACAAAGGAAUUUCACCUGGAGAAUACCAAGUCAACAAAGCAACAUGAACCACAAAGAUCAAGUUUGUGGAUAUAGAUAGAAUUUUUGUAAUGCAUAGAUCACAUUUUAGUCUAGCUUCUUUUAUUUUGUCAUGGUGUAAUUAGAAGUUAGUAAGCAGUAGCAACAGCAAUAGUGAAAUGACAGCUUCAUGUAAUCCCAGCUACCAAAACUUCCAAACUACACUAACUUGAUUCCUUUAUAGCAAAGGAUAUAUAAGCAACCUCGGAAGCAGGGCGCAAUAAAAUCUUUCAAAAAUGCUUUCCACGGAGAACUCAAGCCGAGCAAUAAUCGCUCGUAUUCGCUCAUUUUAUCUUUGUAUGAAAACUGUUCGUGUUUCCGAGAAAAGAGGGGCAAAUGUAAGCACGUAAUUUUUGACCUAUAUGAAUUACUCCCACAAAUUCAAAAUAAAAUCAUUUUUUCCAAUUUGUUUGCAAUUCCGUUGAUUUUUGUAGCAUUUUUUAUUGUUUGCAUUUGUCUGUGCAUGUUUAUUUUAUUUACUUCAUAAAAAAUACAAAAAUAUGUUGCAUUUGCAUUUAGGGCUUAAUUUUAUAUUUGCUAGACUAAUUAGCAAAUUAGUUGUCCUAUAAAAAUGGGAAAAAUAACAAUAAUAGUUUAUUUGUGCACUUUCUAAUUUUAAUUUUGGAUUUUGAUAGGUUCUUUGUUAAUUUGGUUUUUAAUUAAUUGUGGUGAUUAUUAGUUAGAGUCAAUUAGUUAAUUUGGUAGAAUAAUUUGAUUAGGAUAUUAAAUUAUAUUUUUAUUUUUAAUUGUGAAAAAAAAAGAAUUGUGAAAUAAAUUGAAAAGAAAAAAGUACCGGAUCAGAUCUUUGGGCCAAAAAGGUUUGAAAUUUCCGGCCCAAAUCAUUUCUCCCCCAAAUACCUGCCCAACUCCAGCCUAGACCCAUCCCCAACCCGGUUCAAACCCAUGUUGAGACCAAAUGACCCCAUUUUGAAAGCACUUCGAUCCGGGCCGUUGAUUUUGUUUAAUUGGACGGUCCGAAACUGGGGUUAGUAAAAUAUAUAAUUGUCCAACGUCUUCACCCCCUCCCCCCGUAUCAUCUCCCAAACCCCUUCAUCUCUAAAAACCCUAUAGACGACGCCCCUUUUCUCCACUACCUUGAGCCCGCGAAGCUGCCUCCAAACAACCCCAAAAUUACAGCCCUAAACCCCCAAUACCUUCUUCAUCCCAAAUCCCAAAUCUAUUGCCUUCGAAUCAUAGUUAAGCUCUUCAAAUCUCAGAUCGAAGAUCGAAGUGCCUUGAGCCCUAACUUCUCAAAACACCUGCAGAAUACUACCAUACAACCACUCUCAUCAUUCCUUACUAAAGCCAUCAUUAAGUCCAAAAGAAAAACACUCUCAAGUCUCGUGAAUUCCCCAUCAGAUAAGAAACCCGAGUUCUUUUAGUUCCAAACUAUCUGGCUCCCAGAGUUCAAUACAAAUCGAGAUUUGUGUUAGCCAAGCUUUCUCGUUAGAAGCUUUAGCUAAUUCGAAUUUUGGUUCGAUUUUGAGAGGCUAAGCUAUUUUGGCAAGCUCAUGUUCCCUCACCUUUUGGGACAUUCAUUUGCGAUAUAUUUCUUCCCAAGCUUUGUUUUGGUUAGUUGACACCCCUUUCCUUUCCUUAUUUGAUUUUCUUUUGUGUUUUGUAUCCACUCCCGAUGAUUCGUCUCUUUUCUAUGGUUAUUAGUUGGUUGUUACAUGUUUAGAUUUAUAUCAUAUUAGUGAUUAUCAACAUAUUAGUAUAAUUAACAUUUUCUUCAGUUUUCUUUUUAAGUGCUUAAUCUUUGUUCUCUGUUUUUCUUGAUUUUAUUUUAGGUUGUGACAAUUUUUUUGAUAAUUACCUUAAGAUAGAUUCCUAUUAAAUUGGUAAUUUAGUCUUAAUUUUAGUUUGGCAUUUUAGCUUAAAAGGAAAAGUCACUUGCGAUUAUUCAAGUCUUAUAAAGAAGCCAAGAGCUCUCGGCGCAUGAUAGCAAGAUCGUCGUCGUGCCCGGACAAUGGCUCGUCGCCGGCGGAAUUUGGCCCUCACUACCGCUCAAAUAGUCACCCCUGCGCAUGGUGUUACUAAGGAACUAGAACCAUUGACUUUUGGUAAUUUCCUAUUCCAAUCGACAGAGAUGAUGCAUGUAGAUGGUGUUACGAAUGAUAUACCACCUCCGAUGAACAAAAUUGAAGUUCCGGCUAGCCUCACUGUUAGACGACUACAGUUAUCAGAAGCUAGUGGGUGUGAGAAAUCAAUUCCGACUGCUGAAGUUGUGCGAGGUAAUUGAAAUGCUAAAAUAGGUAAGCCACUCUUAUUCGUGCCUCCUACUGAUAGAGAUGGUCAGAAGGUUGUCAAAAUUAGUGAAGAUGAUUUGAAAUCUCAGGUGGAGUACUGGAGUACUGCGUUAAUUGGAUACGUAAUUGGAGAUAAUCCUAAUGAGAAAAUGAUGGAGAAUUUUGUGCUGCAUGUGUGGAAUUUUGUGUCUACGCCUCAGAUUCUGAUUCACUCUGAAGGAUAUUGCAUAUUCCGAUUCAAUAGUAUAGAAGACAACGAUUUAGUCAUUUAGUCUUGGUUUUACUCGUACAGGAACAAACCCAUGGUGUUGAAGCCUUGGGAAAUUGAUUUCUCCUUUCAGAAUGAUGUACUCAGCACAGUACGUGUAUGGAUUGGAUUUCCUGGACUUCUAGUGGGCUAUUGGUCUAUUGAAGUAUUGAGCAAAAUGGCUAGUGCAGUGGGUAAACCAUUGUACACAGACAAAUUCACAGCUCACUAUGAGAAGAUCUCUCUUGGGAAAUUGAUUUCUCCUUUCAGAAUGAUGUACUCAGCACUGUACCUGCAUGGAUUCGAUUUCCUGGACUUCUAGUGGGCUAUUGGUCUAUUGAAGUACUGAGCAAAAUGGCUAGUGCAGUGGGUAAACCAUUGUACACAGACAAAUUCACAGCUCACUAUGAGAAGAUCUCUUUUGCUCGAGUACUAGUAGAGGUUGAUGCUGCCCAUUCCCUCCCUGAUCAGAUAGAGAUUGAGACUCCAUUUGGCCCGAAGAUCCAGCUGGUUGAAUAUGACUGGAAGCCUAGUUUCUGCAAUUAUUGCCUGAAAUUCGGCCAUGAUUCUGUUGACUGCUGGUAUAACGCAGGAAAUGAUGUAGAACAGGAUAUUGGAGAACAGGGAAAGAAAAGAAGACAGAGGACCAGAUUGCUAUUGACUGCUGAUAUAAUGCAGGCAAUGAUGUAGAACAGGAUAUUGGGGAACAGGGAAAGACAAGAAGACAGAGGACCAGAUUGAAAAGCAGGCUAAAGUUAUUAAGAAAGAAUGGCUUAUUAAACAACCUAUAGCUAGUGCAGAUACACAGGUAAGUAUGCCAGUUCAACCAGAGCAUAACAAGGAGAAUACGCAGCUGGGAUAUAAUACUUCUUGUAUGAAUAUUGUUCAACAGAAUGCACUGAUAGGCCCUGACAUCCAGGAAGGAAAUGUUACAACUAUCAAUGACCCUACUGGUAACAGUGAAGAUAUGGUUGACAAAUGUGAUAAGGGGAAGGCUACUAUCGAUGUGCUAGAUACUGGCAGAAGGGGUCAACAAGUUGAUCCGGGGCCUUCUCGGAGCAUAUUUCCUAAUGCUUCACGAUUAUUGUCACUUGGAACAUUAGGGGGGCUUAAUCAAGCCCAUAAGCAGAAAGAAUUUAAAAGCUUUCGGGCUGUAAAUAAAGUAGAUGUCAUGGGUUGUCUUGAGACUAGAGUGAAGGAACACAAAGCAAAGAAGAUUUUAGAUAAGAUUGCUAAGGGAUGGAAGGUCCAUUGCAACUACACUAAAGCUGCUAAUGGGAGGAUAUGGCUACUCUGGAAACCUCACAUUCAGGUCCAUAUUUCCUGUGUGACUGACCAGUUUAUUCAGUGUCUCUUAAAAGACCCUCAAAGUAUCAGAACUCACUUGAGUGUCAUUUAUGCUCAUAAUACUGCAAACCUUAGGGAACAGCUGUGGAGUGAUUUAAGGACAGUAAAUGUUCCCAAUCAAGAUUCUUGGGUGCUUAGUGGGGAUUUUAAUUCUGUAUUAUGUUCUGAAGAUAGAAUUGGUUCUCCUGUCAGUGAUGCUGAAGUCAGAGGGUUUAAAGAGGUCAUUGCUGAUAUCCAACUUACUCCCCUUAGAGCUAAAGGGUGGCAUUACAAUUGGACAAAUAAGCAGGGUAAUACCACUAGGGUCUAUAGCAAGAUUUAUUGGGCCUUGGGUAAUUUCCAGUGGAUACAGCAGUAUGGACACCUAGAAGCUGACUUCAUGAACCCCUCAGUUUCUGAUCACUCUCCUAUUCUCAUCAAAUUUGGGAGUCAAAAACAUAUGCAUCCUAAACCUUACAGACUCUAUGUUGCUACAAUGGAGAACCCCCAGUUUAUCACCAUACUACAACAGGUCUGGGGACAGAAAUGUGAAGGAUCACCUAUGCAGCAGAUAUGGACUAAAUUAAAGACGUUGAAGCAACACUUAAAGGAGAUAAAUAUCCAUAUGGCUUCAUACAAACAGAAACUUAUUCAGGCUAGGGAGACACUGGAUAUUAUACAGAAUCAGCUGCAGCACAAUCCACUUUCACAGAAUUUGUUUACUGAGGAAAAGCAGCACUAAAUGAAAUUGAGAAAUGGAGCAAUGUGGAGGAACAAAUUAUGAGACAGAAAUCCAAGGCUUGCUGGAUUGACUGUGGAGAUGCUACAAGGUAUUAUACAGACUCAGCUGCAGCACAAUCCACUUUCACAGACUUUGUUUACUUAGGAAAAAGCAACACUAAAUGAAAUUGAGAAAUGGAGCUGUGUGGAGGAACAAAUUAUGAGACAGAAAUCCAAGGCUUGCUGGAUUGAUUGUGAUGAUGCUAUACAAAAUAUUUCCAUGCUCAGUGGAAUAUUAGAACAUGCCAGAAUAACAUUACUUCUAUAUACACUGAUUCAGGUAUGAAACUCACAGACCCCUUAGCUAUGGAGCAGGAGUUUAUAAAGGUGUUCAAAUCAUUGAUGGGGGAAUGUGCUCAAGAACUGCCUUGUGUCAACACUGCUGUUAUUAAAGAAGGACAAUGUCUAACUUUAUCGCAGCAAAGAAUGCUAAUUCAAGAGGUUACAUUGGAAGAAAUUAUAGUAGCUCUAAAAGAGAUGCCUAAGGACAAAGCACCAGGUGUGGAUGGGUUUCCUGUGGAAUUCUUUACUAAUAACUGGGAGAUAGUAAAGGAAGAUGUACUUGCUGCUACAAAGGACUUCUUCUCUACAUCCAAACUGCCUCACAUGAUCAAUACCACUGCUAUUGCACUUGUUCCUAAGGUUAGAGCUCCUACAACUGUUAAAGAUUAUAGACCUAUUGCCUAUUGUACCACUGUAUAUAAAAUCAUCUCCAAAGUUAUUACGAGGAGAAUGAAAACUGUUAUUGGUGAUUUAGUUGGACAAGCUCAGUCAGCUUUUAUUAAAUGGAGAAGCAUUGUUGAUAAUAUUUUGCUUAGCCAUGAAAUCUUCAAGGGUUAUUCAAGAAAAGGAGUUUCCCCCAGAUGUGUCUUGAAGGUGGACGUGAGGAAGGCCUAUGACACCCUUGAAUGGGGUUUCCUCAAAAAACAGAUCCUUAUUGAUCUUGGCUUCCCUGCAAAGUUUAUAAACUGGAUAAUGGCUUGUGUCACUUCUGUUUCCUACUCCUUAGUGCUGAAUGGUGGAUUAACUAAGCCCUUCAGUGCCAAGAGAGGUAUUAGACAGGGUGAUCCUAUGUCACCUUAUCUAUUUGUUCUAGCUAUGGAAUACCUGAAUAGGAUUUUGGGUCAGUUGCACAAGAAUGGGGAUUUCAACUUUCAUCCCAAAUGCAGGAAACUUAAUUGUGCUCAUGUCUGUUUUGCUGAUGAUCUUCUUAUGUUCUGUCGAGCUGAUGUUAUUUCCAUCCAGAUCUUACAUGAGGCUUUCCUUAAGUUCUCUGAAGCUUCUGGAUUACAAGCUAAUAUUAUUAUCUGUUUGUUCUGGCUAUGGAGUACCUCAAUAGGAUAUUGGGUCAGUUUCACAGGAAUGGGGAUUUCAACUUCCAUCCCAAAUGCAGGAAACUUAACUGUGCUCAUGUCUGUUUUGCUGAUGACCUUCUUAUGUUCUGUCGAGCUGAUAUUAUUUCCAUCCAGAUCCUACAGGAGGCUUUCCUUAAGUUCUCUGAUGCUUCUGGACUACAAGCUAACAUUAGAAAAAGUGCUAUUUAUUUGGCUGGUGUACAACAGACUACCAGAGAAGAAAUUUGUCAAGCUGAUACUAUUUCCAUCCAGAUCCUACAAGAGGCUUUCCUUAUGUUCUCUGAAGCUUUUGGACUGCAAGCUAAUAUUAGCAAAAGUGCUGUUUAUUUGGCUGGUGUACAACAGAUUACCAUAGAAGAAAUAAUAGAGACACUGGGAUUCACUGAGGGUCAGCUUCCAUUCAAGUAUUUAGGGAUACCCCUAAACUCUAAAAAACUUGCUUAGAGACUCUGGGGUUCAUUGAGGGCCAACUUCCUUUCAAGUAUUUAGGGAUACCUCUAAUCUCUAAAAAACUUGCUAUCCAUCAUUACUUGCCACUGAUUGAGAAGAUUAUUGAUAAAAUCACUUGCUGGUCAGCCAAGUUGCUUUCUUAUGCAGGAAGAUGUCAAUUGAUCAAAGCUGUUAUUUUUGGUAUUCAAACUUACUGGGCACAAGUGAUCAUACUGCCAAAAAAAGUAUUGAAAGCCAUUGAAGCAAUCUACAGGUCUUUUCUGUGGAUUGGAAAUGCUACUGUGUCUAAAAGGGCUCUGGUUGCCUGGGAAAGGGUCUGCAGACCACUUACUGCUGGGGGACUCAACAUUAUUGAUAUGACUGUGUGGAAUAAGGCAGCUAUUACUAAGCUCCUUUGGGACUUGGCCAGGAAAAAAGACUCUGCAGACCACUCGCUGUUGGGGGACUCAACAUUAUUGAUAUGACUAUGUGGAAUAAGGCAGCUAUUACUAAGCUCCUUUCGGACUUUGACAGGAAAGAAGACUGUCUUUGGAUCAAAUGGUUGCACUGUUAUUACAUCAAACAGUGUGACAUUGUAACAUUGUCCAUGCCUAAGUCAGCUUCUUGGGUUGUUAGGAAGAUUCUGGAAUGCAGAACUGCUGUAAUGGAGAAUCAAAAGCUACAGGGGGAUCUUUUUAGCAGGUUGAAAGGAAUGUGCAGGCUGGAUAUAUUCCAAAUCAAGAAACUCUACCUUACAAUGAUUCCCAGUUUCAAUAAGGUAGAGUGGAAGAAUAUGAUGCUGACUACUAAUGUUCAACCUCGACACAAGUUCACUGGAUGGCUAGCUGCUCAACAAAGGUUUGUAAAUAAUGUUGCUCUUAUUUGGAGGGAAAGGAAUUGCAUUCGGUUUGAUUGGAAAUAUUUGUGGAAGAACAGUUUUGCAGAGAAGUUGCUUUGCUUGUGGCAACUUAACUGUUUUCCUUAGCUAUAGUCUAGUAGAUUCCCUAUAUUAAGAUAGCAUUUGUUAUUAAUAGUUGUAUUAGUAUAGUGAUUGUUUGUAAAUGAGUAGUAGCUAGUCCAUGCUACUACUAUAGAACUUUACAUUGUACAUCUGCUUUGCUUGUGGCAACUUAACUGUUUUCCUUAGCUAUAGUCUAGUAGAUUCCCUAUAUUAAGAUAGCAUUUGUUAUUAAUAGUUGUAUUAGUAUAGUGAUUGUUUGUAAAUGAGUAGUAGCUAGUCCAUGCUACUACUAUAGAACUUUACAUUGUACAUCCAUUUGAUAUCAAUGAAAUUUAACAGUUAUACCUAAAAAAAAAGUCACUUGUUAGCUUGUAUUUUGGGUUCUUUGAAGUCACUCAAUUAUUUUUCCUUUCUGUUUAUCGUCAAAUUGGCUAAUUGGAUUUCUGAUCCUUUUAAGUUUGGGCCAGGGGUUAAAUUCCGGCUCAUUCAUUUGGGUUUGAACCAUUGUGUCGAAAUUGACCCAUGAGGUUGAAGGAGUAAAUAACAGGGGUUUUAAGGGAAAUUUAGGGACUCUAGGUAAGGAAAUCUUUGAAAACUGAUUGAGGAAGCUUCUAGGAAGCUGGGGUGGGGACUAAAUUGAAGUUCUGAAUUUUACACUAAUGGUACCUAGGCUAAAAUAAAAAUAUCAAAAGGUGCAGAGUGAAAAUUUGUUUACUUUUAAGCGGACCUAAUAGCUUUCCUAUAAAGGCACCCUUACUUGAUAUUCAAGUUAGACUUUGGAAGAGAUAAAAAGCUAAAAAACUGAGACCACUGAAAUACUUUGAUAACACUAAUUCCCCUGCAUUUUCUUGGUGAAAAUUGCUCAAAAACACUAUUUAAAUUUGAAUAUCCUCUCAUAUAGAUAGAACCCCCUGAAAGUCUAGAUUCUGCAUUUGGUUUAAAAUGGCUUAUUUUGGGCUUUGAAAAGCUGGUUUGAAGCUAUUUGGUUUCUGGUUCACUAUUUCAUUGACUGAAAUUCUGAAUUGCUUCUUUUGUUUGCUUCCUCUUUGCCGACACUGCUCUGCUACUGUUGAUCUCUCAAUUUCAUACUUCUUUUGCUUUCCAAUUAUCUCUUUAGCCCAUGAACAACGAGGGAUUGUUGAACAUUAACUCAAGUGAAAUUCUGACUAAAUGCAAGCUGCAUUUGAAUUUAGUUUCCCUGUUUCUCUUGUUUCUUCAAUAUUCUGUAGUUAGACCAUAAAUUACAAAUGUCAGUUUGGCCUUCUCUUUUUUUAAUUGCAUAUUCUGAAUCCAUGUGUGAGAAUAAAAUUUUCUGAAUAUGUGUUUGAAAGUAAGAGUAAAUCUGGAUCUGUAAUGAUACAUGACCUAUGGACUCAGCUAUUCAGUUUUCUAUUUAAUGAGUUUGAGUGUGUGUUGGGUAAAGGAGCUAUCAAGGUUUUAUAGUAGGAGUUCAAUUUGAUGCUUUGGGUUGUCGGCCUUUUUUCAAUUUCUGCUGAAGAUCAGUGUAGUUUUAGCUUUACGUCCAUUUGAAUUCAUUGAAAUUCCAAGUAUAGGCUUGUACGUUUGUAUUGACUUACUCAGAUUCGUUUUGUAAGCAUGUUCAUUUUGAGCUUAAGGUUUAGAUUCAAGUCUAUUUAUUGGGUCACCCCAUAGGUUUACAUUUAUCAGUCAUGUGUUGAGCAAAAGUUUAAGUAAACUUGGGGGUUUCAUAAUUUUCUCCUGAAGUUAUUUGAAAGUUGAUUUCCAGAAUGAUGACCAAAUGAUUGCUUGAUUUGGGAAUUUUUGUUCAGAAUGUUGAUCUGAUCGUUCCAUGUUAGAACAAUUAAAAUUUGGAAGUCAAGUGUUGAUUAUUUGCAUGUCUCUUGGACCCAGAUUCGAAUUAGCCUUGCCUUGUGUUAGUUUGAUUCAAAUGAAUAUCAACCCCAACAUUUUCUUACUUUUCGUUUACAUUAAUUUAAUUUAGGAUCUCUAUGAUGACAGAGUCUGCUUUGAAUGAUCCACAUUCUCAUAUUUGGGCCUAGAUUCAAGUUGGCCCGACUAAGUCCUCGAGGAUUCCUGUUUACACUCCCGACCUUGGGUUGUUCCCCAGCCCAUUUCCUUUUAAAAGAGGUUCUGGCUUUCAAACAUAUGACAAGUCUGAAUUCGUUUCCCCAAGCCUACCUGUAGAUAACGCAUCACGUAUAUGUGGACUGGAGCAAUGUGAAUGGAAUAACACCUGGUUGAAGUUCAUUUCACUUUUAUAAUGAUCAUGACCAUAGUGUGGUUGGAGGCGAGCUAUAUUAGAUAAGUUACAGUUUAUGGCCCUCCAUAGCUAGAUUAGAAACCCUUCUACUAGUAUAAUAGCAAAGUCUCAAAAUUGCAUGGUCGUCGUUUAAUUGAUAUUUUUAUUCUUAGAAAUCGAGGCGCACCAUUUAGUGAAUUUUUCAUGGCCCUAGCAAAGUUACAAAUGUAUAGUUGCUUUAGGCACGUUAUUUUAAUAGUUUACCUUCCUAAACUCGGGUUCGCAUUUAUGUGACCCAAAUUCAAAUCUCAACAAUGUUAGAUAAAAUAUGUCGAGAGUCGCGGGUGCACUUAUGUGACGUGGUUCAAGACGUAUUGUAAAAGACGUUGUAAUUUUCCUUAAAAUAAUUAAAAGAUGCUAAUAAGUUAAAGUUGAACCAUAUGUUAAAACAUGUUAAAAAUCAGAUAAAUAAGCCAAUAAUAACAGUUGAGCAACCAUGCUAGAACCACAAAACUCAGGAAUGCCUAACACUUUCUCCCGGGUUAACAGAAUUCCUUACUCGGAUUUCUAUGUUCACGGAUUGUAAAUCAGAGUCAAUCUUUUCUCGACUUGGUAUUUAAACCGGUGACUUGAGACACCAUAAAUUAUCCCAAGUGGAGACUCUGAUCUUAAUUAAAAUAAUCUCAUUUCGAUUGUUACAAAAAUUGGAAGAAACUCCCAUAUACUCCCUUCCAGGGUGUAGGAAAAAUAAGGUGUGACAUCGACUUACUGAGCAUAAUUAUAUGGAUUGGUACCAUGGUGUUACUCAACGUUUUUUGUCGGGAAUCCCAUUCAUCGACCUAGCAGCCGGUACGUUCCAUACACCGGGAGGUACAAGGCAUUGGAAUGUUAUGUGGUGUUCUUACAUAUAACUGUAACCUAGCAUUUUGUAAUUUAUAUUUUACAUGUUGUGCAAGAUUUUGACCUACAUUUAUUCAACCAGUUUGGACUGCAAAUGCAACAGCAUGCCGGUGAAGGAGCGGCUAUUUUGCACGAGUAUGGGCGACAAGUUACAGAGAUGGCUGCCUUAAUACUGCAGCGAGCCCGAAUGGAUGAGCGCUUAGUGUACAUCCAUGAUUAUGUGGAAUCGAGCACUACCAUCGAGGUUGGCCUAUCCCACGAGGUAGGGGAGCAUGAGGCAGGGGUAACCCAUGAAGUAGGGUUGUCCCACAUGGUCAUAUGGGCCGGUGAGGAGGUGGUCCCUAGCAAAGGGGCGUUGAGGCACCUAUUGAGGAUAUUGGAGCUGAUCUGAUGGGUGACCUCUAUCAGCCAGACGAGCAUGAAAGCAGAAUGCCGUCAUUUAGCCUUCAGCUACCGUUAACUCCAACAGCAUCGAAUUUGACCCCAUUAGAUCCAUUAUUGAUCAUAGGGACGAGCAUUACCGGAGUUGAUAGGGAGUAGUACUUUUUAGGCCCAUCGAUCGCUGCUGAGGAUCAGCCGACCCGAGAUGUGGAUAGUGGGCACCGACUCAGUUAUAGCUCAUUGUCGACGGGUGUUGGGGAUCAUUCACAUGCGAAGGUAUGUUUAUAUUACUAUUAAAUUUAUAUUUGUUUUUAUCUCAUUGAUUCACCAUAAAUAACUUUACAAUUUUCUUAUUAAGGCUUCAUCCUCGCCCGUCACCGAGGCAAUUUUGUGCGAUGUUGACCAGGAUGCGACGGAUGCUUAUUUCAGGAGCCAGACGAGACAAUGGUAAGACAAUUUAAAUUUUUUUUGACUUAACAUGUACAUUACUAAUAUAUAUUCAUAUACUGAGCUGACUUAUUCUUUUAUAGUUUGUUGAUGGACCGACAACUCCUCCUACCAAUCAUGUUGCAUCGUAUCUUGCAAUAAAGAGGCUAAGUGAUGAGGAUGAUCCUGAUAGCGUAUCCGGACGGUAUGGGAUGUGCCUCAGGCCAAUGGCUUCAUUGAAGCGCAAAGGCUGUGAGACACAUUAAUAUUUUUUCUUCUGUCUUUUAUGUAAAUAAUAACAAUAAUUUUUAUGUUAACAUUAUAUGCGCAUUAUGUUUUUAUGUUCCCAUUUAUUCUUUAUUUUAAUACUACAACAUGAACACAAACACAAACAUAUUAACUUAACAUAAUUUCAAUUCAGUACAACAAAUAAAAAUACAUAACACUUGAAAUAUAAGGAUAAAGUACUACAGCCAACACAUACAAGUCAGUGUUUAGUCACGACCGCCUAUUAUUCUCUGCUCCAACCACUUAAAUUUCUCUUCCAACUUACUUUUUCUUCUUCCGCCUCUUUUAGUUUCUCCUUCAACUCCGCAAUUUCUUGUUUAUAUUUCCACUGUUUUUUGGUCAAAUCAUGAUAAUACUGCAAAAUCUCUUUGUAGCAUUCCUGCUUACAGGGUUCAUCAAACCAUACCUCAAAAUUGCAAAAAUUUCCGUUAUUGCUUCCGAACCUGUUCACACACAUCCAGUAUCUGUGUCCAACUUGACCAUCAUUCCAACGGUCCACCAACAUGCAACGUUUUCCACAUUGGUACAUAAAUGCUUUCAUACAUUUGUUAAAGCAAAACAAAACCAUGCUUUUAUGAAAAGUUUUGCUAUUUGUUAUGGUUAAGCACAGAAAAUAACUAGAAUGCACCCGUUAUUUAUAGGCAAGGCAACACACAUAACAUAAUAUUUAACCGCGCUAUGCUCACACAUGACGUUGUAUUUAACCGCGCUGUACUUUGCAUGUUAAUGAUUCUUUCGGAUACAAAAUAGAUUUUUCGUAGGCAGACAGUUUUUUAGAUCGAGAAGGCAACACAUAAACAUAGUAUUUAACCACGCUAUAUACUCACGCAUAACAUAGUAUUUAACUGCACUAUGCUUCGCAUGUUAAAGAUUCUUUCGGAUACAAAAUAGCUUUUUGCAAGCGGGCAACUUUUCAUAUCGACAAGACAACACAUUUAACGCAGUAUUUAACCGUGCUAUAUAUAUUCACAUAUUUAUUAAACAUCUUCCUCCUCUGACAGUGUAGUUUUUUAAUAACUUUAGAGUGAAAUUCGAAAGUGAACACAAAAAAAAUUAUGUUUUUUAAUCCAAAUUAUUUUUGAUCACAUGAACAGGAGGGAGAAAUUCAUUAAUUUACUUAACCGAAAACUGUUAAAUAUCAGUAAGAUUUAGCAAUAAUAGAAACAUAAUUUUAUUUGAUAUAUCUUGCAAAAUUUAUAAGUACACACAGUUAUUACAACCACAUUACGAAAAUAAAACACUACGUGUAUCCUUGAUAGUUGUACACAUUAGAUGAACUUCCACUAGGAGCCUGAAUACCACCGCUACCCAAACCAACCGAAGGACAUUUACUACAGUCGUAUUCUGUUUGCGAGCAUAUGCCCAUAAAUGGUAUCACCAGCAUCUAUUUUGUUCCGUAUACACGUUCUUUUUUGCACUUGUAGCUUAUGUAAAUAGUCCUUGGUACACACCAUUUUUAAAUGGUUCUGGUAUCUAACAAUGCUUAUGACCCACUUGUUGCAACUGCCUACUAUAUGUGUUCAAGCACUUGAUGACAUGUGAGCAUGGGAUGUGGUAGAUGGACAAUUUCCCACAAGACACAACCUUCUGAUUUUAUUUAUGGUGUGUACAUUAUUCCCCUGUGUUGAUGGAUAGCAGUACGAACUUCAAAAACACCCCAAUCGUGAUCAUACAGUAAAAAUGAAUGCUAAUGUGCUCGCCUUAUGCAUUUCUCAAAUAUUUUAAUUGGUAUUGGCAUAAAUUCAACACCCCUCUCCAUCAAUUACGAUGCACCUCUAUGCCCUUCAAAAACAUUCUCCCCCAUCUGUUUGAAUGACAUCUGCACAAUGGAAGUGACAUGCAAUCCACGUGUAGACUUCAAUAACCCGUUGAAAGACUCUGACACAUUUAUAGUCAGGGUUCCCUAUUGUUCCGCAUGCAAUGUCUACUUGUGAAGCUCAUGCCACAUAAACCAAUGAUAUGCUCUUUCAUCUAACUCUCAAAUUGAUUCCAUGUGCCUCCUGAAUUUGCACUGCUAGUGAUCAGUUGCAGCCAUCCACAUUAAAUCACGCAAGUCCUUAUUGGGAUAUUUCUUCUGGAAAUUGCCCUUCAGGUGCCUCACACAGUAAUGGUGGUAUGCAUAGGGUUCCUGCCAUUCAGGCAAAUGCUCUACAGAACUUAAUAUACCACCAUGCUGAUCAGAUAUUAGACAAAUACCUGAACGUUGUUUGACAACGUGCUGCUUCGACAACAACAACCCAGGAAAAUCCCACCAGUGGGGUCUGCGGAGGGUAGUAUGUACGUAGACCUUACCCCUACCCCGAAGGCGUAGAGAGGCUAUUUUUGAAAGACCCUCAGCUCAAGAUAAUAAGAAAAAUAAAUUGAGAGAAUAUUAGUUUCACCAUAGAGGUCAUAGGAAAAAUAGGAACAUAAAAUGCAGAAGAAAAAUACAAGGCAGAAAUAAUGGCUUGUAAAUAGAUCUUACACUGAAAAAAGAAAAUAUUAAGACACGACAAUGCCCUACCUAUUUUAUACUAAAACCUCACCAGAUCAAGCUCACAACGGUACAAUGCAAGACUAAACUAUCUCCUAGCCUACAACCGUAAUACUCAACCUCUAUAACUUUCUAUCAAGUGUCAUGUCCUCGGAAAUCUACAGUCUCGCCAUAUCCUACUUGAUCACUUCUCCCCAAUAAUUCUUAGGAAGCCCUCUACCUCUUCUCGUGUCCUCCACAACCAGACGCUCACACCUCCUUACUGUAGCAUCUGGGCUUCUCCUCAUUACAUGCCCGAACCAUCUGAAUCGCGCUUCCCGCAUCUUGUCAUCAAUGGGAGCCAAGUGCACCUUCUCCCGAAUAUCAUCAUUUCUAAUCUUGUCUAUCCUAGCAUUCCUACACAUCCACCACAACAUCCUCAUUUUUGCUACUUUCAUCUUUUAGAUAUGUGGGAUCUUAACAGGCCAACACUCAGCCCCAUGCAUUAUGGCCAGUCUAACUACCACUUUAUAUAACUUACCUUUGAGUAUCGUUGGCACUCUCUUGUCACACAAAACUACGGAUGUUAACCUCCACUUCAUCUAUCUUACCCCAAUACGGUGUGCGACAUCUUCAUCGAUCUCCCCUCCCCCGUGGAUAACCGACCCAAGGUACUUGAAGCUACCUCUACUUGGGAUAACCUGUGAUCAAGCCUAACAUCCACGCCUACUUCCCCCGACUUAGUGAUGAAAAUACACUCCAAGUAUUCCCUCUUCGUUCUGCUCAGAUUGAAACCUUUAGACUCAAGAGUCUGUCUCCAAACUUCCAGUCUCUCGUUAACAUCGGUUUGUGACUCAUCGAUCAGAAGUAUGUCAUCGGCGAAUAGCAUGCAUCAUGGUACCUCUCUUUGGAUGUGAUUUGUUAACGCACCCAUCACUAGGGCGAAUAAGAACGGACUGAGCACAUAGCCUUAUUGUUACCCUAUUUCAAUCGAAAAAUGCUCAAUGUCGCCUCCUACCGUCCUAACCCGAGUCUUAGCCCCAUCAUACAUGUCCGUAACCGCCAUAAUAUAGGAACCGACACAUAUUUUUCCUCCAAGCAUCUCCACAGAACUUCUCUAGGAACCUUGUCCUUCGCUUUCUCCAGGUCAAUAAACCACCAUGUGCAGAUCCUUCUUUCUCACUCUGUACAGUGGUUCAAAAAUAGCUUCCACGUCUCUUGGCUUUCAUUGGCACAGUGGAAAAAGCUAGUGGAAAUAUUUGUCCAUUAACAUCUACUGCAACGUCGAUCAAUAGCUUAAUAUCAUACUUUCUAUAGACAUGAGUACCAUCUAUGGAAAUUAUCAUACGGCAAUGCACAAAACCAUCAAUUGCUGGCAAACAACUUUGUACACAUCUGGACUUGACUCCCAUACCGCCAUCUCACAGCACUCUCUUACGCUGCAUAUUUUUGCCGCCCUACUUAGGCACGCUUUAUUAGGAAAAAGUAUGUCAUUUGCCAGCACAGUUGGUCUAGACUCAUCCCACAUUGUUGUGCGAAUUUUGUCAAAAUCCUUUGUGAGAGCAUCCACAUCCGGCAUACUUGGAAAAUGAUCAAGGUAGAGAAUAUUCCUUGAAUGAAACGGCAUAUGGGACUCCUACACUCUUGGACUAAGGGGAGGUGGAGCAUGCUCCCUUGUCAAAUAAGGUCCGGCAUUUUCUUCCUCUUCAUCAUCACCCUAGACAGGGAAAGGUGUGUCAUAUCCAGAUUCAUCGGCAUUGUUGUCAUAAUUAUUAUUAUCUUGUUGAUUCUGCACAUCUAAAAUUCUGAGUAAAUACACCGUCUAUGGGCAACUAAGUAACGAAAGGACCAUCAAGUUGCUCGUUUUCACUGCACAAACAACAAAAUAAUAAGCUACUCAAAUUGAUAAAUACUUUACAUAUCGCUAUAUCACUUCACUUACAAGUCGUAAUGUGUUGACAUUCCAUAAUCGACAUUAUCCUAUUGUGUGAUGACUCACGGAUGGACCACUGUGAUCCAAUACACCAAAACUAUGCAUAUUCCAACUGGACGUGGGUUCUAAUUAGAAAAAUUCAUAUCUGGACGGUACCCCCUAUGGAAUAUAUGAGUGUUAAUACAAAUUCAAUACAACAAAAAUAAACAUUGUAACACAAAGAAAAAUUGAAGUUUAUCGGUCAUCUUGUGGAUUAUGUAAAGUAGGAGAGAAAUUACUUCCUCGAUCCUCAUUCGCUCGUAAAGAUAAGUUUAGAUCCGGCCAAACUCUUUCAACCGGACCCUGUUCGGUUAAAACUGCUCCAAAAUAACCACCCGAUGAUUGAGGGUUAUCCUUGCUUUACGUAACCUCAUUAUUGCGAACGUCUUCAACCUUCACAUAUGUUUCCAAUAUUUUUAUCAAAAUAAGUUCUCAGUAUUCAUCCGGAGCCCCAAAAAAUCUCUCAGAGUUUUGUCAUCCUCGAUGUUAAACUUAGUGUAACAAGCAACCCUUUGCGGAAUAACACACUACGGAUAUCUUUCGAUUAUUCAAAGAUUCACUAAACAUUUGCUCAACCUCAUUUUAUUACAUAACAAUGAUACCAGUCUAUCGUACUCCAUUGUUAGUAGCAACUUACAUGACUCUGUGGAGAUAAACUAUAGCUCACUGAGUUUAUUCACCACUAUAACCUCAAAUCCCCCUCCCCCUCCCUCUCCCCCUCCUCAAAUAUAAUAAAAUCCUUACUUUUCGCUCUUCAGACAUUAUGAAAAAAAGUAUGAGAAUUUAACAAGAAGAAAAAUUUAUCAUGAAGUAUACAUAUCCGAAUUUAACAAGAAGAAAAAUUUAUAUGUAUACAUAUCUUUUCUUUUCAUCUGGUGUUCAGUACCUACUUUCAGCGCUGACAAAUCCGAACUAUGCUAAUUCAAAAGGAGGGGCGGAGGGAUCGCUCCUUACCAAUGGCAGAUCCAUACCCAAGGCUCUAACCUAAUAUCUCUAAUUAAGCAUGGAGGAAUACAUAUUACUCCACCACACGCUUUGGUGGUGCAAUUACAUAUGCAGAUUCAGAUUUGAACUUUAUGGGUUCAAAUUUAUAUCUCUACCACAUCUCAGGUUCAAAAUUUAUAAUUUAUACAUAUUUAAUGAUUUUUCGGGCAAAAAUUAUAAGGUUUGAGCAAAAGCUAUGGAUUUAGUUGAACUCAUAGCUUCUGCACUUGAUAAUCCUCUAGGUGCAAAAGCACCUACCUACCACCACAAGGAAAGUAAAUAAGGUUGUGCACAUUUGAUCAAGCUUUCUGAAGAAUUUUGUAAUAAUCUAGUUCUACUAUCUAUGAAAGCAAGCUUCGGUAUGCAUUUCGUUUUUAACCCCUCCACAUGCAAGUAAAUUUAUAAUUUGAACUUCCUUUCUGAUGAAUUAAACUUUAUGCUAAGUUAUGACUUACAGCACAUUAGCAAUCUUGGUACUGAGCAUGUUGAAAGAAUUAACGAGAUCAUUCUUUUGCUAUAUUCGGCUUUAGACACAAAAACAAAUACAUCAGUACUAAGACAACACCAAAAAUAAUGAAAAAAAAAAAGAUCAUUUUGAUCCUAUUCCUCCCUUUUCCCUAUUAAUUCACAAGUAAAACCAUCUCCUAAAUAUAUGUAUUAACAAACUUGAGUCUCUUCAUAGUAGUUUUUCAUCAUCCCCUAACUUUUUCUGUAGCAUUUCUCAUCUCCAGUGUAUGUAGGGCGGCGUUCGGUAGGUGGAAAAAAUGGACAAAGGUGCUCUGUUGCCAAAUGUGAAAUUAUCAAAUAUCACAUCUUCUAAAAUGCCUCUAGAAGCAAUUUGCUUCUUCUGGGAAAAAAUGGGACUAUGAACCAUUAAUAGUACACCUAAACCAUCUCCGUCAGGCCACAAAAAAUAUAAGGCGCAGAGGAGAAAAGAUGAACUUUUGAUGGAUAACACUCGUCGAACUCCAUCAUGGAAACUAAAUAAGCUUGCUGGUUCUCCGCCUUGAUGGUCCUCCAGGAAAUAGCUUUAUGAUCCAUCCCAAGACUCGUUCCACCACCUGAUGCAAAAGAAGAAAGUAUACUCAAAGACGAGGUAGCAAGUAUGAAAUUUAAUUAUAAGGAGAUGAGGAGGCCAAAUAGUGAGAAUGGUUGACGCGCAAGAGAAUGAACACCUGAUAACCGGCUAGCAAGCUGUGUUACACUGUUAUUCCAAGAUCUCAAAAUGAAAACUUACAAAAGGUUAAAAUUUAUUAGAGAAAGAGUGCAACUGGUUCGACAAAACAUAAAGCAACAGUCCUAUAGGUGGAUGUUUUAAGGCAUCGCUGCGUCAUAGUCAUUCCUGUAACUAGCUAUGCUAUGUUCGAACCUCUACAAUUUGCGGAUAUUUGAAAACUGAUAUCUGUAUUUUAUAAUGUUUCUAUAUUUCUGACAGGUCGAUAAAGCUCCAGCAGCUUACUCUUGAAGCAUGCUUAAAAAAUAAAAACAAAUCCAAGGGCACAAUGGUGUUCCCUUUUUAUUUAAAGGGUGCUCUGUGCCAACUUAAACUUCAAAUCUAAAUACAGAGUGAGAUAGAAGUACAAGUGUUAAAACUGAUAGAUGAAAGGAGAAACUAAAUAACUUUAAGAGGAUGGUAUUUUACAGGCAUACAGAAGCAGUUAUAUUUAAGUCAUAUGAGUACAAAAAGGUUCAUACAGUAUUGUAAUAGAAUGAAAAGUUUCAAGGUACAUAACAUUACCUCAUCACCUUCAUCAGCAUACGUGGUUCUUUCGUGCAUGGUUAGAGCAUCUGGUUGCCUUGCUUGGUUGUUACCGGUUGCCAUGCUUUGAGCAGUCAAAAGCUCUAAUCUUUGUGUUUGAGCUUCAAGCUUUUGGGUCAAAUCCUUAUUUAACUCCUUUACUCCGCAAGGAACAAAAGAAAAAUCCACCAAAAAGUGUAGAGAGAAAAUUGUUAGUAUCCACCUUUAUAAUUGCACUUCCCAAAGCACUAUAUGAAGAUUGACAGAUAUUUGAGAAAACAUGAGCAAGCAUACUAGAGGGGCUGGCUUACAAAAGGAGACACACAACCAAAAAUGGUACAUUUGCAAUUAUACAUCGGGGAUUUAUGUGGAAGCAACAGAAAGGGGAAAAGCGCAAAAGGAUCCUAAAGUUUAAGGUGAAAAUAUAAUUUGACUCACAUAUUAGAUCCAAAAAGGAAAAAAGUACUGAAUGAUCUUACUAACAAGGAUAGUGCCUUCAUCAAAAUACCUGCAAUUUUGAGCACUGAGAUGAUUCCAGAAACAAGGCUUUCAUCAACUCUUCUUUCUCCAAGGCUAACUGUAAGCAUCCAAGUUGGAAAAAAAUUGUUCAGAUCUUUGGUAUGGUAAAAAUGCCUUAAAAUAUAAGCAGCUAGGCAGACAGGAAGUAGAGGGAGCAAAAAUGAUCUAUCUCAAAUAUUUUAUGCGAAGGAAGCUACCUCAGAAACCAACGUAUUGAUGUUUUGGAUCAUCCUUAUCUGAUAUGGAGGAAUGGCCGUUGAUAAACUUUCAAGACUGAGCUGGUCAUUCUCAGGCAGAUAUGAAAAGAUCGGGCCCUCAGUACUGGGAGCUUCUAAGUUAGAGUCGUCCAUGGUAGUAUUUACGACUUUAUCUUCACCUGAACCGAUACAACACCAGAUAAUUGAAUCUUAUGAAAAUGUAAAAACAAACAUAAAGAGACAUUCUGAAAAUGUAUUUGUGAAAUCUGAAACCACAUACGGAGAUCCUCUGUUGAAGUCGAUACAUCUUUUUUACUAGGCAUACUCCUGCUAACAUCAAGUGAUUUGCUAUUACCAGAAGCUUUUCGUAGUUUCACCUGCAAGAACUUCUUUUCUGUAGAGAGAAAGAAAAACAAGAAGAUCUCGAUACACGUACUGGAAACUGGUGGGGAAAGAAAUGGCAAUUCUAUAUCACUCUAAACCAAGUACAAGCAAAAUCACUCGAAGUUAAAAAUAGGGGUCUCUAAUAAACUGGUAAAGGAAGAGAUGACACUUCAAUAUUUCUCUAAACCAAUUACAAGUAAAAUCAGUUGAACAUUCCUUGAUAAUUUAAUAUUGCUCUAAAUCAAUUACAAGCAGACAAACUCAAAAGACUCCAAAUAGGUUCUUGGAUAAAAAUGGUAAAUGCCUCUAACACCUGCAGCGUUUGUCCAAGCAGACACUGAGAGAAUGAUAAAGCUUUUAAAUUUUCGAGGUUUGAGGAUCAGAUGUCAGAAGAGGAAUUAGUGUAUAACUGUAUAUAUAUAUUUUAAAGCAAGACCAAGAGAGAAGAAAAAUCAAUCAUUUGCUGGCACAGUCAUAAAGAAAUAUCUUGAAUUCUUGCAUGAUAAACUUACCAACCACUCAAAAAGAAACGCUCACAUAUAUCUUCUUGAAUUUUCGUAUCACGCUAGAAGGCUAACUAACCAAAUAAACAGUCAGAAAAGAAAUCGUUCAUUAUUUUAAAACAUGUCGAAUGGGUCUAUUAUUAAUAGUCAGACCCAGCCCUGCUGGGACUCUCCGGAUGUCAUUACUGUUUCAGCUUACAAGAUAAGCGUUUAUGCAAGAUCCAAACAAGACCUUCAAAACUGUAUUCCCCAGUGGUUUAUUACAGAAAAGUUUUAUGCUGGUAGAGAAACUCAACCUCCAUAGCCAGUUGAUAACAACAAAAGAGUAUUAGGUAGUUAUUUGAUUAUGAUAGUUGACUUAUAUAAUAGCUGAUGUCACAGAACAACAUUGUGAAAUAGCUUGUUUAUAUUGAGUCAAACUGCCACAGGAGGAAGCAAGAAGGUAUUAUCCAUGUGAAUUUUAUUUAAGGCGGUGAAGAGCAGAUGUAUAUCAAUAUAGCCACAGCUCAUGUAUUCCUACAAACGAAAACCACCUUGUAUCUAGCACACGGCCACUAUCUUCUUACCUUCUUUUAGAGCAUCAAUUGUUGACAACAGAUCCUGACGGUCCUUUUCAAGGCUAGUCAUUUUCUUUCUGCAGAAAAACAAGAGAAAGUUGAAUGAGAUCAACACCCACAUUUAAUGCAAUUUAGAAGUCAAUGAUCAAGGAAAAACGAGUCAUAGGCCGCUCAAGUAUUAAUCCCAUAGAAUAUGCAUUAGAUGAUUUAUCUUUUUAUAAACAAGAUGAGAUAGGUGCAAGUGGGAAAAAGGAAAGCUGCUUUCUUUUAAGAGGUACAGUUUGGAGCAUAUAAUGUUACUUUUGGGAGUAGAUAUGAAACAUAUUUCUAUCUUCAGAAGAUGGAUGUCAGGUCAAGGACCCCAUAUAAUCAAGCUCCUGGAAUUAGAAGUAUUUUGGUACUUUGGCAAAUUGCCGUAUAUCGAAAGGAAUCAUAAGUAUUCAGCAGUUGAGUGUAAGAUAUUCAGCGGUUUACUAACUUAUUCUACGUCCAAUUAUCUGAGUACAAAUCAAAGUUGUUGAAAUUUUAAUCUUAGUAAGAAAUAAGAAUCCUCAAGGGAAAAUGAGAGUUGGCAGCUAAUAAACACAUGUUUUCCUUAAUAUAUUGGCGGAAAUGUUAUUUACUUUCUAGAUUUUUCGUUAAAUCUUUUCAUCCUCUAAUGUUGCUAUUCUUAACUUUUCAAACGGUAACCUCUGUCCACUCUUGCAGAGUAUUUGCUUUCAUUCCUUAAGACAUAUAUCCUUAUUACCAUAUACCUUUAAUCAUCACAACAGCACUCUAAAUCAGCCAACUAACUAUUAAUAUCAAACUCCAAAAUAAGUGAGUCAGAUCAGAUUUACUUAGUUUCUGGAGAUUUGUCUUUAUACCAGUUGCACAUCUUCUCUAUUAGUGAAAGCACAAGAAGUUCUCUGCAGCACCAGCUUCCCAAAACAUAUGUAUGGAGCGGACUUGCAGUGCAACAGGAAAAAAACACCAGCAUGAUUCCAUUGUUCAAUAACUGGUAUGCGAUGUAUUCAUAUCAUAGUAAUUUCAUUAAAAUGAUUCUGUUAUCUAGUUUCCCUUUAGAUUUUAUCCCAGUUAUGAUAUCUUCUAUGCUAUCAAUGAUUUCCACCUGCAUCUAACAAGAAACAACAAAACCACAAACCAAUUUACGUUCUUGCUCCAAAUGGAAAAGAUGCAUCUCCAUUCUCCAAAAGGGUGGGUCGUCCAGAAAGGACAAGGCAAGGAUAAUGAAGAGACGGGAGGAGGGGAUGAACAAAUAUAGCUAAAGAUGACUAUGACCAGAUCAGAGUUAGGGAUGAAAAUUAUGGCCUAGACAUGUUCACAGGAAAGCUUUGAGCAUACCUGAAAGAAGAUGUUUCAGCUUGUGAUUUCUCCAAUUCCCUCUCCAGUUUAAGCUCACUAGAUCUCAGACGAAGUGCCUACAAGAUUGUUUUAGUCAAAGGCAUUAUCUCAGAGUGGAGUAAAUUAUCAUAUAUCAGAAAAACAAAUUAUCGCACUUAAUCAUCAAUUCUGAAGAAAAGAAAAUUAGAGAAGGCACUAUAACAAAAAAAGAGAGAAGACAGUCCCAAAAUUCUAACAUCAACAGGAAAUAUAAUCAAAUAAGAAACAUGAGCAACCAUAUGCACUGAUCCAAAGGAAAAAUAAAAUAGACAACAAAGAUUGGACAUAUAAAUAAACCAAGUCAGCAUUGUGAUCCAAGCUAAUUUAAAUUUCAUUUUUAAACCAUAAGAAGGGACGAAAGAUCGCAUACCACCCAGUAUUACAUGUGACAACAUUUAUCAAAAACUAAGUUUUACAUGUGAUGCUGUAUGGGGCGGAGUGCUGGCCCGUGAAGAAUUCGCAUGUUCAGAGGAUGAAGGUCGCGGAGAUGAGAAUGCUUAGGUGGAUGUGCGGGCACACCAGGCUAGAUAAGAUUANNNNNNNNNNNNNNNNNNNNNNNNNNNNNNNNNNNNNNNNNNNNNNNNNNNNNNNNNNNNNNNNNNNNNNNNNNNNNNNNNNNNNNNNNNNNNNNNNNNNNNNNNNNNNNNNNNNNNNNNNNNNNNNNNNNNNNNNNNNNNNNNNNNNNNNNNNNNNNNNNNNNNNNNNNNNNNNNNNNNNNNNNNNNNNNNNNNNNNNNNNNNNNNNNNNNNNNNNNNNNNNNNNNNNNNNNNNNNNNNNNNNNNNNNNNNNNNNNNNNNNNNNNNNNNNNNNNNNNNNNNNNNNNNNNNNNNNNNNNNNNNNNNNNNNNNNNNNNNNNNNNNNNNNNNNNNNNNNNNNNNNNNNNNNNNNNNNNNNNNNNNNNNNNNNNNNNNNNNNNNNNNNNNNNNNNNNNNNNNNNNNNNNNNNNNNNNNNNNNNNNNNNNNNNNNNNNNNNNNNNNNNNNNNNNNNNNNNNNNNNNNNNNNNNNNNNNNNNNNNNNNNNNNNNNNNNNNNNNNNNNNNNNNNNNNNNNNNNNNNNNNNNNNNNNNNNNNNNNNNNNNNNNNNNNNNNNNNNNNNNNNNNNNNNNNNNNNNNNNNNNNNNNNNNNNNNNNNNNNNNNNNNNNNNNNNNNNNNNNNNNNNNNNNNNNNNNNNNNNNNNNNNNNNNNNNNNNNNNNNNNNNNNNNNNNNNNNNNNNNNNNNNNNNNNNNNNNNNNNNNNNNNNNGCCGAGGGUCGAUUGGAAACAGCCUCCCUGCCCUUCCGGGUAGGGGUAAGGCUCGUCUACAUAUUACCCUCCCCAGACCCCACCUGGUGGGAACGUACUGGGUAGUUGUUGUUGUUGUUGUUGUUGUUGUUGUUGUAAGUUUUACAUGUGACAGACAUUGAAAAGAUACCUCGGUGGAGGACUUAGCAGAUUGGAAAUAAAAAGUUCAAGACAAAUGUAAUUCCCUUUCAGAAUUCCGGACAAUUGACGAAGAAAAGCUAAAUUCUUUGCAUAUGACCAAUGCAUUAUUAUGAGGCUACCAUAUGAGUUCUCAGAUAGCCUCACCCUACACUUUUACAGUGAUAUAUCAGGUGACUCCGCAUAACAUGUGUUGGCUAAAGAUUUUACCAAAAAAGAAAAAGGACAAAAAAGAAACCAUAUAUACAACAGACUUUUAUUGGCUACACUCACAAAGUUAAGUUGCUUUCAAGUUUCAAGUCCACAAACAUGAAUAUCAAUAGGAACUAAACACUAUUUAAGUGGAAUACAGAUUCUCUUUUGAAAAAAAGGGUAUGUCUGUCUUCUAAAAGUAUAACUCAGUAGUUUUAUUUAAUGUUUAAAUUCUCAGUAAGGGCUUCGUGAAGGAGUUGGUUCAACAUCAGGCAAUCCCAUGGUUGGUUACCUUCUCUUCCAAUCCAAUCACUUCAGAAGCCAAUAACCUCGCACGUUCAUCUGCAGCAUUACAUUCCAGUUGUACGUUUGCAUAUUCCAUUUUCACAGCUUCAAGUUCAACCUACUUACAUUAAAUGCAACAAAUAGAAAAUCAAUAACCUCCAAGAUUAUGGUAAGAAUCAAGUCCAUUACUAUGAAUAGCUAAAAUGCAUCAGGCUAUGUUAGUAUAAAUUUAGGUUGCCAGAUAUCUGAACUAAUCUCAACAUGAGAAACCAGUUCAUUCCACAAUUCCAUUCAAAAAACAUUCUCCUAAUAGGAUCGCCGAUGUAUCCUUUACUAUAGAGUUAAGAGGAAUGAACACAUUCUUCAAUAGGCAUUAACAUAAAAAAAUACGGUUCAAAUUGUACCCAUUUACAAAAAUUGUCUCUGGAAAAUCAUUCAACAUCAUUUCUAGAAUCUCUUGAACCUUGCUGAAUACUUCAUGACGCCCCCUCAAAAGAAAAAAUAGAAGAAAGAGGGGUGACCAAGAACUAAGGUUCAUGACCAAGUUUUUAUUGUCAAAAAUAUAUGUAUAAAGGGCAGCUCCAAGCACAAAAGUAUCAUGCGUUCACGCAGGGUCUAGGGAAGGGCCGCAUCCCAAGAGCUGUGAUAUAGACAGCCUACCCUAAUACAAGCACCGGUGAUUGAUUAUACGACUCGAACCGAUGACUAUGUAUAAGAAAUAAAAAAGUAAAUCACUACAAUUUAUCAAGAAAACAAAAAUCAUUAGUGCGAUGUAUUUAGAGAAGAAAAAUCAUUGGAUCCUUCAACAUACUAUCAACUCUCCGGAUCUAUCAAAUAAUUAUUGGUAAUCAGGUGCUUCAUAUGUCACUCAUUUAUAAGAGUCGAAAUACGUUAUGCAACCCAACAGGAGAAAAAAAUAAAAAAUGAAGAAUGGAAGAUCCAAACAACCAAAUUUAUUUGUACUGUUUAGAAACAAGGAACAAAUUUACCCUAACUUUCCGCAACAUCUUUGUUGUUCUACCACUUUUAAGACGUCAUAUCAACAAUAGCAAAGCAAAUAGGUCGCUUCACUUGGUCGAUCAACUUGAAAAUGCACCCAAAUAAAAUCAGUGGCAACCCAAUACCACCCAUUCACAAUUUUAGCUAUGUUGUGCAAUGUAAUUCAAAGUGUCAGCAUCAAAAAGCAAAACACAGAUCAGCUAAUACAGCAAUAAUUGGGAGUAAGUAAGAAAGAUCUGUACAAACCAGUUGUGCUUUAAUUUUCGCCUGCAAGUUUUCUAUGUCGCCCUUUAAUUGGGUAACAAAACUGCCCUGCAAAAGAAAAUUAAGCAACUGAUUAGAGUAAGAAAAAUCCUUUCUUUUAAUUUAUCAACAAAAUUUCCAAAAAUGUUCGGCAUGUGAAAACAAUACUUAAUGCAACAAAUGUAAUUGGUGUUACACAAGCGACCCCUCAAGGAGAAGAGACUGGACUACUUGUUCCUACAAGUUCAGGUUGUUAAUCACUUGUGUACCGAAUCUUUUUGGAAUACAGUAGUCAAUGUUGGCUAUAGUUAAGCAUGCAAAGUUCAGCAGGUGUUUCAGAAGAAGAAAAAGAAGAUGUAGAUCAUGGGAUGUAGCCCUUUUAGCUAUCAUGUGGGUUCUUUGGGGAGUAAGGAACCAAAGAUCCUUCAAGGAAAAUGAUUUAUACAAAUGAAGGCCUAUAUUGUGUUUCUUAGGUUUUUCAGUGCACCCAUGAAGUUCAUACUAAUAAAAGAUGGUUUAGGUGUUAUUUAUAGCAAAUCAUAACUUUGUGUAGAAGUUUCCACCACGUUAAUGAAAUAAUUACUACUCCUAUUCCAUUUUAUGUGGCACUGUUACCUUUUCAAGUGUUUGUCUAUGUAUUCAGCCAAUCUGUUUAAUAUUUAUGAACAGAUAAUGUGUACCUGUUGGUUAUAACUCUCUGUCAGGGCUGAAUUUUCAGCAGCUAGAGACUCUGCCAGAGCUCGUGAAGCCUCAAGAGCACGUUGCGAAGAGAACUUCUCUUGUGUUAAAUCUUCAAUAUGCUGUCAAAAUGCAAAAGUAAACAUCAUACAAGUAUUUAACAAUUUAAUACCCUGAUGCAAAAUUCUACAACCCUGAGAGUUAAGCAAUCAUGUGUGGUCCCAACUAUUCUCGCUCACUGCACCUUGAUGUAAAUGCAAGAGACCAUUCUUAAUCUUGCCAGUUUCUCUAACCAAGCACUUGAAGUGUGCUCUUGUACUGACAAACAUUCAACAGGAGAAAUGACUAACAGAUGGAAAUGUGAAUAUUCUCGUGCUAGUAAACAAAGUAUCUUUUCAAGAUUUAAGUAAAAGAAACGUGAUUAGCCAGUGUUCACUUCACAUCAGAGCAUAUUUAUUAAGAUAUUUAACAUGUUAAAUUAAUUUACUUCUUUCAGCUUAAUCUCUACACAAUCACUGUCCUUUCCAAGUGCAUGUACUACGAUAUAAACUUAAAUCCGAUUUAACUACCAAGGUUAGCGGCAGUAUUCUACCUUACUAACAUUUUUUGCGUCGCAUUCAAUUUUACCGAGUCUCCAUCCACUAUAUUUCAUAAUGAAACUUUUUUAGUCUUCAUAUUUCAAUGUGAAAGACUCAAAAUUUUGCAUUCAAUUCACAGAAUCUGGAUCAUUUAAGACUAUAUAGGAAAUUUGGUAGCUCAACUUCGGCAGUUCUCUUCAAGACGCAUCACACAACUGGCAAGUGGAUGGCUUUAUUAUUAGUGCAACGUUCUCACUACUAAGAAUAAUUUUCAACAGCAGAGUGCUUUUCAUAUAUUAGCCAUCACAUAGCUGUAUCUUCAAAAUAAAUUUUGACUUCAAAGACAUACUGACCUAAAUUUAUCACUUCUAAAGCAAGGGAAACAAAUGCCAAAAAAAAACCUGUUCUAAAGCUGCAAAAUCUUCAUUCUGUUUUCUUUCAUUAAACUGAUAAUAGUUGUCCAUGUUGCCCGUGUCUUUCUCAGUAUGAUGAUUCAACUUAUCAGACCCAUUAGCAGAAAAACUUGAAGAGUUCAUCAUGUUCCUGGAGUUGGACAAUUCCAAAGUGUCCGUGGGAUGAACCUUCGGGUUACAUCUGUCUGCAGAAACUGAUUCAGUUGGAGAAGAGGAUAUAGCAGGAACUUUUGAAAUGUUGAUGGAAUCAAGGAAAGAUGGCCGAGAUCUCCUCCCAACAGUGGGUGGAGGCAAUUUUGAAUAACUAGAAGAACUUCUUGCUUCAGAACUGAUGCCAUCAUAUUUAGAAUCAGAUGGUGGCCAAGAAGAUGAAUUGUUGGUCAUAUAAAAACCGGAGCUGCUAAACUGGCCAUACCCAGUAUCAGAAACCAUAGAACUAUUAGCUUCCGCAGCACUGUCCUUUUGCUCAACUUGCAAUGAAAAAUUCGUGCUGCUGGUUGCAGGGUGCAUAUAAUCUAUAAAAAAAAUGGAGAAUAGCUAUCAGAUUAUGCAGCCCCAAGUGAUUAACUGAAUAAACAAAUAGCAUAUAUGCAAUGAGGUUUGCUAGGUAAAGGGGAAUCAGAAUACAAGGGAUAAAAGGAAGUUAAAGCAAAAUUUAACAUACCACAAAAUUACCUUCAUAUGAUGAGGAAGUCAAUCCACUAGCCAAACGAUCCAUAUAACCUGGUUUUUCUUGCAGAUGAGGACCAAGGGAAUAUUCAGGUGAAAUACUAGCAGGAGCAGAAUGAGAAGUACCAGUAUCUAUUACAGAAAGAUCAUUUCUGCUGUUUUCCUCUGGUAUGCUUUUACCCAGACCAUCAUGAGUAAACUGACUGGAACUUCUAUUGUAACUGGGGGCUGAUGACUGAAAAUUAGCUGUAGUAUGACUAGUACUAAAUCCAAAUCCAACACUUCCUAAGGCUCCGUAAUUUUCCGUAUUUUCAGAGGAAUCAUAACCAAUGCUGAAUUGUUUAGACAACUUUAGAUUUUCGUCACCCUUAAGGACUUUAUCUCCAGAAUGAGAUGACGCUGAGAUGGAAGAAUCAAAACCGUUAUUGUUUCCACUAACAGUAGAAGAAGCGCUAGCAUCAUUGUCAUUGUUGUAUAAACUAUGAGUUGAACUAGUGUUAGCAUCAUAGGAAGAAGCUAAACUACUCUUCCGGGAAAGAUCAGGGUUCAUGAAAUCAUGCUUAACAUCUGCUCGAGGUAACUCUAAAAAUGCUCUACCAACUGCAUCAGAUGUACCAGCCCCACGAGAGUCAGUGAUUCUUGUGGGUUCAUUUUCCAAAGGCUGAUUCUCAAAGCCUCCAUCCGAAUUGUGAGGUUGAUUGUUGGAAGUAGACUUUUUAGACCUCUGUGCUGCUCUCUGUUUACGAAACUCCUCUAGCUGCAAAUGACACAAAAUAAAUAAUUAAAAGAUCAUAGAAACAUUGCACAUAAAUUUUAAUACCAAAAAACCAUUCUGAUACUCCAACCAAAUAUUCAUCAAAAUCAACACUCCCCAUCACACAUCGUUGCUAUUGCUAAUCAAGGCAUUACGAAUAGCCAUAUCUUUCUCAAAAGAAUAGGCACAAGGGAAAAUAGAAACUACAGAGGGAAACACUAUUCUGCAAAUGGUCACCCUAUCUAAAAGAUAAUGUGCAUGUGAGAUUACAUUACAGAGGCAAUCGCUAUUCAGCAAAUGGUCACCCAUCUAAAAGAUAAUGUGCAUGUGAGAUUAGAUUAUCACAAAUAGGAUAGGAUCGAGAAGAUCCCAUUGAUCUUAAUUGAAAUUCAGAUCAUUAAGGCUCAACAUCCGUUAUCACCUUUACAUGUUGUAGCAGGUAACCUUCCUUAUUCUCAAGAUUACGAAUGCCAUUUUUAUGGAGGGUUACCGGUAGAUAUCAUUUGAGUGACCCGAUAGUAUAAAAAAGUUGCACUGUCGUGCAUAUAAGUUAAACUCAUACAAAAUCAACAUUAUCGCUAGCAAUUUACGCAUACCACAAAUCGUAAUCAACUCAUUAAAAUUAUUCAGAACAAACAUUAAGCAAAAGAUAACAUAAAAAACUGAUAAACAAACAGUAAGAAUAUCUUUAACUACAAUGACUCAUUAUUUUCCGCCAAUCUAGUAACUCAACACAUAAAUGAAUCAACAAAUACGAAAGAAAUCAAAUAAAAACUUUCUAGAAUUUUCGAAUUCGUACCUUCUUUUUCCCAGCUUGCAAAUGCUCUUGCUUACGCAGCACCUGAGCCGACGCCAUUAAAUCCGAAAUCUCAAUCAACAAAACUAGAAAAAAAAUCCCUUACAUCAUUAUCGAAAACCCUAAACUAAUUAUCAGGCUGGCCUCUAAAACACAGAUCAAUUAGCAAUGUAAGUGAAUCUGUAAACCAAUUGGUGCACGAAUGGAAAUAAAUAUAGAAUUGAAUUGCCGUUUACAAGUAUUUAAUAUGAGAAAAUUGAAAAACUUUGAAAGACUGAGGAAAAUGAGUCCUAAAUUCGAUUAAAAGGGAUCCAUAAAUUGGAUCGGAGAGGAAGAAAAUAGAGGGAGAACGGCUCUUUUUUUUUUUUUUUUUUGGUAAAUUGGAUUUUUUGAGUCCUAAAUUCGAUUAAAAGGGAUCCAUAAAUUGGAUCGGAGAGGAAGAAAAUAGAGGGAGAACGGCUCUUUUUUUUUUUUUUUUUGGUGUAAAUUGGAUUUUUGGAGCAAGAUCUGUCUCUCGCUCUUUCUCUCUCAUUUUUAUUUUCGGACAAGGAGAAGUGUCCAUAUGAAUUAACUUGUGUCUAAAAAUGCUCUCCGUUAACCUAUUUUUUAAAAAAUAUUCCUAUCGUUAUAAUUCUGUAUAUUUAUACCCCUAAAUCUAACAGCUGACUUAUAAUUAUAUUAAACAUGUUUUUAAUUUCACGUGGCCUAAUCUGAUUAGCUUUUCAUUAAACCAUGUCCCAAACCUUUUCUACCCACCCAUAACCCAAUUGAUCCGACCCGACCCGACCCAUCAGACCACCAGCGUCCUCAUUCUAAUCAUCUUCGGCAAUUUCCAAUAUGACGACUAGUCUUCUUCUUUCCCUGCUGCCAAGCUCCGCCAGCACCAGAUCGUUGGUGGUGGCGGCGGAGGCGGAGGCGCUGUAGUAGCAGCUAAAGCACUUUUGCUCCAGCAGCAAAUUUUUCUUUCCAGAAAACUCGCCGGAAACGGCCUUAGGUCUCCGACUGGAGCCUCCAGAGAUAACGACUUCCUUAACAUGCUCGGUAAUGGUGACCAAAACGACGGCGUGGGAAAUCCGGUAAGUUUCAUUUUUUCCGGCAGUAAAUUCAGUCAUAUUUAUGACUUGUUUUUAACAUUUAUUUUCCUAAUUAUUAACGAUUAGUUAUUUAUGUCAUUAAUUACAGGACAGUUCUGUUCAAGCUCUUUUCAACGGAUUCACAAAAUCUCUUGGUCAAAACUCAAGUCAACCUCAACAUUUCACCAUUCUCAGGUCCAUACACAAUUUUACAUGCAUAUAUUCAUACACGCUCAUAUUUUAUUACUCAAGACUGUUUAGCGAAAAUUUAUUUAUACAUUAUUUUCGAAAAUUAUAGGGAGGAUCGAUGCAGGCACAGAGUUUCGGAACUCUGAAAUAACCUAAGUCGUGUGGUUUGGGGGGUAAAAGAUGGUAUGAUGGGUCGGGUCGGGUCGGAUCAAUUGGGUUAUGUGUGGGGUAAAAAAGGUUUGGGACAUGGUUUAAUGACAAGCCAAUUAGAUUAGGCCACAUGGAAUUAAAAAUAUGUUUAAUAUAAUUAUAAGUCAGCUGUUAGAUUUACGGGCACAAAUAUGCCAGAAUUUUAACGGUAGGACAUUUUUCUCAAAAUAGGUUAACGGAGGGCAUUUUUAGACUGGAGUCAAUACGUUAGGGACAGUUCUGACCCUUUUCCGUUUUAUUUUUUUCAAUCUUUCUCUUAUAAUUUCCCUUAUUUUAUUUUUAAUCUCUUUCUUUUUCUUUUUAUUUUACUUUAAGGCUCAUAUAUAUUUAUUCCUUUGAAGUUUUUGGGGUUGAGACAUAUGCUCCUUUAGAAAUCCUUUGGUUCAAAGACAAAUUAUAGCUGUAUUAGUAAUUCAAAAAUUAAUUGAAUAAUUUUUGAAAUAUUUUUUUGACCAAAAAGCAUAAACUUUCAGUUAAACUAUUAAAUUUUAAAUCUAGUUAAUAAUAAUAUCUCUAGAUUUAGAACUAGUUACUGUGAAAUAUGUGGGAUAAUACUGGUGUGCAUUUGAUAUUCCGAAGGAUUUGCGCAAUAGUAGAGGAAUAUCAAGCAAUAAACGGUAUUUAUGUAAACAAGAAGAAUGUUUCGCCCAAUAUUGAAUAAGUUGGAUGAUUCUUCUUUCUGACAGUGUUGAGUGACAGACAAAUCACAUUGCUUUGUAUAAUGUAGAGUUUAUAUCUUUUCUAGAUAGAGAGUCUUCUUCUCAAAAAGUGUUCUCAUCAAUUGAAUAUUAUAUGCUUUAUCCCCUUAUCUCGUUUUUUAUUUAUAUGGGACAUAUCCCAAAUCAAGCCUAAUAGUAUAAGUGCAGAGAAUAUUCAAUGGAAUAUUCUUUGUAAUAUCCUAUUAUAAAAACUAGUCUUUGUUGUUCGCCCUUGACUAUCGUUAACUGCCCGACUACAAGUCCCAUUGCCUACUAGUCGACCUCGACCGCAUCUUUUUCCUUAGUGCCAUUUUAUGCUAAAUUCCUUUAGGACAGAUUUUAACCUAUACAGUUAGUCCCUCCGUUUAUUGAGGCCGAUCCUGGACGACCUCGAUGAGCAGACUCUAUUGGUUGUGGUUGAGAAGUUUAGGCGAGUAGAUCGAAUAGUAGCAACUUAGACGAGGUAGCAACGUGGCCUUUCGUGAGCCGCAACCUAGGGACACGUCGAUAUAGAAUGACAUCAUGUCAUCAUACGUCAUUAUUAUGCAUUUUCUCGAUGCCUUGUGUUGUUUUCUAUACCUCUGCCAUUUCGAUACCUGAGCUGGGUAAUAACGAUUUUCUUUCUCGGUAUCGAUGCCUGAAUCUCUUAUAAAUAGGGAUAUGAAACCCUUUGCCUUAUUCUUUGCAAUCCAGAUAUUGAAUCAAUGUAUCUUCUUCUUCCUUCUUCAUUAAAAGUCCUUGCCCUCUUGACCUUACUUUCAUGUUUUUGCUUUCACUGGUUCUGGUGAUUCCUGCUACUUAUGAAUCUUCUACGCUUACAUCUCCUAUAUACAUAAACAAUGAUGUUUAACAUAUCUUCUAGUUCUGUGCGGGGUAAGGGGGUACCUGACCCUUUUCCCUUGGCGGUGCGCAUGCCUCCCUAUGAUGAUAGUGUUUCAAUUAUUGUUGAAGAUGAGAACCUUCCUACGAUGGAGGAGAUAAUCUCUCGUAGUGAAAAAGAUAGAUCUGAUUUUUUGUAGGUGCUUGAAGAUGACCCUGAGAUCUCGGAUUCAAUGAUGAAAGAGGCCGCCCUUGCUGAGUUUAGGGCAAAAUUCAAAAUUCCUGCUCAUAUCAACCUAAUUCCAACUCGGCGGGAUGUGGUACAAGUACACCGCCCUUGGUCUUGCGAUUUCUUUGCAUAUCCCUUUCAUGCCGGCUAAUCAUUUCCUAUUAUCCCAUUAGUUGAGGAACUCUGCCGCUAUUACACCGUCUAUGCAGCCCAAAUUUCUCCAUAUAUCUACAAACUUAUCUAUAUGCUUAUGAAGUAUGCAGAAUUAGCCGGGGUCGAUAUAUCACUUUGCCACUUAAUGCAUCUUUUCGCCCCUAUAGGGGGAUAAGUAGUAGCAAAAUAUAGAGGGUCGAUGCUACAUCUUCGCCACCGGGGAAGCAAGUGUUUAGUGGUGAAGAUGAAUGACAAUGCAAAUCGUCAUUUUUAGCUCAAUUUCUUCUAUAUCAAAACUGCGGAUGCGGUAGUCAAUGCAAGCAGGUUCCCCGAGGUUUGGAACUAUGCCCGUAAACAUCUCUCUCCCCUUUUAUCUCUUUUUAUAUUAAGUAUUGGUUCUGCUAAUUCAGUCGUACUGACAUUUUGUUCUCUCUUUGUGUAUCCGAGUUUGCACCCCAUCCUUUGGAUGAAGACAUUCACGAUUGGGUUAGUCGAGUCAUUCCUCAUACAACAACGGGGAUUUGCGAAUGGACGACCAUUCUUAAGAAGUUUGGGCAUGCAUCUUCUAUGACUAGUGAGUUUAUCCAUUUAAAUCUAUAUUGUCGCGGCUUUCUGGUCACUUGCUUCUUAUUAUUUUGUAGGGACCGACAUUUUAACCUUCUUACCCUUUUUUAUUCAACUCGGGGAUCCUCCAAAAGGCCGAGGGCCCCUGCUCCUAUGUUUAGCAAGAGGGAUACUAUAGCGGAGAACGCUCCUACUAUGACUAUGGCUAAGCCUGCCCAAUUGUCCACUUACAUUUCGCCUCAUAUUGAGGCUAGGUCGGCUCGAUCAUUGACUACAUCAGCACCAGUGUAAUGAUCGGAUCAGUCAUUUUGAAUAAUUACAACCUCGUUUCCCCAUAUACUGCUAAAUUCUUGUUUCACGGUUCUUAUGUAACUUUUCGGGGAAAUUGGUUCGGGAUUGGAAAGGUUUUGAAAGGAAUUGAGACAUUUAGUCUCAAAGAAGAGAGCUUAAGUUGAAUAAAAUUGACCGGAAGGUGAAAUAUGAGUAUACGAAUCCGGAAUGGAUUUUUGAUGAUUCUAAUAGCUCUUUAUGGUAAUUUUGAAUUUAGGAGCGUACCCGGAAUUUUUUUUUUUUUGGAAGUUUGUAGUUUAGGCUUGAAAUGGCGAAAAUGAGAAGUCGUAGUUUAGAAGUUUGACUGAGGGGUUGAUUUUUUCAUAUCAAGAUCAAAAUCAGACUCAUGAAGUGGGAAUAGAUCCAUUAUGUUUGUUAUGACUUAUGUGCAAAAUUUGGGGUCAAUCGGACUUGAUUUGAUAGGUUUCGGCGUUGUUUGUAGAAUUUAAAAGUUUCUAAGUCCUUAGGCUUGAAACCAAGGUGGAUUUAGUAUUUUGGUGUUUUUUUGAGUAAUUCGAAGGCUCGACUAAAUUAUUAUGAUGUUAUGGGAUAUGUUGGUACAUUUGGUUGAGGUCCCGGUGGCAUCGUAUAAGUUUUGGAGUGAAUUUCGAGCGAGUCCGGGCAUUUUGGUGCUGUGAGAUGGUUCUGGCACUUUUCGGAGUGUGGACCGCACCAAAAAUAUGUGGACCGUGAGGGGAGUGCGGACCGCACUAAAUGGUGUGCGAACCACACAAAAUGGUUUACGGCCGCACAUAUAAAAUGUUCUGUAGUACCGCUGGUCCGACUUCGGAAGCUUAUAUCUUUUGAUCUACAGGGAAUCUUGAGAUGAUUCAAAAAUGAAAGUUGUCGCCUUUCGUGUCUAGUUUAGAAAAGUAAAGAAAUCACAAUUUGGAAAUCUGUAUGAAGUUAUGUCCAAAAUACUAAAACAUGUCAGUGCUGUCAAAUCCACCGCAGACAGCACUGGUUUUUGUGCGGUUAGCAGUGGUGGAAAUCCGAGAGGUGCACUAUAAAUAUGAGGUUUAGAGUUUUAUUUCAUAUUUUAACCUAGAGAGUUCGGAUUUUGGCGAUUUUUUGAUGUUUUUUCUAGAAAAUUCAUCAGAGUAAGUGAUUCUAACUUGGAUUUGGCUAGAGUACAUAAAUCUACAAUUAAGUUUAUCAUUUAAUUAGUGAUUUGGGGUGAAAAUUUGGAGAAAAAUUAUAGAAACUUCUAAAAUGAAUUUUUGAGAUUCGAAGAACAAUCUAAUAUCGGAAUUUGAUAAAAUUGGUAUGGUUAAAUUCGUAUAGGAAUGGGUGUUCUGAUUUCAUGAAAAUUAGGUCGGGUUCCGAGGGACGGGUCCCGCGUUGACUUUUGGUUGACUUUUAAACGUAAAUUUCAAGUCAACAUUUUUACUAUCCAGAAUUAUUUUUUCGAUGUAUUUUAAUGAAGUGCUACAAUUUAUUUGGAUGAUUUGAACCGUUCGAAGGUCAAUUCAAGCAAGAAGGCUAUUUUGAAAUAUCCGCCUAACUCCAAAAAGGUAAGUAUCUUGCCUAACCUUAUGUGGGAGACUUCCCCUUAAGAUUUAAGUCUUUCGUGUUGAUUGUUAUUUGUGUAUGCGAGGUUACGAGUGAUUACUCAGAAUUACUUGUGGAGAAUUGGAACUUUAGGGUUCUUAGGUUCUUACAUGCACUAUGGAUGAAAUUAUUCUCGAUAUGACUAAGUUCCUACUUAUUAGUUCGUCUUACAUGCUUAAUUGAAAUUAAUUGCUUCACGAUUCACUCUUAUUACCUAAUUGACUCCUAUUUGACUUAACUGAAGAAUUUUGCCUCUCCUAUUGCCAUGUUAUAUUUUCAUAACUACUUGAUUCGUGUUGAUUUCCUUAUUAUUGGCUUGUAUAUUGUGGGAUCGUUGCUACAUGUUAGUUUUUCCAUUGUUGAACUAUUCCCUUUAUGCACCAUUCUUUUCUAUGUUUAUUCCUUUAAGCUAGUUCUACCAUUUUCUUGUGAUUUACAGCCCCUGAGUUGAUUUACUUGUUUUACCUUGUGUUAUUGUCAUUUGUUGUUCUUAUAUGUAUUGUGGUCAUGUUCAAUCCUUUUGUUGUGAUGUAACUGUUGAUUUUAUUGGUUACAUUGUGUAUUUAUUUGGGACUACGGAUGUGGGAUUCCGGUAGAUCCCCCUUGUUUGUUUAUUUAGGACUAUGGAUGUGUGAUUCCAGUAAAUCUCCCUUGUUUGUUUAUUUGGGAUUACAGAUGUGGGAUUCCGAUAGCUCUCCCUGCACAGUUAUAUAAAAUGACAAGAAUGCACCUGGUAGAUUCCCCUAGUAUUGGGUAUUUAUAUUUGGGACUAUAGAUCAGGAUUUCCAGUAGAUCCCCGCACACUGAUAGUUGGACUAUGGGAUGGGUUCCCGGGAGAUCCUUCGAAUAUACAUGAUAGACUACGGGAAGGUAUCCCUGGAGAUCCACUGGAAAGUGGUAAUAUGGACUACAGGACGGUAUCCUGGAAGAGGCUUAUCGAUAUUGCUGAGUAUAGAUACACAUCUUUCUUAAAUUGCCUUCUAUGUAAGAAUUAUUCUAUUUGGUACGUGAGUUGUCAGUAUGAUUAUGAGGUGUGAUGAGGGCACGAGAUGCCAAGUGUUAGGGUUCUAGUGUUGAGACCUGUAUUGUAUAGUUAUAAGCCGAGGUGUCACAUGGUAAUUUAUAUCCGAAGGUUAUCUAUUUGAAAAGAUUAAUUUAUAUCCGAAGGUUAUCUAUUUGAAAAGACUAUAUUCGAAAGAUACUUACUUCCAAAAGACUAGUUUGAAAUGUCGCAGGGUGAUUUAUAUUCGAAGAACAAUUAUUUGAAAGGAUUAUAUUUAAACCCUAUUCAUUUUUGUGUUCUUAUUAUAGUGUUCCGCUGUUACCUGUUGUUUCAUUCCUUAUUGCAAGUACUGUAUUGUUAGUCACACAACGUAGUCUUUAGAUAUAGAUAUUAUAUCAUGUUGUUCUAUACUCACACUUCAUCAGUUUAUUAGACCAGUGGGUGUCUUGACUAGUCCUCAUCACUACCCCAUCGAGGUUAGUCUUGGUACUUACUAGGCAGCGCUAUGGUGUGCUCAUAAUACACUUCUGUAUAUUUUUUGUGCAGAUCUAGGUACUGUUCGUUAAUAGUUGUGCAAAUUCUUGCCGAGGAGACUGAAGGUAGUCCUGUUGUUGCGUUCACAAGCUUCGAAGUCACAUUUCUAUUUUAUAUUCACAUUUUUAUACUUAUUUCCAUACGUUUUGUUUAGAUGACGUAUUGAAUUCUGCAAAGCUUAUGACUUGUACUACCGAAUUUUGGGAAGUUGUUCAUUAUAUAAAGGAUUUACCUCAGAAGAAUUUUAGCCGUUAUUAGUUAUUGUUGUUGUUCCGCAUCUUAGAAGGCUUACCUAGUCCUUAAGACUAGGUGCCAUCACGAAACCCAACAGAGGGAAAAUUAGGUCAUGACAACCAGAAUCUCUGGCCUCUCUCUUGCUUCAUUUAAUAGAUGAAAAGUCAUCACUAAUCGAGGAGGGUUUGAUCUCUCGUAAAAGGAGGUCGGUGGACGUUGGAGAUGGGACAAUCUAAGACGUAGAUUGUACAAGAGGUGAUCAUGAGUUGGCCACCGUCAUGCUUGAAGAUGAUGAUGAUCUGUUGUCUGAAGUCCCGCUAUCGGCGGGGGCCGUUGAAGGCGUACAUUUCAAUGAUGCCGAGCUUGGGGUUAGUGGGACAUCUGUAGAAGUUGCGGGUACCGUGCUUCGAGAUGAGCCGUCAUCCUCAAGGUUGGCUAACAUUCAUACUAUUAGAGAUUAUGCAUCCACCAGACUGCAUAGAGAAUUGGGUUCUCUAUGUGUUUUCUCUAAAAAUACUGAUGAACUAAACUGUAUAGCGAUCUGGUCCUAUAUUAGUUUGGUAUAGUGCUAAGUUUGUGUGAGGCCACCGAUUAGUAGAGUACCUGGUCCUUUAUUUGGGUUCUGAUGUAAAUGCUAGUAAAGUUGUAUGUAAAUAAGGCCGAGAAUUUUUACAUGGAAAAAUCCUACACAAAGGGAUCAAAAAACCACGACCUACACCUGUAGGCUUUUAACUUCACGAACUUAUAAUCUUCCUAUUACAAGCCACUUUACAAUGACCCUAUUGCAAAGACUUUAACUAACUUGUGAUGCUCUUAUCACAAGCAACUCUAUAACUAUCCUAAUUACAAAGAAUUUGACUAACUUGUGGUAUUUUAACCACAAUCCACUUUGUCAUACUACGGUUACAAAGGCUUUUGACUAACUUUUGAUGUUUCUACCACAAGCCACUUUGCCACACUACGGUCACAAAGAAUUUUGCAUAUGACUAUCCCUAGUCACAAUAUAAACUCAGAAGUUUAUGAAUUUUGGUUUGUUCCUAAGAUAAUGCUUCUAAGAAAGCAAACUAGGAAUUACAAUGAAGAACACAUAACAAAGACUCAAAAACCUAAGGACUUAAGAUGUUUUCGAUCUUGGAUCAGGUCCUUGAGGUUAAAGUAGCUUUGUUCUUGAGAGAGGUUCUUGAACACUUGAGAGAAUAUUUUCCUUUUUUGAUUUUGCAAGUGUUAAACCAGAAUCUUAUGCCUUGCAUGAGGUUUAUACUACACAAUACAUUACCUUUGUGAUGUCAAUUCACAAUGGUGAUGUCCAAUCUCAAUGGGAAGUGACUGCUGCACUAUCUGCAGAACUGUUACGUGUAUAGUUGCAGGCAAUCAUUGCAAUUGCUUUCUAGCUGUACUGUUGACUUAUACUUUUGUCAGGGGAACACUAAGAUAUCAGGUUCCUAAUUUGGCUCCUGUGAACCUAAAGCAGACUGCCCAGAUUAUCUUGAGUCGAUUAACUUGAAUGAUUGUACCAGGCUAGAUUUAGGUAAGUAAGUUAUUUUUCCUUCCUUGGUGGAUUUAUACUUAUGUGAUAUCACUUACAAUGAUAUAAGUAAGGUAGGUGAAAAACCUUCUAUAGAAAGUUGACUGCUGCAUUGUUCCUGUGCAGUAGCAUGUGUAGGUAGUAACUUUCAUGCUGGAGAGUUGACUUCAUACAGUCUCCUCAGGAACUGGUGUAGACCUGUUUCCUCAGCUGUUCCUUCCACUCUGAAGAGUUGAGUUAUAUCCUACGUUGGAUCCCAAUCUGGAGUUUUGUGAUCUCAAGGUCUUGUAGAUGUAUAACAUGUUCUGUAUCGGUUCUGGAUGGUAAGUUUGUUAAAUAAUCAUAACAUAAAGUAAAGUACCUAUGCCCAAGGUACUUGUAACCUAUCACCUACCUCAUUUACCAAUGGGAGAGAUAAGGAUGUUGUGAAGACGACUGUAAAACGGGCUUUGAUCAUGAUGUCGAUGAGGUGCCAUUUUUAGCAAGGGGUGUACUCGGGUUGAAGUAAGGUUGGAAGGGUCCAAUUGUACCGGUGUGGUCCACUAUGAGGGUGUGGUCCCUUCUUUGGGUCCCCUCUACUUUGACAUGGAGGGCAAAACUCUCAAGGAGCUAAAUUAUGCUGCCCUGUCGAGGGGUAUAAUCGGUCUUGCCCUUAGGGUAAGUUUUGCCGACCUUUUCUAUUUCUUUCCUUUGUGCUCCAUUCUUACUUUUUGUUUGACUUUGGUUUUCUUCCUUUUUCUUUUUAGACCAUUAUUCUGGAAACCUAGACUGCUCGCUGAUAGGGCAAGGGCAAUACUAUUUUUUGGAAGAUAGAGUAGAAGUAUCAUGAAUACCAUAACAAGCACCGCAAGAUCUGCAUACGAUUUGGAGAGAAUUGCAACUUUCAGUCUAUACAAGACAACAUGAAACAGUAAGAUAACGAGUUGGUGAGAGUCAUUGGAAAGUUUAACAUCCUUGAAGAGGCAUUGAGGGACAAAGAAGAAGAGAUCAAGGUAAGCAAGGGAGUUGAGGCCUAAUGUGCAAAUCUUCAGGCCCAAGUGGUUUUGCUAUGGGCUGAGCUCGAAGAAUGUCUAAUCAAAGUGUAUCCUUUGAAUGGCAAGGUUGUAAAGAAGACAACAAAUUUAGAGAAGAUUGAAUUGGCUCAGUUGGCAGCUUUAAUGAAAGUGGAGGCUUUGGAGGCCAUAAUUUGCAUUAUUCGAUCUGAGCGGGAGAGCGAUUUGGAGAUGACCAAUCGAUGAGUUGACAGGGGAGCUAGAGAAAGAGGUUUCAAGCCUUAGUGACCAAGUUGUCGUUCUUGAAGCUGAGAAGGCACAAUUAUUAGCUCAGCUGAUAGUUUGUAUGGGUCCACUUAAUCUUUGAGUACCUGGUUCUCUACCAGUUUCUGCUGAGAGUACUUAUCAAAGAAGCAAUUAAAUGAGGCAGAGAACUUUUAUGUAGAAAAAUCCCAGACAAGGGGAUAAAAAAAUCACGACCUACACCCGUAGGCAUUAAACUUCACUAACUGGUAAUCUUACCUAUUACAAGCCAAUUACAAUACUUCUGAUUGCAAAGGAUUUACUCAACUACUUCUGUUACCUUUACUAUAAGCCACUUUGUGACUAUCCUAGUUACAAAGGCUUUUUCUAACUUGUGGUGCUAUCACUCCAAGCCACUUUGCAAUUCUACAAUUACAAAGACUUUUCUUUAUGACUAAACCUAGUCAUAAACUAACUCAGCGAGCUUGAGGAUUACAAGAAGACUCCUAUUCAGCAUGCUUCUAAUAAAGUUAUUUAGGAGAGAUAGUAAGUGCAAUAACAAGGUUACAACUCAACUAGGAUAGCAAUAAUAAAUCGUUUAGGAAUUGGUCUGUAGUAGCGUUCAACCUUGUUCUUCAAGCUGGAAAGAAUGAUGUUUUGUGUUUUUGCUUGAUGCUUGAGUGUAUGAAACUGAAACCUAUUUGUGAUGCUUUGUAGAAAAGCCCCUUUGCUACAACUUGAUCACAUCACUUGAAAUGAUGUGAGUACUUUUUUUGUUAGAGAAUGAGUGGAAAGGUUCUGGAUUGGUGUCUUGCUUCUGCCUUUGGAGCAGUUCAACUUUUAGUGGAGUACGUUGAAGUUUGUAUCAAUCCAAAGUAGCUCAGGUUCCCUAACCGAUUCUUAUCAGAAAGUUUGUUAGAUCAUCAAAAUAGAAGGCAAGAGUAUUUAAGAUCUAUCUGUUUCCCCUUUUUUGAUGAUGAUAAACUUAAACAGUUAUAAGUUCAGAAUUAGGGCAGCAUAAAGCAGUGACAAAGAGUUCCCCCCUGCGAUAAUGCCUUAAUAUUUCAAUCUUUUGUUAUAUAAAAACCAGUUCCAUAUUAUGAUUGCCCUUGAUUAUGAUGCCUUAAUCUUUUUCAAGUUAUAUCUAGUUCCCUAAUGUGAUUAUAAAUCUUCAAGUUAUUAUAAUCUUUUCCCCCUUUUGGCAUCAAUAAAAAGAAUAAGAGCACAACGAAGUCCAGCCAAGCUAACUCAUGCCACAUAUGUGCACACUAGCAUAAGAUAGAAUAGAACACAAAGAAUAAGUAUUAAUCAAAAUAAAAGAGGAUUGAGAUUAAUAAUAAUUUUAUAUGCCCCUUUUUCUUUAAAAAAGGCAGCAUUUGGACUUAAUCACGAGAGCAGUAGCAAUAGUACAUCCCAACCACAACAAAAAAGGCAACAAAAACAUCCACCAAUCAUCAACAUAAAUAAAGAAAAAGGAACACAUCCAGAUAACUGGUCACUGAGGGGAAACUUAGGGGGCAAUAGGAGGAAAAGUCUUGGAAGUGGUAGCAAGAGUAUGGAGAACAAGGUCUAUUCGGGCAUUUCCCGACUUUUGCUAAUUCAGUAGUUCGGCUUUUAGGUUCUCAACUUGCGCCCUGAGGUCAGCAUUUUCUUGAGACAGACGGAUCACCUCAUCAUUCGACAUGGGAACAGCUCGAGCUUGAAAGCCUUCCAGUAUGGCAUUCCUGGCCUUCAGUCGAUGUAUCUCUUAAGCUGCUAUUUUGGCAUUAAUGAGUUGAGACACAGUUGAAGUGCUUCCUGCACCUCCAUACUUCUUAAUACACCCACACUCUUCCAAGGUUGUCUCUGAGAAUGUCUACUAAUAGGUCCCUACUUUACCUAUUCUAGAAGAUCCUCAAAGUAUUUGAAUAUUUGUGUGAGCAAAAAUCCAUAGGGAAGCCCGUGAUUUCUAUCCUUGAACUCAGUCACUUUCUGCAUAUGCUCGGCAGGAAAACUCGCAGGGUGAAAACCGUCCAAUUGCUCCAUUAGGAAUAAAUCAGAUUUGGAAAUGACAGAUUGACGUUCUGCUCGGGCCAAUAGGACUUUGUUAACCAUCUUAAACAACAACUGGUUGACAAGAAGGAGUGCUUUCUUAUGAAUUUGGUCCCCUUUCUGAUUGGAAUUAUCUUUCACCACUGCAUUGCAGAUGUUGUACUGGAAAACAUCUAAAACACUAUUUACUCCAAUCGUAGGAACUUGCAAAAUUUCCCCAAUAACUUUCACAUCAAAUACAAUGUCCACACCAUUGACCAAGGCACAAACAUAGUCAGUAUCUACCGGAAACAAAUUGGAAAAGAAACUCUGGACCUCCUCCUCAUACACUUUGGGAGCAUCCAUGGAAAAAAGAUGUGUUCCCUGCUGAAACUCAACCAUUUCUAGGAUUUGACGCAUCCCGGCCAUUUCUGAGAUUGAGGGGUCAAACAUACACCCUAGUAGUACUUUCUAGUGCCUCAAUCGCUGAGAAACCCAGGCAUACCUAACUUCGUUCUUUCUUUCUAGAACUAGGUUCUUCAACUAUUUCAUAAUUGUGUUUCCUAAUCUUGUCUUUACUGACCUUACUUUUCUCUUUGGAUCUGACAAGAAUAUUCUCAACACUCACAGCCUUCUCUAUUUUGGACUUGGAAGUAGACCCCUUCUCCAUAUUACUAAACUCUGCCCAUUUUGAUGAAUGCCUAACAAGGGAAUUGGGUUCCUCAAGAGUUCUCUCCUCCACCUCAACAACAGGGAUAUAUUUAUCCCCUACAAGUACACCAUUUUCACCAGCUUUAUUUCCUUCUUCUUACUGCGUUUUUUGAUCUUUUGUAGUGCAGAGUCGUAGGCCACUUUGAGUUGAAGCCUUGUAGUGGAUGCUUGGCUUCAGAAUUAGGAGUCAAAACAGUCCUACGCUUACUAAUGAAUUGUAAGGCCCCGUGAAAACUUGUACCCAAAAUAUAGUAACUAUUAGUGCGAAGUUUCGAAUAUGUGCUAGGAAUGUGUAAAAUUAUACCGAGCUAGCUUUUAAAAAUCAAGAAUCAAGUUUUCUAGAAGAAUUUCAUUUUGUGGUCCAGAAUGCGCUCGCUGAUCAAGAUUGCGAACCACAUUUCUGUCGCAGAGUAAGUCAGUAGCCUAGGUUAAAUGAGGUAAAAAAUAUGGCCCAUUAUGCGGCCACUUAAUUGAUAUGCGGACCGCAUAGUCGUUGCAUAAUUUCCUAAAGAUUUUGUGAAGGGCAGUUCUGCAGUGCAUUAUGCGACCCCAGAACGUGAAUGUGGACCGCAUUCCUGUCGUAAACCCAAUAGUAUGCCCAACUUUUGAAAAUAUUUUUGCGGUCGACUUUGCAGACUGAAUUUCUACUCUGCGAUUGUAGAGUGUGACCACAGGUCUGACUUGGACUCUAAUUUUUUGAAAUUUUAAACCCGACCCUUCUUCAAUAAAACACCCUAACCCCUUAUUUUUGCAUAAUAUGAACAAACGAGAGAGAGUUAUUGAGAGAGAGAGUUUUACAUGUGUUGAUUUGAUUCUUCAAAGUCACCCGGGCUAGAAAGGCUCAAGUAAUAGCUUUCAUCACCGUCCUUGCAGGUAAAAUCCCCAACCUUUUCCACGGAUUUUCUAGUUUAAACAAAAAUGGGAUUCUUAUGCAUUAUUUCUUGAAAACCUAAGUAGAAAUACGUAUGCAUGUUCUUUAAAACCUAAAACCUAGUAAACGAAAAUGGGUAGGAGUAAAGAUUUGCAAAUGAAGGGGAGUGGGGUUGAUAACCUAAAUAAUUUUGGGGUAAGUAAUUGUGAGCUUUUAUUCUAAAAUGUAUAUGUUAACGUGUGGACUAGAUUGCCGGUACUAGGCUAUUGGCGAGCUAAAAGUAGAAGUAAAAAGGGGAAACUCGACUCCAGAUAUGUAUAGCUAACUUUAACCUUUGUAAGGUCAUCUUGUUGGUGUACGAGUGUUUGGUAUGUGUCACUUAUGUGGACUAUUUGUGAAUUCUUAUGAUUUAUAUGUCUUGAACGUUGUUGGUUAAGUUUCCCGAUAUGUUGGUGUAUGUAAAUAGAAACAAACCAAGCAUGUGUAAAUGUGUUUAUAUGGUAAGAGCUGUAUAACAAAUGAUGGAAAAAAGUCGUAAUGGAUGUAAUUGAACAGCUAUGGUAAUAUCAUGUGUGGGUUGUCGUGGGCAAUUGUUGUUGUGACUUGAAUUGUAUUCGGGUUGUUGUACUUGAUGGAAAUAAUAUUGAUAUUUACGGAACUCCUUGUGAAUUGUUGUUGUUGUUGUGCGAAGUGUGACUGUCUGAUGGGAUCGGGUUGCGCGGCACAACACGAAGUUACAAGGUGUGGGUUAUGGUGAUAAGGGUGGAAAAAGUUAUCAAAAUUAUUAUUUAAAUUCAAAUAUGCAACAGUUGUGAAAAUCAUUGGUGUGGUGGAAUAUUGUUGAACGGGGAAAAAGAGAGAUUGUGGAACUUGUUUGGCUUUGGUUAUUCCUUUCAUGCUUGGAUUUGAUCGUUAAUUCCAUUACUAUUUGCUACCUGUGCAUUGCUUGAUUUUACUUGGGGUAAACUUUUUCCAAACAUAAAAGUACAAUUCAAAUGUAUUAAUGUCCCUUUUGCCGGGGGAGCUACAUUCAUGUUAUGAUUGUAGGUGGAUCCAUAGCAGCUACUCCCCUCCAUCGACAGCACCACUCCUGCACUCCCUGUCAGCUGAAUUGGUGAGCCCCUUUCUUCUCGGGACCCUGUGUGGCCCACGCCGCCUUCUUCCAGAGUUUUAUUUUGAUAUUCGUAUAAGGUAUAGCUGGAACCGUGUUACUAGCAUAUAUUCUAUCUCCUUUUUGUAUCUUUAGAGGUUCCGUAGACAAGAAAUGUAGGUCAUGAACUCGUGUAAAUAUGUACUUUGUGUGCGGAGUGAUGUAACUUGAAAACCACGCUAAGUAACCUUGUAUGUUGUGUAUGUCUCGCAAGAAGAUGUUUAAAUUGUAGUGGCUAAUUCACUUGAUCAAUGAGAAAUGAGGGCACGGGUAACAAGUGGGAUAGGAAAGGAACCCAGGUCCGCUUGACUGGGGCUACCCAGUUGAGUGCCGGUCCCGUUCCAUGGUUUUGGGGUGUGGCAAACUUUGUAUCAGAGCCUAAGGUUUUAGAAGAGUCCUAGGAUGUCUUGGAGCCGUGUUUAGUAGAUCCCUUCUUAUCGGUGUGUUGUCGGCCACAUCUAUAAGUAGGGGGCUACAUGGACAUUUAGGAAAUUAUUAGUUUCUUUGUUAUUCUACAUCAUGCAGCGAAUGAAAAGUGGAAGUGUUUAUGUCUAACUCGUACUCUAUUUCGAAAUUUUCAGUAAUGGCACCUAAGAAGAGAGCUAGACUUGGCCUUGGGGCCGAUGCCACCCCAAGUGUGGCUGUGGACCUUGUACCUGACACCGUAGGAGAGCGUGACUCCCCAAUCUUGAAUCUACCUGGCCCAUGUGUUGUAGAUCAAAGUGUUCCUACUCCUCCUGCGGCAGAGGGUGCUACGAUCACUCCCGCCGAUAUUCCUGACCCUUCUUCAAUUCCAGCUUCUGGUCUAUGUACUUCCGAUGGGGAGCUCAGGGGAGCUAUUCAUAUGUUGACGCAACUAAUGUCCGCUCAGGCCCAGAGAUCUCAUGGCAUACCCUGUGCCCUCUAGCGGACAGGGAGAUUCCUCCGGUUCCAGAAUCAACUAGUUUCUACAGUUGGCCCCUCCAGAGUUCUCCAGUACUGAUCCAGAUGCCGGCCUGUAGAAUUUUCUAGAUGAGAUGUACAAUACUCUUCGGGUGAUUAAGGCUUCAGAGACGGAGGGAGUUGAGUUGGCUUCCUACAGGUUGAGUGGAGCAGCAUAUUCGUGGUUCGAGAUGUGGGAGGAUGCUCGUGGGGAAGAAAUCCCUUCGGCUAAAUGGGACGAGUUUGUAGAUGCAUUUAUGGACAACUUCUUGCCUACUGAGACAAUGGUAGCUUGGACUACUGAGUUUGAGGUCCUCAAGCAGGGUAGUAUGAGCAUUUGGGAGUACGACAUGGAGAUUGUGAGAUUGUCCAAUUAUGCUCCUCAGUUAGUGUCAACCAUGAGUGCCCGGAUUUGGCGAUUUGUUCAAGGCCUUAGUCCCUUGGUGGUGAAUGAGGCUGCUACUGUGGCCUUACACUCAAACAUGAAUUAUGGAAAUAUUGUGGGGUUUGCUCAGGCCACAGAAGCUAGGAAGUCAAUAAUUCGGGCAGAUAUGAAGAGUAACAGCAGGGCCCGGUCAUUGGGUCACACAGGGAGGCCAGUUUAGGGGAGAGAGCCAUCAGGGCCAUCCCAGUCACAUGCUCAAAUCUCAAUCUUCAGCGAGGGCACCACCAUCUGUGCAUAGUUAUCAGCAGAGCUCUCACUUGAGACCAGGUUCAGACAGUAGGAGGCCCUACCAAUCGGGUCAUCCAGUAGGGAAAUUACAGCAGGGUAGGGCUCCGUGCCCCAAGUGUGGGAGAUUUUAUGCAGGGACUUGUUAUUUGGAUGUCCCGAUGUGCUAUAGGUGUGGGGUGAGAGGUCAUAUCUUUGAGGUUCCCUAUGAAAUGAGGCAUGUAAAGGAGCCAACGGGACUGUCAAGUGCCCAGUCAGGGCAUAGGUAGGGGAUUUGCUCAAUCAUUCGGUUCUUCAGUCGCCAUAUCAUCCGCUCGUCCUCCAGCUCCAGCAGGGUGUGGUGCAGUUAGGGGUGGGGCUAGUCGUAGAGGUAGACCCAGCCGGUUUUAUGCUUUGAGUGGCCGCCAGAGUGCAGAGGCUUCUUCAUAUGUUGUUACAUGUAUCUUAUCUGUUCUGGCCAUUGACUGUUAUGCUCUUAUUGAUCCGGAGUCCCCUUUGUCUUAUGUCACCCCCUUCAUUGCUUCAAGUUUUGGGAUAAAACCCGAACAGCUUCAUGAGUCGUAUCUCCGUAUCUUGGAAUGGUGCAUUUUGAUGUUAUUAUGGGAAUGGACUGGCUCUAUUCGUGCUUUGCUAAACUUGACUGCCGAACAAGAGUCAUGAGACUCGAGUUCCCUAAUGAACCGGUUAUUGCCAAAGGGUAGGUUUAUUUCCUACCUUAAGGUUUCAAAGAUGAUUAAGAAAGGGUGUAUCUAUCAGUUGGUCCAAGUGGCAGAUACCACUUCAGAAGCGUCUACCCCCGAGUCUGUCCAGUUGUGAAUGAGUUUCUUGAGGUGUUUCCACACGAGCUUCCAGAGAUUCUGCUAGAUAAGGAGAUUGAUUUUGGAAUUGAUGUAUUGCUUGAUGUGCAACCAAUAUCUACUCUACCAUAUUGAAUGGCGCCAACAGAGUUAAGGGAAUUAAAGGAGUAGCUGAAGGAUUUAUUAGAAAAAGGGUUCAUAUGACCGAGUGUGUUGCCGUGGGGUGCUCCGGUUUUUUUGUCAGAAAGAAGGAUGGGUCGCUGAGGUGUAUUGAUUAUCGGCAGCUCAACAAAGUCACCAUCAAGAAUAAAUAUCCCCUGCCUCGGAUAGAUGAUUUGUUCGACCAAUUUCAAUUUGCAAGGUUCUUCUCCAAAAUUGAUCUAUAGUCCCGAUAUCACUAAUUAAAGAUUAGAGAGCAGGACAUUCAUAAGACCACUUUUAGAACUUGCUACAGUCUACUUUGAAUUCUUGUUCAUGUCUUUUGGGCUAACCAACACCUCGGAAACCUUUAUAGAUCUUAUGGACCGGGUCUUCAAGCCAUUUUGGACCCUUUAUGAUCGUUUUCAUUGACGGAAGCCUUGCUUACUCGCAUAGACGGGAGGAUCAUGCCUAUCACCUCAGGGCAGUUCUGCAGACUCUUCACCAGCACUAGUUGUAUGCUAAAUUUUCAAAAUGUGAAUUUUGGUUGGAGUCUGUUACCUUUUUAGGUCAUGUUGUUUCCGGUGAAGGGAUUCAGGUGGAUCCCCAAAAGAUUGCAGCAGUAAAAGAUUGGCCUAGACCCAUGACCCCGACGGAUAUUUAUAGCUUCUUGGGUUUAGCAGGGUAUUAUCGGAGGUUUGUGGAGGGAUUCUCUACCCUCACCUCCCCAUUGACUAAGUUGAUGCCAAAAGCAAUAAAGUUCCAAUGGUCUAAUACUUGUGAGAAAAGUUUCCAGGGGCUGAAAUCAAGGUUGACCUCGGCACCAAUAUUGAUCUUGCCAGAAGGCACAGAAGGAUUUGCAGUUUAUUGAGAUUCCUCCAGUGUUGGUUUGGGGUGUGUAUUGAUGAAACAUAGGAAGGUUAUAGCAUAUGCCUCAAGGUAGCUCAAGAAUCACGAGAAGAAUUAUCCGACGCAUGAUUCAGAACCUGCAACAAUUGUGUUUGCCUUGAAAAUAUGGCGGCACUAUCUUUGUGGGGUCCAUGUGGAUGUGUUCUUGGACCACAAGAGCCUCCAAUAUUUGUUCAAACAGAAGGAGUUGAACCUAAGGCAGUGACGGUAGAUAGAAUUGCUCAAGGAUUAUGAUAUGAACAUUUUGUACCAUCCAGGAAAGGCGAACGUGGUGGCCGACGCUCUUAGCCGAAAAUCUAUGGGUAGUUUGGCUCAUUUGAGAGCAGAUCAGAGGCCCUUGACUCAGGAAGUGCAUCAAUUGGCCAGUCUGGGGGUUUGUAUUUCGACCUCAAAAGAGAGGAAUAUUAUGGUGCAUAAUGGAGCAGAAUCGUCACUUGUAGCGGAGGUCAAGGAGAAGCAAUUUAUUGAUCCGGCACUGGCAUAGGUGAAAGAGGCAGUUUUGAAUAACAAGAUUUUGACGUUUUCACUCGGAGGUGAUGGUGUACUGCGAUGUCAUGGUAGGCUAUGUGUUUCAGAUAUGGAUGUUCUUCGGGAGAGGGUGAUGGCGGAGGCUCAUAAUUCUAGGUAUUCGGUGCACGCAGAUUCUACGAAAAUGUAUCAUGACCUCAAGGGAAUUUAUUGGUGGAGCAGGAUGAAGAUGCGGUGUAGCGGACUUUGUAUCUAAAUAUCCAAAUUGCCAGCAAGUAAAGGCUGAGCAUCAGCAACCGUGUGGGUUGACUCAACUUAUGGAAAUACCCACGUGGAAGUGGGAGAUGAUCAACAUGGAUUUCGUGGUGGGGUUACCUCGCACUCAGCGCAAGUAUGACUCAAUUUGGGUAAUAGUGGAUCGACCAACGAAAUCAGCUCACUUCUUGCCAGUCAAGUCCAGCGAUACCGCAGAGUAGUAUGCCCAAUUGUAUAUCAAGGAGAUAGUAAGGUUUCAUGGCACUCCACUUUCUAUUAUCUCGGAUCGAGGGGCCCAGUCCACAGCUAAGUUUUGGAAUAAAUUUCAGCAAGGUUUGGGUAAUCAGGUGAAUAUCAGCACGGCUUUCCAUCCAUAGACUGAUGGUCAAGCCGAGCGGACUAUUCAAACACUUGAAGAUAUGUUGCGGGCCGGUGUCCUCGAUUUCAAAGGUAAUUGGGAUGAUCACCUGCAACUUUAAGAAUUUGCUUACAAUAACAGCUUUCAUGCUAGUAUUCAGAUGCCCCCAUUUGAGGCAUUAUUUGAAAGGAGGUGUAGGUUUCUGAUUGGGUGGUUUGAAGUGGGUGAGGUAGAACUGAUAGGGCCAGAUCUCGUGCACCAUGCUAUGAAAAAAGUUAAAGUCAUUCAAGAGAGGAUGAAAAUUGCUCAAAGUUGCCAGAAAUCCUAUGUGGAUGUGCGUCGAAGAGAAUUGGAGUUCCAAGUAGAUGAUUGGGUGUUUUUUAGGGUAUCUCAUGUGAAGGGAGUCAUGCGGUUUGGGAAGAAAGAAAGUUGAGUCCUAGAUAUUUCGGGUCAUACCGGAUCAUUCAAAGGAUAGGACAGGUAGCUUAUAGGCUGGAAUUGCCCCCUGAAAUGACAUUAGUGCACCCGGUGUUCCACGUGUCUAUGCUAAAGAAAGUGGAUAGAGAUUCGUUCACCAUUGUGCCAGUUGAGGCAAUCGAGGUCAAUGAAGAGUUUUCAUAUGAAGAAAUUCCGGUUGCCAUUCUUGAUAGGCAAGUCAAAGUAUUAUGGGAAAGUCAACGAGUCGAAGAAGCCACGUGGGAAGCGGAAAAUGAAAUAAAAGAAAAAUAUCCCCAUUUGUUUGAACAAAUCUAGUAGUGAUCGUGCGAACAAUUGUCUUUAAGCAAUUUGAGGUAGUGUUCAAAUUUGUGCAAAGGCACCCCAUUAUUUUCUUCAAAUUGCCUUAUUGAUGUAACUUCCCUGUGUGUGCCAAAUUGCAAAUGUUGUCGCUAUUUGGGUAAUGUGUAACCCUUGAAGUAAAUGAAAAUUUUGAGAAACUUAUGUUGUAGGUAAAUUAUUAAUGAUAAUGUAGAUAGGUAAUGAUUAAUUGAAGCAAUUUAGGCAGGUUAAAGUGAUUGAAUUGUAUGGGGCUCAUUGAAGUAACCCCGUUGUGUGCAAGUAAAUUACAUUGGUUAAAUCAUGUGCAAUUUGUGGUGUAAAGAGAAUGAACUACGUGUAAGUUGUUUAAAGUGUAUGAAUGUGUACAAGUUGUUGAUGUAAUGAAUUAUAUACCAAUUGUAGGGAUAACAUAAACUGUGUAAUGAUACUUGGAAAUAUAUUUCGGGGGCUCUAUGACGGGUAAAUAGGCCUAAUUACGAAGGAACAUCUAGCGAAAUUUUCUAAAAAUAUGGGAGUUAGCGAAAACGAGGAGUUUGCAUAUCACUUUUUCAAAAACAACCUCAUUUCCAAAAUCCUCAUUCGAGGAUAAAUGAUUUUAAGUCGGGGAGGAUGUAAGGCCCCGUAAAAACUUGUACAAAAUCUAGUAACUUUUAGUGCCAAGUUUCGAAUACGUGUUAGUAAUGUGUAAAAUUUUACUAAUCUAGCUUUUAAAAAGCAACGAAUCAAGCUUUCCAGAAAAUGCCAAUCUGCGAUCUAGAAUGCGGUCGCAGAUCAAGUAUGCGGACUAACUUUCUGCCGCAGACUGAGUCAGUAGCCUAGGUAAAUUGAGGUAAAAAUUGCGGUCCAUUAUGCGAAUGCAUAAUGGAUAUGUGGACCGCGUAGUCGUUGCAUAAUUUCCUAAGGAUUUUGUGAAGGGCGGUUCGGCGAUGCGUUAUGCGACCGCAAAACGUGAAUGCUGACCGCAUUCCCGUCGCAAACCCAAACAGUACGCCUAGCUUUUGAAAAAUGUUUUGUGGUCCACUCUGUGGACCGCAUUUCCACUCUGCAAUCGCAAAGUGCGACGAUAGAUUCGACUCGGACUCUAAUUUUCUUAAAUUUUAAUCAUAACCCCUUCUUCAAUAAAACACCCCAAUCCCUCAUUUUUGCAUAAUUUCUAAACAAACUAGAGAGAGGAAGAGAGAGUUUAUGAGAGAGAGAGAGAGAGUUUUACAUGUGUUGAUUUGAUUCUUCAAAGUCACCCGAGCUGGGAAGUCUCACGUAAUAGCUUUCAUCUUCUUCCUUGCAGGUAAAUCCCCAACCCUUUUCCACUGAUUUUCUAGUUUAAACAAAAAAUGGGAUUCUUAUGCAUUAAUUCUUGAAAACCUAAGUUCAAAUACGCAUGCAUGUUCUUUAUAACCUAAUACCUAGUAAAAGGAAAUGAGUAGGAGUAAAGAUUUGCAAACNNNNNNNNNNNNNNNNNNNNNNNNNNNNNNNNNNNNNNNNNNNNNNNNNNNNNNNNNNNNNNNNNNNNNNNNNNNNNNNNNNNNNNNNNNNNNNNNNNNNNNNNNNNNNNNNNNNNNNNNNNNNNNNNNNNNNNNNNNNNNNNNNNNNNNNNNNNNNNNNNNNNNNNNNNNNNNNNNNNNNNNNNNNNNNNNNNNNNNNNNNNNNNNNNNNNNNNNNNNNNNNNNNNNNNNNNNNNNNNNNNNNNNNNNNNNNNNNNNNNNNNNNNNNNNNNNNNNNNNNNNNNNNNNNNNNNNNNNNNNNNNNNNNNNNNNNNNNNNNNNNNNNNNNNNNNNNNNNNNNNNNNNNNNNNNNNNNNNNNNNNNNNNNNNNNNNNNNNNNNNNNNNGGGGGGUGGGGUCGGGGGUGGUUGAUAACCUAAAUAAAUUUGGGGUAAGUAAUUGUGAGCUUCGAUUCUAAAAUGUAUGUGUUUACUUGUGGACUAGAUUGGCGGUACUAGGCAAUUGAUAAGCUGAAAGUAGAAGUAAAAAGCGGAUACUCGACUCCAGGUAUGUAUGGCUAACUUUAACCUUUGUAAGGUCACCUUGUUGAUGUACGAGUGUUUGGUAUGUGUCACUUAUGUGGACUAUUUGUGGAUUCUUGUGAUUUAUGCAUCUUGAGUGUUGGCUAAGUUUCCCGAUAUGUUGGUGUAAGUAAAUGGCAACAAACAAGCAUGUGUAAACGUGUUUAUGUGGUAAGAGCUAUAUAACAAAUGAUGGAAAAAAGUCGAAAUGGAUGUAAUUGAACAACUAUGAUAAUAUCAUGUGUGGCUUGUCGUGGGCAAUUGUUGUUGUGACUUGAAUAUUAGUCGGGCUGUUGUACUUGAUGGAAAUAGUAUUGAUGUUUACGGAACUCCUUGUUGUGUGAAGUGUGAUUGUCCAGUGGGAUCAGGUUGCGCACUGCAACACGAAGUUAUAAGGUGUUUGUUGUGGUUAUAAGGAUGGCCGAGGUAAUAAGGGAGCCGAGGUAAUAAGGGUGGAAAAAGUGAUCAAAAUCACUAUUUAAAUGCAAAUAUGUAAUAGUUGUGAAAAUCAUUGGUGUGGUGGAAUAUUGUUGAAAGAGGAAAAGGAGAGAUAGUGAAACUUGUUUGUUUUUGGUUGUUCCUUUCAUGUGCAUUUGAUCGUUGAUUCCAUUACUGUUUGCUACCUAUGCAUUGCUUGAUUUUACUUGAGGUGAAGUUUGUUCAUACAUACCAGUACAAUUCAAAUGUAUUGACGUCCCUUUUGCCGAGGGCGCUACAUUCAUGUUAUGAUUGUUGGUGGAUCCAUAGCAGGUACUCCCGUCCAUCGACAAUAGCACUCAUCCACUCCCUAUCAGCUGAAUUGGUGAGCUCUUUCUUGUCGAGGUUCUAUGUGGCUCACGCCGCCUUCUUCCAGAGUUGUAUAAGAACGAGUAUCCCAAUAGCGAUGGCGAUGGCGAUGGCGAUGGCGAUGGCGCAGAGAUGACUGGAGAUGGUGUUGCUGGGUUAGGUGACAAGUAGUUGUUUUUAUUUCUUUUUUGCUUGUAAACUUUGUACAUAUUUUUGUGGGCAUCUAUUCUAGCCUUUGUAAUGAAUAUAUUUUGAGUAUGAAAUGCCAUUUUCGUUGCUCAUACCUGAAUUUUUUCUUUUUGUUCAGGUUUAUAUGCCUCUUUCUUUUGUUUUUCCAUUUGGCACUUUAAUCAUUAAAAACUUGGUUCAUGUGUGUUGAACGAGGUCAAACAGAACUUAGUUUUGAUCAUUACCGCGGGCCAAUAGGUGUUAAUUCGAACGAUAUUGAAUGUAACCUAUGCUUAAUUAAUUAUGGCCAAUGGUCGAAUUGGCAAUAAUUCGAAUAAAGGCGAAUGCAACCUUUACUCAGUUAAUCUGGGUGAAGUCGGAUGUAACUUUUACAUUAUUAAUUCGAGUGAGGCCGAAUGUAGCAUUUACUCAGUUAACUUGAGUGAGGUCGAACGUAAGUUUUACUUGGUUAAUUUGAGCGAGGUCGGAUGUAACUUUUACUUAGUUAACUAGAGCGAGGUCAAACAUAACUUUUACUUAGUUAACUCAAGCGAGGUCGAUGUAACUUUUACUUAGUUAACUCGAGCGAGAUCAGAUGUAACUUUUACUUAGUUAAUUAGAGUCAGGAUCGAAUGUAACUUUUACUUUGUUAAUUCGAGCAAGGUCGAAUGUAACUUUUACUUAGUUAACUCGAGCGAGGUAGAACAUAACUUUUACUUAGUUAACUCGAGUGAGGUCGAAUGUAAAUUUUACUUAGUUAAUUUGAGUGAGUUAUGAUAUAACUUUUACUUAGUUAAGUCGAGCGAGGUUGAAUGUAUCUUUUGUUUAGUUGUGGCUCUGGGGCGAGUGGGUAUUGAGGCAAUGUUGCUUUGACUGUGUGAAGAAAAUAUGUGCGACCUUUCAUGCAUUUGUUCUUAUAUUCAUAUAUAUUGCAGGAAUUUACAUAUUUUCUGGGUUGGCAUUCAAGUCCCAAUCUGCUUAGUCCCUUCAUUGGUCGACCUAGAGAAGUAUUUAGAGGUUGGGAAAUGAACUGAAUGUCCGUUCACAAUUGCAACUUGUCCCGUCCCCCCUGUCGCCUUAUUCAAAACCUCCUUGAGAAAACCUAAUUAGGGCAAAACUCAAGUGAGGGAAAAAGAGUACGACUUGGAGAACGCUCUUUUUUAAAAGAUGAAGUACGUGAGGUAGGUGACAUUCCAAUAGAUUGGUAGUAGUUUUCGUUCCAUUGUUUCAAGUUGGAAUGACCUAUUGUUUGAUGUUGCUGUGAUUUUGUAUAGGUCGUCCCAAUUUGUCCCUAGUUUGCCUUCCCACAGGGUCUUUGCUUGCUUGUGUUUUGUCUUUGAGCACGUAGUCCCCGACUUUGAGUGAUUUGUCCUUUGCCUUUUUGUUAUAAUAGCAUUAUGUCUGUUGUUUUUGGUAAUCAUCCUUAUCUAGGCCAUAUCUCUCCGUUCUUCGGCUUUAUCAAGCUCUUAAUUUCUGCUUUCAUCAUUUCUCGACCCGCUCUCGUGGUAGUAUCUCAAAAUGGGCUCUCCAUCUUCGACUGGUAUUACUGUAUCAGUCUUAUAGGCUAAUGACUUGGGCAUCUCUCUCGUGCUCGCCUUCGGAGUUAUUUGGUCGGCCCAAAAUAGUUUUGGUAGUAACUCCAGCCAUAAUCCAUUGGCAUCUUCGAGCUUUUUCUUUAUGAUGUUCAGUAUUGAUUUAGUGGAGGAUUCUACUUUCCCGUUGCCCAUGGGGUGAUACGGUGUUGAGAAUAUUUCUUUGAUAUGCCACUUCUCAAAAAAUUUGGUGACCUUUUUUCUUGUAAAUUGGGAUCUGUUAUUGCAACUGAUCUCUUUGGGGAAGCCGAAUCGCCACACGAUGUUUUUCCAUAUGAAGGCGAUCACUUCCUAUUCACAUAUUUGUGCGCGUGCUCCUACUUCUACCUAUUUAGAAAAAUAGAUAGUUAAAGCCUAAAAAAAAUCGUACGUUACCUCGCCCCACGGGGAGGGGGCCGAUGAUGUCCAUUCCCCACUUGAUGAAUCGCCAAGGGGAAAUGACUGAGUGGAGGUGCUCGACUGCUUGGUGGGUCAUUGGGGCGUAUUUUUGGCAAUUCUCAUAUUUUUUCACGAAGUCUGCGACCUCUUUUUUCAUGGUGGACCAGUAUUAUCUUGCCCAUAUGAGACAUCUUACUGGAGAUUGAUUGCUUUAAUGAGGCCCACAAUGGCCUUCAUGGACUUCAUCAAGGACGCAUCGUGUCUGAUUUGGGCCUAAGCAUUUUUCUAGGAGGCCACCAUAUGUCCUUUUGUAUAGGUUGUUAUGAAUGAUGUUGUAACUAGCAGCUUGCAUCAGUAGCUUAUUGGCUUAUUUUUAUCAUUUGGGAGUUCACCAUCCUACAAGUAUGUAACAAUAUGGUUGUGCUAGUCCCAAGUUAGAUUUAUGGUCCCUGUCUCAAUUUGAUUUAUCGAUGAGUGGAGGAAGGUGAUAUUUAUAUGGCCACACUUUUAUGUCGUGGUCUGCGCUCUUAUCCCAUUCUUGGAUUUGUUCAAGUUUGACUACUUUAUCAGUUGAUUAUGGCUUCUUUGGCUCAUUUUGAACAAACCCUACAAGCAAGCACAUUAAGUUAGUUUCUAGGAAUACCUUCACUCGUUUUGACCCAAAACCUAAGCAAAUAAGAGAAAAUAAUAGGUUAAAAUAUCUACUUGUCAGAAGGUGACCACGUUUCUUUAUCCAGUGAUGUUUUUGGUGGCUGCUGCUAAUUUGGCAAGGCCAUCUGCUUCGAUGUUUUGUGCUCGAGAAAUAUGGUUGAGCUGAUAUUCAUCAGAUUAGGGCAGCAGUUUACGAAUCACGGCCUGGUAUUUUUGUAAACUUUGCUCUUUAAUUUGGAAAGUCUGGACCCGUCUCGCCCCGUAUUUGAGUGACUAGCCUUAAUCCUGAAAUUGCGACCUCAUACUCGGCCUCAGUAUUAGUCAUGUACGGGCACUUUAUGGACUGGUGAAUCACUUCCCCUGUUAAGACUUUGAGUAUGAGUCCUAGUCCGGACCCUAACGCAUUAGAAAUGUCAUCGGUGAACAAAAUCCAUAGAUUUUGCUUGAUAGAUCUUAAACACUCUUGCCUUAUGUUUUGAUGAUCUAACAAACUAACUGCUAAGAACUAGUAAGGGAACCUAACCUACUUGGAUUGUUGCAAGAAUUAAUGGAUUUCAGCUAAAGAUGAAUUGUUAUAGCUUCAAAACUCAGGAACCAAACAAGUACCAGAUGCUCAUGUGGUUUCCUUGUAGUAGUACAAAGUCACUUGAAACAACUGGAAAUAAAGUGACCGACGACACUAUUUCUGCCGCACUGCACCACAUUGUCAGCCCACUCAUUCUCUAACCAAACAAAGUACUCACAUCAUUUCAAGUGAUGUGAUCAAGAUGUACCAAAGGAGCUUUAUACAAAAACAUCACUUGAAGGUUUUGAUUUCUCAUUCCUCUAGAAAAAACAGAAAAAUCAUUCUCUCAAGCUUGAAGAACAAGGUUGAACGCCACUACGGACCAGUUCCUAAAAGAUUGAUUGUUGGUGUCCUAAUUGAGUUGUAACCUUGUUAUUGUACUUACUAUAUCUCCUAAAUCGCUUACUUAGAAGUAUACUGAGUAGGAAUCCUCUUGUAAAUCCGUAAAUUUGUUGAGUUUAUAAUGUCACUAGAUUUAGUCACAAGGAAAAGUCUUUGUAAUUGUACAAUUACAAAGUGGCUUGUGGUGAUAGUAUCACAAGUUAGAAAAAGCCUUUGUAACUAGGAUAGUCACAAGCUGUCUUGUGGUAAAGGUACCAAAAGUUAGUUGAGUAAAUCUUUUGCAAUAGGAAGUAUUGUAAAGUGGCUUAUAAUGGCUAAGAUUACAAGUUCGUGAAGUUAAAGGACUAUAUGUGUCGGUCGUGGUUUUUGAUCCCCUUGUGCAGGAUUUUUCGACAUAAAAUUCCUCUUCCUCAUUUACUUACUGUUCUACUAAGUGCUCUCAGCAGAAAGUUGUAGAGAACCAGGUACUCUCCGAUUUGGUAAACUCAUACAAACUAACAAUUGGUAACAGAGCGAAUUCCUCCUAUCAGGCUUACACCUAGGAAGGAUCCUUAUGGCGGCUCCACUAAAUUUGAAGAAGGUCAUCCCAUAUACCACCCACCGAAGUUUGAUGGAAAAGGCUAUUGGUGAGGAAAGCUAGAAUGCAUGAUUUCAUCAUGGCUGAGGAUUGUGAGCUUUGGGAUGUCAUCUGCGAUGGUCCAUUUCACCCAAUCAAGGUACUAAAUGAAUUUCCAUUUUCAAUAAAAAAGACUAGCGGAGAAUAUACUAAAGUAGACAAGAAAGCAGCGGAGAAGAACUUUCGUGCCAAGAAACUUCUGGUAUAUGGUUUGAGACCUAGAGUACGACGGAAUCUCUACAUGCGACACUGCCAAGGAAAUAUGGGAGGCUUUGCAAAUAGCUUAGGAGGGAACUACAUAAUUAAAACAAGAUAAAUCUAAUAUUGACGAUAGUACUAUGAUGGCAGUUGAAGGCGAGGAGAUUGGAUAUGAUUCAACGCUUGCUUUGGUGGCUCAGUCAGACAAUGGCAAUGAAGAGGUAAACUUCAGGGAUAUUCAGAAACAUCUGAAAUCUCCAAAAGAACUCAUGUGCUUAGCUGAUGUUUUAAUUACUGUCUUUUGUAGUCUUGCGGAGGAUAUGGAUUCAUUGUUCUUAUAACUAGAAGAAUCUGAACAUAAUAGAGAAGACUUAGUGGCUGCAAUUAUUGAUCAAAGACGAUCAUUGAAAUUCUUGGAAAAGAAAAGAGUGAUCUCUUGGGAGAAACUGUUGACCCAAGGAAACUAAUAGUAAAUCACUUAACUAAGUCAAAACCUAAAAGCUCUAAAAGAGGAAAGGAGAUAGUUAAUGAGGAAUACUGCAUCUGAUAAUUGGCCUCGUACCAAUGUGGUAACACUGGGCUCUCUAUGGAAGGUGUUCAGGCUAAGAUUCAAUCAGUACCAAAAGACAAAGUGGCUGCUGAGACAGUGACCACAAAAUAGGGACCAGGUUACGCUCACAGAAAACGCACAUUACCUGCAUGGACUAAGAGAGCUCUUAUUCAUCCUCUUGGUUACUACAAGGGAUCCAAACUUGUUUGGAUUCCUAAAACUAACUCCUAAUUUCUUGUGCAAGGAACAGUGACGAGAAGUGGUCAGCAAUAAUUCAUGGAUAGUGGGUGUUCGAAACACAUGACUGGGAACACCACAGACUUUCUAUCACUAAAAGCCCUGCAAGGAGGGAGUGUAUCAUUUGGCAAUGGCAAAAGGGGUACAUUCUUGGAGUUGGAAAAGUUGAGAAGUCAGUAACUCGUUCUAUUAAAAAUGUGUACUAUGUCAAUAGACUUAAGUAAAGUCUCCUAAGUGUCUCUCAAAUCUACGAUAAAUGAAACAAGGUGGAGUUCUUGUACAAAAUAUGUAUAGUCACUGACCUUGUGACUAGUGAAAUAGUUCUGGUGGCCAAAAGAUACAAGAAUAUCUAUGUUGCUGAUUUUGAAUAUUUACUGAGUGGUGAUCUGAGUUGUCUGAAGGUGGUUGACGAUGAUGCUGAACAAUGGCAUAGAAGACUAAGCCAUGCAAGCUUUUCCUCUGAACAAACUUAUUCAAAAGGACCCAGUCCAUAGUCUGCCUAUGUCACAAUUCAAAACUCAAAAUGUCUGUGAUGCAUGUGCCAGAGGAAAAUAUGUAAAGUCCUCCUUUAAGCCAAAAAGAGAUGUGAGCACCUUAAAUCCGCUUGAGCUCCUGCAUAUGGAUUUGUGUGGACCUAUGAGGGUGCGAAAGAAAGGAGGAAAGAGAUACAUUUUCAUGAUCGUGGACAACUAUUCCAGAUUCACAAGGACUCUGUUUCUCAGAACAAAAGAUGAAACUGUUGAAGUAUUUGUGGCCUUUGUGAAGAAAAUCCAGGUGAAGAUAGAGUCUAAAGUUGUAUGCAAUAAAUCAAAUCAUGAAUGAAUUUGACAAUAUCAAAUUUGAUGAAUUCUGCAAAGAAAAUGGGAUCACUCACAACUUCUCAGCUCCCAUAACUCCAUAGCAAAAUGGAGGAGUUAAACGCAUUAUAUCAGAUCAUGGGACAUAAUUUGAUAAUGUCAAAUUUGACAAUUCUGCAAUGAAAUUGGCAUCACUCACAACUUCUCAGCUCGCAGAACUCCACAGCAAAAUGGAGUAGUAGAAAGAAAGAACAAAACUCUAGAAGAAACAACAAGAACAAUGCUGAUUAAUGGUGGACUUGCAAAGAACUUUUGGGAUGAAGCUGUCAACAUUGCCUGCUACUUAGUAAACAGGUGCAUGAUCAGAUCGAUUCUAAACAAGACUCCAUAAUGAACUUCUGAAUUGACAAAAACCCAAGCUGACCUACCUAAGAGCUUUUAGAUAAUUUUAUGUUCUCAACAAUGGAAAGGAUCACCUUAGCAAGUUCGAUACCAAAAGCGAUGAAAGGAUAUUUCUUGGCUACUCUUCUCAAAGCAAGGCUUACAAGAUAUAUAACAAGGGGACUUAAUGUGUUGAAGAAAGUGUCCAUGUUAUUUUUGACGAAUCUCAUAUAUCAUUUGAGAAUAGUGCUGAGGAAGAUCAAGAUGGAGAACCCUUACUUGUUCCUGGUGAAGUCAUUAAUAUGACAAAUGGAAAGGCAGGCUUGAUGACUCAAAUGAGGGAGACAAAUGGAGAUAACACGGCCUCAUCAUCAACAGAACCAAACACUUUAAAUACAAUAAUUGAAGCUGAAGAAAGAGUGGUUGAUACAAUUCAGGGAACUCCACUGGCAUCUGAGAGAAGGAUAGAGGAGAAUCAGCCAAACAUAUUGUCUUCCUCUCACGAUGAACCCAGACAUCUAACUGGAAACAUCAAAGUUCUCACACUAUGGAUAACAUAAUCUCGCCCCUAGAUUCUGGAGUUCAAACUAGGUUUAGAGCAAGAAAUUCACUUGCCUUAUCAUCCUUUCUCUUCCAGAUAGAACCCAAGAACAUCAAAGAAGCCCUAAAAGAUGCAGAUUAGAUUACAACCAUGCAAGACGAGCUACAUCAGUUUAAGAGAAAUAGUGUUUGGCACCUGGUAUCCAAACUUCCAGAUAGAACCAUUAUAUCAACCAGGUGGGUAUUCAGAAACAAGCUCGAUGAGCAUGGAGUUACCACAAUGAACAAGGCCAGGCUAUUGGUCCAAGGUUACAAUCAAGAGGAAGGGAUAACGAUGAUGAAACUUUUGCUCCAGUGGCUCGCAUGGAAGCCAUAAAAAUUUUGAUCGCAUUUGCUUCUCAUAUAGAAUUCACUUUAUUCCAAAUGGAUAUCAAAAGUGCACUUUUGAAUGGACUACUUAAGGAAGAAGUUUAUGUGAAGCAACCCCUGGGUUUGAAUGUCAUAAGCCCCCUGAAUAUAUGUUCAAAGUGGACAAAAAUUUGUUUGGGCUAAAGCAAGCUCCUCGAGCGUGGUAUAAAAUAUAGUCAAAAUUUCUCUUAGAAAAUGGCUUAAAGAGAGGGAAAAUUAACAACACUCUUUUCAUAAAGAAAUGAGGAAGGAACAUGCUCAUUAUUCAGGUUUAUGUUAAUGAUAUCAUUUUUGGUGCAACAAUUGGUUCUCUGUGUGAAAAAUUCGCAAAACUUAUGGGGAGAAAAUUUGAAAUAAGCAUAAUGGGGGAAUUAAACUUCUUUUUGGGUCUUCAAGUAAAACAGUCCCCAAAGGGUACUUCCAUUUGUCAGCAAAAAUACAUCAGGGAACCCUUGAAGAGGUUUGACACGGAAGCACAAAAGUGGUAGAUACUCCCAUUGCAGCUGCCACUCAACUGGACAUGGAUGAAACUUGAUAUCCUGUGAAUCAAACAAUGUAUAGAGGCAUCAUUGGGUCUCUCCUCUAUCUCGCUGCCAAUCGACCUGCUAUUAUUUUAAAUGUGGGUCUAUGUGCAAGGUUUCAAUCAAAUCCCAAGGAAUGUCACCUCAAGGUUUCCAAAACAAUACUGAGAUAUCUCAAAGGCAUUCAGGACCUGGUACUAUAUUAUCCAUCAGGUGACAAUUUUAAUCUGUCUCCCAUUACAACUGCCACUCGACUGGACAUGGAUGAAACUAGAUAUCCUGUGAAUCAAACAAUGUAUAGAGGCAUCAUUGGGUAUGUUCUCUAUCUCACUACCAUUCGACCUGAUAUUAUUUUCAGUGUAGGGCUGUGUGUGUGAUGUUUCAAUCAAAUCCCAAGGGAUCUCACUUGAAGGUUGUAAAAAGAGUACAGAGAUAUCUCAAACGCACGCAGAACUUGGUACUAUAUUAUCCAUCAGGUGAUAAUUUUAAUCUGAUUGGUAUGCCAAUGCAGACUAUGCAGGUUAUCUUGUGGACAAAAAAUACUUUUGGAAUGACUUACUUCUUAGGAUCAUGUCUUAUCUCUUGAGGUACAAAGAAGCAAAAUUCGAUGGCCAUUUCAAUAGCUGAAGUUGAAUAUGUAGCUGCCGCAUUCUGCUCUGCCAACUUCUAUGGAUCAAGCAGCAACUGGAGGAGUUUGGAGUUCUCACUAAGGGUGUGCCCAUCCUAUGUUACAACAUCAGUGCACUCAACAUGGUAAAGAAUCUAGUUCGACAUAAAAGGACCAAAAAUAUUGAUGUGAGGCAUCACUUUCUAAGAGAUAAUGUGGAGAAAGGGUUGAUAUGUGUGAAGUUCUGCAGCACAGAAGAUCAAAUUACAGACAUUUUUACCCAGGCACUAAGUAGAGAAAAAUUUGAAAGAAACAGAGUGAAGCUGGGACUAUUGAGGCCAAAUUAAGCACCUUAUUCCUCCUUGGUUGGCUAUUAUUCUUAAUAAAUAACUAGUUCAAAGUGUAUUUUGGCCAUGUCUAACCCACUUCAAUACCGUUGCAGGUAGACACGCAUGAUAAGCAUAGAAAUAGUAGGUGCAUUACAUGACUGAAAAAAGAGGUUUAAUUCUUCUUUUUCAAAAAGAGGAGCUUGACAAAAAUGUUUUUCAAGAACCAGGUUCUUAUCCUAAAGGCUAGUAGUUCUGUGCAUCCUUUAAUACAUAUUCUGAAAGGUACAAAAUACAACUUCCAUAUCAUCAACUUUUUCAGAUCUAGCUACCAUGUAACUUCAAUUCAAAGCAUUCCAUCUCCCUCUGAAACAUCACAUUCUCUAUGCCCAACCGCCGUUUUUGAACUGGUGCCUAUUCUUCUCCCUUCAUAAUUAUCCUCUCUAUUUAACAACAUCUCUCUUAUUCCCUUCUUAGUCAUAAGCCCUAUUCUAAAUUCACCCAAAAGGAAAGGAUCACCACACUACCUCUUCCAAUGGCUGACAAAACUUUCGAUUUCUCUGCCUCAACUGUAACCACCUCUGACCCGUCUAUGGAACCUCUCACCGAUUCUGAGUCUGUGUUACCCUCUAUAACUCCUACUCCUACAGUACUACCUUCACUAUUUUCCCAACCUCUUCCCAACUCAAAAACCCUUGAAACUACUAUUCCUUUCUUUCCAUUGUCUGUUGCCUACACUAGUCAAACCCUAAGUUGAGAAUAGUGUCAAUAUACUGAGCUCACAAAAGGCUCUGCUAUCAUUGCCAUCAACUCCAUGGUUGUGGAAGCACCGGUUGAAGAAUACUAGAUUAUGUUUGUGGUAUUCGUUGAUGGGGUAUUGCAUGAGGUUAUUUCCCAGAAACAUGAGUCACAAAGCGUGAGGGAAAAAUGGGCCAUUAUGGAGUUUGAAGGGGAUGCAGUAGCAUACACUAUUUGGGAUUCACAUGGGGAACCUGCUCCCUCUCAAGAGGACCCAGGUCAGGAGUCUCAUCCCCAGGAAAGUGAUAUUCUUGCAUUCGAUACUGUGCCCCUAGAAAAUCAAGCACCAGAAAUGAGAUCUAGUGAUGAAGAACACCUGGAAAACAUGGCCCUUGAUGCACUCAAAAGUAAGGGAAGGGUUGUUUCCACCAGUGAGUUUGUAAUCAAGCGACCCACUACCAGGCUUCAAGUCAAAGUGGCUUAUGACUCUGCACUCCAAAAGAGCAAGAAAAGUAGCAAGGAAAAAAGAAUACAGUUGGUGAACGAUGAUGUACCUAUAAGUGAUGAUGCUAUCCCUGUAGUUAAGGUUGAGGAAGGAACUCAUGAGGAACCUGGUUCCCUUGUAAAGCAGUACUCGAAAAAGGCUAAAUCUGUUUCAAGGGAGAAGGGGUCUACUUCUAAGUCCAAGAUGAAAGAGGUAGUGAGUGAUGAGGAUGUUCUUGUCAAGUCCAAAGGGAAGGUAAAAGUCACUGGAGAAAAGCAUAGGAAACGCAAGUAUGAAAUAGUUGAAGAACCUAGUCCUGGAAGCUCAGCAAGCCCGAGCGGUUCCCAUGUCAAAUGAUGAGGUGAUCUGUUGGACAAAAGAAAAUAUUGUUCUCAGGGCGCAAGUCGAGAACCUGAAGGCUGAACUGCUCAACGAUCAAAAGUCUAGAAACACCCGAAUAGAUCUUGUUCUCCAGACACUUGCCGCAACUUCCAGGCCUUUUCCUCCUAGUUCCCAUUAAGAACCCCUUCAGUGACUGGUUUUCUAGAUAUGUUUCUUUUUUUUGUUUCCUUGUUGAUGGUUGGUGGAUGUUUUUUUUUUGCUUUUUCUAUGAUGGUUGGGAUAUACUAUUACUACUGAUCCUAUGAACAAGUCCAAUAUAACCUCUUCCUUUUUUUCAAAGGAUGAGGCAUAUCAAAAUUAUUAUUAUGAAUCCUCUUUUAUUUUGACUAGUACUUAUCUUUGUGUUAUAUUAUUUCUCAUGAUUGUGUGUAUAUAUGUGGCAUGAGUUAGCUUAGCUGGACUUCUUUGUUAUGUUGUUGUUUUUAAUGAUGCCAAACGGUAGAAAAGUAAGACUAAUAUAGGACUCAAGGGGAAACACUCUGGGGAACUGGUUCUUAUGAAUUAGUCUAUUACUCUGACCAUGAACGAUUAAGGCAUCAUCUCAAGGGGAAAUCUUUGAAAAACUUUUUUUUACUGCCCAAUUCUGACUUUAUCUAGAAAUAAAGUGAUCGACCGUACUAUUUCUGCUCUACUGCACCACAUUAUCAGCCCACUCAUUCUCUAACCAAACAAAGUACUCACAUCAUUUCAAGUGAUGUGAUCAAUAUGUACCAAAGCGGAUUUAUACAAAAACAUCACUAGAAGGUUUCUAUUUCUCAUUCAAGCUUCUAGCCAAAAAAAAAAUCAUUCUCUAAAGCUUGAAGAAAAAGGUUGAAUGCCAUUACGGACCAGUUCCUAAAAGAUUAAUUGUUGGUAUCCUAGUUAAGUUGUAACCUUGUUAUUGUACUUACUAUAUCUCCUAAAUCGCUUACCUUUGUUAUGUCGCCCCUACAUUUUUCAGUCCAAAAGGCAUAACUCUGUAGCAUUAUGUUCCUUGAUAGGUGAUGAAGGUGGUUUUCUCCUGAUAUCUUCUUCCAUGAGGAUCUGGUUGUAGCUUGAGUAGGCAUCUAAAAAAUUGAGCAGCUCAUGCCCGGCCAUUGAAUCGAUGAGCCGAUAUGAGGUAAUGGGAAUGAAUCUUUGGGGCAUGCUUUAUUUAAAUCUGUGAAGUCUAUGCACAUUCGCCACUUCCCGUUUUCUUUUUCACCAUGACCACAUUGGCUACUCAUGGGGGUACUUUGACUCCCUGAUGGAGCCAUUUUCCAAUAAAUUAUUAACCUCCUCAUGCACGACUUUAUUGAUUGAGAAAUUGAACUUCCGCCUAACCCGCCUCACCGGGGUAUGGAAGAGGUCGAUGUUUAGUUUGUGCAUAGCGAUCUCCUUUGGGAUACCGACAUAUCUGCAUGGAAAAAAACAAAUAAGUCUACAUCAUCAGUUAAGAAUUGACAGAAUUUAUGUAGUUCUUGAAGCUUGCAGCUGGUGUAACAUUUCUUGUUGUGGUCAUUGUCAUUAAGUUUAACAAGGUUGAGGUCUUCUAAGGUCGAUUUCGUGGCUUCCACUAUUUCAGGGCCUUUGAUGACGUCUUCCCUUUCAUAUCCACUCGACCUCGGCCCUGUUAAUUGUUAUGCUUAUUUUGCUUUGCCCUCCAUUUAUUGAGUGGUCGUACAAUCAGGGUGAUGUAGUAGUAUUCGUGAGAUGUACGUUGUUCUCCUCGUAUGCUGAAUAUUCCCCGUGGGGUUGGAAAUUUGAUGGCCUAUUACAAGCUAGAAGGGAUGGCUAGUACAACGUAUAUCCAUGGUCGCCCUAUUAUGCCAUUGUACGUUGUGUCCUUGUCCAUGAUAUGGAAUGUAGUUUCUAGAGUGACGUCGCUGGCUAGUACAAGGAGUGUGAUUUCUCCAUAACUCCGUUCAAUUCCAUUGUUAAAACCUGUUAACAUGAUAAAACAUAGCACUAUCUUCUCCUCGAGUUUCAUUUGUGCAAGUACUCGAGGUGGAUAAUUCACCCGCCUCUCCUAUCAUCCACCAUAAUGCGUCUCAUAUAUGUAUAUAAUAUACAAGGGCAUCAUAAUGAGGGAAAACUAAACCGAAGGUAUCUUACUUAUCGAAGCUGAUACUUUCUUCGAGUUCAUCAUACCAUUCGUGAGUGAUCAACUGUGUGAGCAUAUGGGUCGUGGUGAACCUCACGUUGUUGAUAGGAGAGUCAUCAUCGCCCCUGGUAAUCAUUUGAGUGGUGCGGUUCGGGGAGGGCGAUUUUGCCGAUCCCUGAUGCUGUUCAUAUCCUUGGGCAAAGUUGGUCCUCCCUCGAUCGCUCAGGAAUUCUUUAAGGUGUCCUUGGCAAAGCAUAUUUACGACCUCCUACCAUAGGGCAAUACAGUCCUUUGUUUUAUGACCUCGCUCUUAGUGGAACUCGUAGUGGGCGUCUGACUUUCUGGUUGUUGGAUCCAACCUCAUCUUUUGUGGACACUUUACUUUUGGUUCAAGCUUCUCCAAUGCGUAGACUAUUUCUGAUGAUGACACACAGAAAUUGUGAGCGGAUAUCAAAUGGGGCAUACCUCUCACGUUUCAAUGAGUUCUUGUCCUUGGUCUAGGCGAGUCCUCUUCGUGGAGGGAGGAGCGGUGCUAUAACGCUUAUGAGAAAUGUUUGACGAUCUCGGUUGAUUCGUGAAAAGGUCCCUUUUGAUAUCAUUUCUUUGAUCUUUCCUGGAUUCGGCUUGUACCGAGGUCAAUCGAUGGAUUUUCCCAUUUAGAUGGUCCUCGUCUGCUAGGACCUUGGCGUAAUAUGCGUUAUGUAUUUCAUCCCAAGUGGUCGGAGUAUAUUUCAUGAGUCACCUUGAUAAAUUUCCGGUUUCCGUUGACCAUUCCUGCUCAGUCCAUUUUGGAAAUCUGUGAUGGUCAUUCCCUUUGAUAUAUUUGAUAAGUUCAUUCUUACUCGGUUGAACUGGGCGAGGAAGUCCCUCAAUGCUUCUCCAGGUAAUAUUUUGAUAGCUAAUAUAUCGUUCACUCUUGCCUCCGCCUUUUUGGCCCCAGCAUAGGCCUUUAUGAACAUGUCAUCCAUCUUUUCAAAUGUUUCGAUAGAAUGCAUGGGCAGCUAUGAUGAGUACCAAGUCAAGUUGGUAUUUUGUCAGCAUUGACAUAGUGACUUACGUGAUCUUCCGGAUCAGUCGUGCCAUCAUAUAUUUUCAUAUAGGGCAUCAUUUUGAAGGUUAUUGGUAUGGUAUGUAGCGCGGAUUCAUCAUUGUAUGGUUGCUCGACAAACCAACCAACAUCUCUCUUCGGCAAGAGUUUCAGGGCACUUGGUAUUUUGUCAACCCUUUCUUGGUGCUCUCUCAUUUGGUCCUGAAGCAUUUUGUUCUUGUUCUCCAUUUUCUCCAUCUUUUUCAAAAUGGUUGUGAGGGUGUCGUCACCUCCAUUAUUAAUAGUGUGAGUAGGACCUGUUAUUGGAGGGGGAAAAGGGCCACAGUGCUUCAGCGUAGUCAGCGCAAUGCGAGUCCUCGCGUUUUCUAUAACCGUAUUCUGAGUGUGCUUGUGGAGGAUGAUGGUUAGCAUGUCGGUUAGCCAAGCCUCAAGAAGCUUUUUCACUGCUGAUGGCAUAUCUUUGGUCGUAGAUACGGAGGCUCCUUUACCGCGGGAGGUUGUGAUAUUGUGUGAGGGAGAGGCAACCCGCCUUGCUUGGAAAAGGCAUUAGGCGUUAUGUCCUCGCCUUUUGUAUCAAAAACCUCAUUGAUGGUGUUCAAAAGAUUGGUGGUGAGGUCGGCCAUUACCCUCAUUCUUCUCCAGUACCUAUCAUGUCAGGUCUGUGUGUACAAGAAAAAAGGAGUUUUGUUCUACAUUUUUUUAUAAGCAACCCGUAAUAGUUAUAGACUUAGAAGAAACUAAAAAUUUAACUAGAAAUCUCCAUGGACGAUGCCCAAUUGUUUGACCAAAAAGCUUAAACUUUUGGUGAAACUAUUAAAUCUUAUGUGAUAAGGGGUUAAACCUUGUUAAUUUACAUUGAAGGUUUGAUCUUAAUUUAAGCCACCCUAGUUCUCUACAAACAUCUUUAAACCAUUGCUAACAGAAAAUAUUUAUAUUAUGCUUCAACUUGCUCCGCACAUUCUUCAAGGAUAGGUUCUUCAGACUUCAAGUUCUUGAUCUUGAUCUGUUAAAAGAUGAAGUCAUGUAACAUUAGUGAAAAAACUUCUACUAGCUACUUUAUAUUGAAAACAAAUGAAUAAUUUAAUCACCAAAUCAAUUAAAUAAUUAGAGUAUACAUUGUUUGAUUAAACUGAUGCAACCAAUGAACUAUUUUAAGAAAUUUAUCUUUUAUGUUCAAGUAUAGAUGAAAUUUAGACUUCAAGCCAGACUUCAAAUUCUGAAAUUUCAAGGCAGAGAAAGGCUUAUAAUCUGGCCAUUGUUAAAAUAACAAAGAAGUGCAGUAAAUAGCAAGUACAAAAGCCCAUGAUAAAUAGAACAAAUUGUAAAUGACCAAUGCUGAUAAAAAUGUGGAAGAAGUAGUGUUUUCGAAAGCGCUAAGAGCAAAAAAGCAACGAGGCCUCGCUUCACCGAAAUGAGAAGCGAAGCGCGCGCUUUUUCCAUGUGAAGCGCAAUUUAACACCUAAAUUUAAAAAAAGCAUCGAUAAUUGGCUAAGAACUUAUUAAAAAUAACAUAUUAAGCAAAUGUUUCAAUUCUUGAAUCAAGAAGCAAAUAAUAGAUACUAAUCAAAUUUAAUUUACUACAAUCAACAACCACAAAAAAAUAAAAAAAGAACAGGUAAUUCACUGAUAAAUUGCAGAAAACAGAGCAUAAAGCAGAUGAUAAAGCAGAAAACAGAGCAUAAAGCAUAAAACAAAGUAGAACAGAAGAAGAAGUCGUUUAGGGCACAAAAUCAGCAUUUAAAAGAAGAAGAAGAAGCUUACUAAGAUCUGGAGAAGAAGUCGCUGGAGCAGCAGUGAUCAUCGCUGGAGAAAAAGUCGAAAUCAAACAGUUAACUUUUUUUUCGAACUAGAAAAGUUUGAAUAAAAAAACAAAGAAAUACAAACCAGAAAAAUAGAGCAUAGAUUAGGGAAAAAAACAUAGCAAUAAAAAGUGAAAAAAUAGAAAUAAAAAGAGAAAAAUAGAGCAUAUAAAGAACAGAGAAAAAAAUUAGGGCACAACCGCACAAGAACAAAACAAUCAACAGUGAAAAAAAUAGAAAAAAGAUGAGAAAAGGAGUCAAACAGGAACCAAAGAAAAUCAUAGGAAGAUGAAGAAUAAGAAGAGAAGGAGAGAAGAAGAAACUUACAGAGAAGAAGCACUAAGCAGUCGUUGAAGCAGCGGUUGUUGGAGCAGCAAUCGCUGGGAGAAUAAGUGUUUGUUAGCCUUAAGUUUUUGCCAAGUUCUUUUUUUUUAAUAACCCUAACAGCUGCUUAACGUCGCUUAAGCGCGCUCUUUCCUGCUUAUUGGAUUGUUGCGCUUCUCGCUUAACGAGGUAAAGCGUGCGCGUUUUCAUAUGAGUUGCUUUUGUGGCAGAAAAGCGAGAUAGCCUCGCCUCGCGUCGCAUUAGCACUUUAAGCGAGAAACGCACGUUUUUUACAACACUGGGAAAAAGUUAGUCAUCCAUGUUUCCUUCAAUUCAAUGAUGCAAGAUAUGGCUAAAUUCAUUUACAAAUACUCUUCAUGUAAUAGUUGAUAAAAAUUUACUGACCUAUUAAAGUGUUCCUACUAGAAUUUCCAUUAGAACAAAACUGAAAAAUCGAUAUCAAAUUAGUAUCCAAAAAUGAUUGUAAGAUAGACUGCAAUUUUGAGCAACAUCCAAUCAUUUAUAGGUUCACAAUCCACACCUUGACGUUAAAGCUUCUCAACUCUAGUGACAUCAACAUGCUCGAUCUCAAUCGUUAGAACUCCGCACGUAACAUUAACAUUCAAAUUAACUUGCAAAUAGCCAAAACAACAAACAUAUAUUUGACCAAAAAACAAGUCUUUUUCCAAAUACUUUAACGAUGAAACUAUCAUCAUAGCUUCUCACCACAUGAUCAUGUGCUAAUGCACUUGUCGGGGAAUUCUCCAUGGGGUCCAAGACAAUCACUUUCAGUUCUAUUUGAGAUGCUGCUUGACACAACAUACGACCCAACUGCCCUCCUCCUAAAGCACCUAUAAGCAUAUCAGACACUCCAUGGAUUUGUGAACCACGACAUUAUUCAACAUAUUCCAGCAUACUAUUAAUAUUAUUAAUUAGAAAAUGCAAUAAAACAUCAUUGAACUCACAUACAGUAAUUACCUGUAAUUUAAACUACAUACAAUAAUAGCUACACCGCCUCAUUCUGAAAAAAGUUUUGGUCGGCCUAUUAAUCAUUACUAACCUUGUUUCUCCAAUUAAAAUCCAUCAAAAUGAAACCACAUAAAUUUUGAACAUAUAUUUAUCUAAACAACAUAAUCAGAGACCACAUUUAAGAAUGUUGAAGUUCUUGUAUAUAUAUAUAUAUAUAUGACUUCUUUUUUUAUAUUUUUCGUAAACCUUAUAUUUUUCAUAAGAAUAUCUCUUAAGGUUGGCACUGUGAUCCUUCCGGAUCUGCACUUUAAGCAAUUUUCCUAAAAAAGAUAGAUAUGAUAAUUCUCAGUUGGCUUGCAGAUGGUUAUUUAUUACCUUUGAGUCAUCCUAAAGAACAACUUCUUAAGAAAUAAUUGGAUUUCAUUAUUAUAUAUGAAAGAAGACAUAUAUCCAUAGAUUUAAUUUUUAGAUCUAAAUUUUCUCUAUAGCAUUGAGUUAAGAACUUGAAUAUUAUCCUUAUGGAACCCAGAGGUCUCUUGAACCAAGAACAGAAAGCAUUCAAAUUACCAUUGUUAAAUUUUUCGUAAUUACUUGCAGAUCUAAGCUAUGUCUUUCUUCCAUCCUUUUUCCUCUCCUUCAAAGAAUUCCUCGCCCCCAACUUCCUCAUCUUCCUCCUCAUUCUCCUCCUCCAAUCCCACACUCAAAGAAGAAAUUAGCUUUUCUAAUUUGCAAUAAUCAAUUGAUGACUGGAAGAUCCCUAAACAUCCACAGUCUAUAAUUUAUAAAUCUUCACAAUGGCCUUUGACCAGUGAUUACCAUAUUUCUACAAUUGAGAAAACUAUUCCUCUUGAAUCAGACCAUGAGGAAAUCUAACUUUUAAACCCAAAAUCUAUAGAAAAAUAUAGGCAAAAUACAAUUAUCUCUAUUUUGGUUUAGUACAGAUUGCAGCUAGACCUCUGCCCAAAGAAGGUCUAGACACGUCUCUACUCCUCUGUCUUAGAGACUCUAGAUUUUUAGACUUCAAUGAUUCUCUCCUAGAAACGGUAGACACCAGCCUUUGUAGCGGUCAAAUUUACUUUGAUUGUUUUCCUAAUUUUACGGUAUCUUUUAAAGUUAGAAAUAUCUUAGAUUCUUUAACUCUUAAUGUUAAAACGGCCAAUUACAAAACCAAAAUUGGAUCCUUACUAGUAGCAAUUAUUUAUAGAAUAUAGUAUAAAGCCAUGAGUUAUGCCUUUAACACUGGAGCUACAUAAAGGAGAAAUUGUUCUUUUCAAAAUAGAUCUACAAUGAUCUCACCUAUCAAUACUAAACCCCAUUUCUUGGAGCCAAGUUUCCCUACCACAAAACUGGUAACUACAAGAUACUACUCAGGCUGAGAAACCAGAAAAUACUACCGUCUCUCAUAUCAGACAAUAUUCUAGCGGAUCUGUAGCCAUUUCCUUCCAAAGGUCCCUUAGCCAAAGAGUCUUUGUCUCAUCCUCAUUGGCACAAUCGGAGAUUUAGUCUAGAAGACAUUCAAUAUCUUGACUAGUCAUUGCACUAGUAGCGUCUACGAGCCUCCCGCUUCGGUACCAUCUCCUUUUUACCAGCCGAGCUGCCCUGUCAACCCUUUGCGGCGCUUGCUUCCUAGCUAGAACUCACACAGCGCAAACAUAAAUGAGAACUAAGCAUAGUCUGACUCCCUAGCGCACAGAGCAAGAGUAAGCUACUUCACUCGAGAAGAAGAAAUAGGCUAACGAUCGGCUCAGAUAAGGAUGCCUCCUCUCUUUCCAAGCUAGCUCCGAUGCAANNNN